ACUCAGUUGGGAUGGGUGGGAGUAGGAGGUUUGUGGGGUGGCUUGUGCGGAGGAGUUGGCAGCUUCUUUCCAGGACCUGGUGGCUUCUCUCCCUUAGGUGGUUUGCCAACUGGGGUUGGUGGCUUGUAUGAGUCUUCAGCAUUCUCUGCAGGAGGGUGACCAGGGUUGUGACCAUAAUGUGGUGGCUUCUCUCCCUUAGGUGGUUUGCCAACUGGGGUUGGUGGCUUGUGUUCUGGGAGUGGCUUCUCCCCCUUGGGAGGUUUUUCCAAUGGGGUUGGUUUGUGUUCAGGAGGUGGCUUCUCCACUGGAGGCUUGUGUUCAGGAGGUGGCUUCUCCACCGGAGGCUUGUGUUCAGGAGGUGGCUUCUCCACCGGAGGCUUAUGCUCUGGUGGUGGCUUCUCCACCGGAGGCUUAUGCUCUGGUGGUGGCUUCUCGAAUGGGGGAUGCUUAGGGUAAUCAGCAAGUGAGGGGGCGGUGAGAACCACCAGGCCAAGCAAGACCACUAGCAAGUAUGUAGGAGACAUCUUUGGGUUUAGACUCAGAUGGUGCAAAACUAGGAGAAUUGUCUUUUAUAGCGGAUCGCACCCAAUAAUGAAAUGACACGUGUCUUUAUGACCCAUGUGUAAUGGGGUCGAUUUGGGUCCUACAGUGUUGAAAACUUCGACAUCCACUUUUGGCCUUUUGCUUUCUCUACAGCCGCCUUGCUUUUUCCCUCUUUCCUUUUGUUUUCCUCCUGCCCCAUUCUAUCAACUAAACACAAUUAUGUAGUUGUUUAAUUCUUAAAUGAGAUAUUAUCCGUCAAUCGUAUCAUAUUUUAUCAACAGAGAACGGAGUGCAAUGUGGCAAUCCAAAGAAAGAAGAUCCAUAAUGCAGCUGUAAUUUUAUCGUUUACUUUUAUCUCUUGGACCACUGCAUUUUUGUUAAGAGGUGCAAUAAUACACGUCUUUAUCUGCCAUUCAAUGUUUACAGUAAAGAGAGGGCACAAAACUCUUCACUGCUCUGCAUGUGUCCCAAAAAUGCAAUUGGACAAAUUAUGAUUUGCAUGCUAAAAAGAGGCAAAUGAGGUUAAUUCGCACCAUAAUUAUUUUGUUUUCUGGACCCCGGGGCCCUUUGGUUGGUUUGGGGGUCAGAAAAUGAACAUCAUAGGGGGUUUUUCCCUUAUGUGCAUUUGUAUCUGAUGGCUUUAACUCGCCUUGUUACUACAAAGAAAUUGUCACAUAUAGGAACUUAUUCCAGGCUGAGUAUCUCCGCAUAGACCCUAUAAAAGAAGACAAGUCAUAAUGAACAUCUAACCUUUGUUCAAUUUGAUUCAAUGCCCCAUUGUGUCCACCUCACAAAUCUGAAUUAUUAUAUCCAUUGAAUACAUAAAUUAAUGAAGAAAAUAUGAAACCCAAGAUACAUCUCUGCACAACCUCAACCCUGGUUGCUAUGUUUCCCUUCUAUUCACAUGAGGAUAUUGAUUACGGAAUAGGGAAACCUAGCAAGGGUUUACUCGGCUCUGGUUUGAUGCUAAUUGCCAAACUUGCAACAAGCCCUGAGUUUGAAGCUCACAGAAGAUGUUAUACAGGCAGGGAAAAACCUUCAGAGUUCGCUGCCAAAGAUAAUUAUUAAGGAGAUAUCACCAAGAGAAUUCCAAGGAGUCUGAAUCAAAGACAAAUUGGUCGUUCGUGGAGGUUCUUACUUUCUUUUGGGUAUAACUCACUGAGGGCACUGUCUUUUUUAUUUUCAUUUCACAUUUAGAGUUCUGUUCUGGAAACAUAUAAAAGGAGCAUCAGUUUGUUCUUGGGUAACCCAUAGUCGUGAGUGGGUCCAUUUGCAUGCUACUUAGUUGAAAAGUUGGACCAUUUGCUCCGACGCCUACCUCCUGGAUUCCAUGCUCGGAUAAAACAAGAAUAAAAAAAUAUUUAUAAUUUACAAAUGGGGGAAAGAAAAAAAUGUCAACAACAAACUAGGAAAAAAGAGUAGUAAAAUUCAUGUCACAUGCUAGUGAGAGAAGGGGUUGUUACACUCACUCGAAGUUCUUUUCAAAAUAUCGCAUGGUAUUUUAUUUUAUGUGUGAGCGCAGUUGUGAAUGGAACGUGCAAAAGUCCAAAUUGGUGACCUUUAAUAAAUAUUUAAAACAAAAAACGAAAAAAAGGAGGGAAAAGGGAUCAGAAAAGAUAAAACAAUGUGUACAAAAGCUCAAUUAGUUUGCAAAUUACUGUUUGGAUUUUGAUAGUAUUUUAUUUGAUGUAAAAGAGAAUUUAAGAUAUUUCCGAAACAAAAGCAUUAGUUUGCUCCAUGUCAAUUUCGGCAUUUCUCAUAUGUUUCACACAUACACAGAAGAGCAUCGUUUUUUAAAGCAUGCAUUUAUGUUGGAUUAAUUUGGAUUUUGUGGGAACUGGGGCAAGGAUCACAUGGAAGAGAGGUUGACUUUUUUCAGUACUUCAAUGGUUGAGACAGGUGAAGGCCUGAUUGAUACUGAAGCCUGAAAUUGCGACUCCGUCAUUUGUCAAAACAUAUGACAGCUUCCAUGCUCUCGUUUGGUUGCAUUGUUCUGUGGUCAUGCAUACAUGCCACUUAGUGAUCAGUCUGUAACUGUCAAUCAUUGGGCUUUGACUGAACAACAUCAGCCAUGUAUAAAUACUUGCAAAUCAAACGGUCUUCUUCCUCCCAUAAGGAAUUUCGGUUUAAUUAUGAAGCAUGCAUUUGGCUGACCAUCAUAAACCACUUCUUUAAAUUGAUGAAUGAUAGUUUUUCAUUCAUUCUUUCAUUCGUUCAUAUACAGAGUAUAUAUAGAGGGUAAUCAUCAUUCUAAGAAUGGGAAAGAAUGAUACAAGGAAAUAAUGAUAUAAAGAAAUAACAACUAAUAUUCUAAUAUCUCAACUUUCCUAAUAUCUAAACAUUCCUAAUAUCUCAACACUAAAUGAUAUAAAGAAAGAAUGAUAUAAGGAAAGCAUUCCUAAUAUCUCAACACUCCUCCUCAAGUUGGUGCAUAGAUGUCAAACAUGUCCAACUUGUCUAAAAAUUUUGAGAACAGUUGACUUGAGACAUCUUUGGUGAGGAUAUCGGUCAAUUGAUCUUCUGAUCGAAUCUUAGGCAAUUCCACAAUCUUAUCAUCCAACUUUUCCUUAAUGAAAAAUCUAUCCAUCUCGACAUGCUUUGUACGAUCAUGUUGUACUAGAUUAUGAGCAAUGUCACAUGCUGCUUUAUUGUCACAAAACAAUCGGAUUGGUUGCCUAGAUAGGUAACCUAAAUCCUAUAAGAGGAGUCUUAGCCAUAAUGCCUCACAAAGUCCUAAAGUCAUACCUCUAAAUUCCGCUUCUGCACUUGAACGAGCGACGACAUUUUGCUUCUUACUUUUCCAUGUCACAAGAUUACCACCUACAAAGGUAAAGUAACCAGAUGUAGAUCGCCUAUCAUCCACUGCACCGACCCAAACAGCAUUAUACUUCUAUACUCUGAUGAUCAACAUUUUUAGCGAACAAAAUUCCCUUCCUAGGAGCAUUCUUCAAAUACCUCAAAAUACGCAUGACUACAUUCAUAUGUUGCUCUCCAGGAUUAUGCAUGUAUUGACUCACUACACUCAAUGUAUAAGCAAGAUCUAGUCUUGUAUGAGCUAAGUACAUUAAUCUCCCCACAAGUCUCUGGUAUCUUCCCUUAUCGAUUGAUACUUGAUUAGGCUCAACACACAAUUUCAGACCUUCUUCUAUUGGUGUAUUAAUAGGUUGACAUCCCGACAUUCCAGUUUCCUGUAGAAGAUCUAAGGCAUACUUUCUUUGAGACAGAAAAAUUCCUUCACUUGAUCGAGAAACUUCAAUCCCAAGAAAGUAUUUCAGACGACCAAGAUCUUUCAUUUCAAAUUCUCUAGAUAGAUACUUUUGCAAAGCUUUUCUUUCUUCAGGAUCAUUUCCUGUAACUACAUGUCAUCCACAUAUAUCAUAAGUGUCGUAAUCUUACCAUGUUGCUUUUUCAAGAACAAAGUGUGAUUUGAAUUACUUUGAUGAUAGCCAAAAGCUCUCAUUGAUUUUGUGAACCUUCCAAACCAUGCUCUCGGGGAUUGCUUCAACCCAUACAAUGACUUCUUCAAUUCGCACACCUUCUGACAUUGCUUUUCUGACACCAUGCAUCCUGGUGGAAGAUCCAUAUAUACUUCUUCAGAUAAAUCGCCAUGCAGAAAGACAUUUUUUACAUCGAACUAUUGUAAUGGCCAAUCUAGGUUUGCAGCUAAAGACAAUAAUACUCGAACUGUGUUGAUCUUAGCUACAGGUGCAAAUGUCUCUGUGUAGUCAAUUCCAUAAGUUUGAAUGUACCCACUAGUCUUGCUUUAAAUCGUUCAAUACUACCAUCUGCCUUGUACUUCACAGUAUAGAUCCAACGACACCCAACUAGCUUCUUUCCUGGUGGACAUUCUACGAGUUCCCAUGUUUCAUUUUUCUGCAAUGAUUUCAUCUCUUCAUUCAUGGUUGCUUUCCACUUUGGAUCAGCUAAAGCUUCCUGCACACUAUUAGGAAUAGCUACAGUAGAUAAUUGAUUUACAAAUGACUUAUUUGAUUCAGACAAACCAUGGUGUGGACCCGCAUUUUUCACGUGCGCCUCUACUCGAUCGGCGAGACUCGCUUUCUAUUUGUGAAAAAUUAAUUUUAGAAAAGUUGGAGUCGCCACCUAUUUUAUUUUUAUUUUGAAGGGAAAAUAAAACAAGAAAGAAAAACCCUAAAAAGUGACUCCAUAGUUUUGGAAAAAGCAUGUCUUUGGGAAACCUGAGUCUAGGUCCGGGGAUCAUGUUACUUAUUGGGAAGGUACCUCUAGGAGGUAGCACCCCUCUAAGCCUUAUGAAGGUCUCUACUAACUAAAUUAAGGGAAGUGUGGCAAUAAAUCGAUUGAUCAUAGAUACCUAAGUAGACUAGGUGAUUUUAAAGUGUGGCAUGUCAAACACAAUCAAAUUGCAAUAAAGGAGAGUUAGGGCGCGUACCUGAACCGCUUCUCAAGCGCUAUCAUAAAACAUCAAUGGUUAAUUUAAAUAAUAUAUCAUCCAGCAUGUAUUUUAUUAGAAAUAAUCAAACAAUGAAACAUGUAUAUCAGAACACUCAAGCAUUAUUAGACAUAAGCAUUAUUUCACUAUUCACAGAAUUCAGAAAGUAGGUGAUAGAGGACAUACCUGGAUAGCAUAGAUAAUUUGUAAUGUGCUUCCUCAAGUUGUAAGGGGUUAGAUAACAAAUAAUAAAAUAUAGAAAUCCUAGCAUGCUCGUUAUCUAAUUAGCAUAGCAAAAGUGAUCACAGUAUACAGAAUCAUCAAUUAUCACAUACAUCUUGUAUAUAAUUCCUAAAAAAAAUAGAUAGACAUGAUUUCAACAAGUGUCAAAUGUGGCAACAAAAAUAAAUUUUGAAAAGAUUUUCUUAUGUAGGGGUUUCACCAAUUCCCCAAAUUAAUAUACACGAAUUUAGCUUAGAAUUAUCCCAUUUAUUUGGGACUACAAGCUUUGAUUCGUGUUUUUGUUCAAAACCAAAAAUUUUUGUUGAAAAUCAAGAAGGAUGCGAACCGAACAAGAUAUGGUUGCAUAUUAUUUUUAAAUAAAUAAAUAAAUAAAUAAAGGAGAUUUUGAUCCUGAGGACUUUAAUGAGUUUUUUUUUUUAAAAUAGAUUUUUAAAAUGAUUUUUUUGAGAAAAGUAUUUUAUUUUAAAAUAAAAGGGAUUAAUUUGGGAAAAAAAUAAAAUAUAAGAAAUAAAAUACCAAACAAAACAAAAAUGAAACCUCAAAGUAAAAUUUUUUUAGUAAUUAACAAAAAUGAUAAUGGUGAUGGUAGAGGGCAAUCUUCAUGAUUUUCCAAUGGCCUCAGAAAGAAAAUCAAAUUAAAUGAAGGAUCACUAACAGGCAAGACAUUCUAAAUUAGACAAACUAACAAAGUAUCAAUUCAUGAACUAACCGCUAGGAUUUUGAAAGCAUAUAAGCUAAGAUAAGGGUGAUCAGGAACUAAUAUUAAUGAUUUUGAAAUAAAAACUAAAAAAAAGGAUCAAUUCGGGUAAGGAACUAAAAUUAUAAAAGUACCUAAACUAAUUAUGACGAGUUUGACUAAAUUAAACUAAAAACAUGAACUUUCAAACAUAGAAUUAAUUUUACUAAUGAACCAAAGCAAACUAAAAAUAUGUACUUUCAAGCAUAGAAUUAAUUUUAUUGAUGAACUAAACUAUAACAAAUAUCUAAACUAAAUAUAAUGAAUCAAAUUAAAUUAAAGCAACUUAAAAACGCAAACUUUCAAACAUAGAAUCAAUUUUAUCAAUGAAUUAAAACUAUAAAUGUAUUUGAACUAAAUAGAUGAAUCAAACUAAAUCAGAGCAAAAUUAAAAAAAAAAAAGAACUUUCUAACAUGAAAUCAAUUUUAUCAACAAAUAAAUGAAUGAAUAACAAGUAAUUAAAAGAAUAGCUACUACAUGAAUAACUGAAUGAAUAAAAUUCAAAUGUUUUCAAUCUGAAGCAAUCAAUCAAAAUUAAAUAGGGAUCAAAUCAAAAUAAUCGAAAUCGGAAAAACAAUAUGCAAUCUUUCUAAAGGUUUAACCAGACAAUUGAAUUAAAAUUAUGAAUAGAAUAAAUUAAUAAACCAAAUCGAAACCUAAAUUGUACCUAAAAAGAUUAAUUAAUUAAACUAAGAAAUCAAAAUCAAUAACAAAACUAAACUAAGGAGUAAAUUAAGACAAGACUAAUUAAAUUAAACUCACAAACACGUUUUAACUAUCAUAUGGAUUAAAACAAAAUUAGCAUGGACUUAUGAAUUACGAACAAAAAUAAUCAAAACUAUUUUAAAAAACUCACCUCUAUUAUAAGAAAAAAUCUGCCUUUGAUGCGUUGAGGUGGCUCCCCUCUCUGUGUGGAUCUCUCUGCUCCCCAGAAAAAAAAUGUCUCUUCCUCCGUUCUCUUUUGUUUCAGCAAAAUAAUAUAUCCCCUGCUGUGGAUCUCUCUACUCCCAGAAAAUAAUAUAUUCUCUCCGUGUCCUAAAGUGGACCUAGGGUGCCUAAGUGGACCUAGGGUGCCUAAAUGGGCCUAGGGUGCCUAAAUGGGCCAAGUGUAUCUAAAUAGGCUUAGGGUGCCUAAGUGGGCCUAAGUCUAAGUGAGCCUAAGUCUAAAUCAAGACUACCAAGGAUCAUAAUAAGGGGUUAGGCAAUCCCUUAACCAAAGUCUCCAAGGUGGCUAAAAAAAAGUAAGUAGUAUGAGUAGCUAUGGGUCACCAAGGAACUACUGUGGAGCAUUGAAAACGAAUUUAAAGACAUGUGCCAAAGGGACAAAAUUGAGGGUCUACAGAUGGUUAGACACAUAGUUGCUCAUGGGAUAUUUGACUUUGGUAAACAAUUCAGAUUCAUAUGUGGGUUUAGGAAUACCUUUAUUAUGACGGUGUGGUAAUCGUUUCAUGAAUGGAUCAGGUUGCAAAUUAAGAACACCCUCAGCAAACAACGAUUGGUUUGGUAUUUCAGUGAAGACAUCUUCGAACCCAAAUUGUUGACCACUCAUAUCCAACUCACCCGCUUCCUGGUUCACUAGUUCAGAUUGUCCAAAUUCAUCAUUCUCAUAGAUAUGAUAAUCAUAAUCGAGAGUCUGAAUUUCCUUAUGGUACUCCCCCUGAAGUUCAGACUUAGAUGAAAAAUACAUCGAAUAUUCAUGAAACAGCNNNNNNNNNNNNNNNNNNNNNNNNNNNNNNNNNNNNNNNNNNNNNNNNNNNNNNNNNNNNNNNNNNNNNNNNNNNNNNNNNNNNNNNNNNNNNNNNNNNNNNNNNNNNNNNNNNNNNNNNNNNNNNNNNNNNNNNNNNNNNNNNNNNNNNNNNNNNNNNNNNNNNNNNNNNNNNNNNNNNNNNNNNNNNNNNNNNNNNNNNNNNNNNNNNNNNNNNNNNNNNNNNNNNNNNNNNNNNNNNNNNNNNNNNNNNNNNNNNNNNNNNNNNNNNNNNNNNNNNNNNNNNNNNNNNNNNNNNNNNNNNNNNNNNNNNNNNNNNNNNNNNNNNNNNNNNNNNNNNNNNNNNNNNNNNNNNNNNNNNNNNNNNNNNNNNNNNNNNNNNNNNNNNNNNNNNNNNNNNNNNNNNNNNNNNNNNNNNNNNNNNNNNNNNNNNNNNNNNNNNNNNNNNNNNNNNNNNNNNNNNNNNNNNNNNNNNNNNNNNNNNNNNNNNNNNNNNNNNNNNNNNNNNNNNNNNNNNNNNNNNNNNNNNNNNNNNNNNNNNNNNNNNNNNNNNNNNNNNNNNNNNNNNNNNNNNNNNNNNNNNNNNNNNNNNNNNNNNNNNNNNNNNNNNNNNNNNNNNNNNNNNNNNNNNNNNNNNNNNNNNNNNNNNNNNNNNNNNNNNNNNNNNNNNNNNNNNNNNNNNNNNNNNNNNNNNNNNNNNNNNNNNNNNNNNNNNNNNNNNNNNNNNNNNNNNNNNNNNNNNNNNNNNNNNNNNNNNNNNNNNNNNNNNNNNNNNNNNNNNNNNNNNNNNNNNNNNNNNNNNNNNNNNNNNNNNNNNNNNNNNNNNNNNNNNNNNNNNNNNNNNNNNNNNNNNNNNNNNNNNNNNNNNNNNNNNNNNNNNNNNNNNNNNNNNNNNNNNNNNNNNNNNNNNNNNNNNNNNNNNNNNNNNNNNNNNNNNNNNNNNNNNNNNNNNNNNNNNNNNNNNNNNNNNNNNNNNNNNNNNNNNNNNNNNNNNNNNNNNNNNNNNNNNNNNNNNNNNNNNNNNNNNNNNNNNNNNNNNNNNNNNNNNNNNNNNNNNNNNNNNNNNNNNNNNNNNNNNNNNNNNNNNNNNNNNNNNNNNNNNNNNNNNNNNNNNNNNNNNNNNNNNNNNNNNNNNNNNNNNNNNNNNNNNNNNNNNNNNNNNNNNNNNNNNNNNNNNNNNNNNNNNNNNNNNNNNNNNNNNNNNNNNNNNNNNNNNNNNNNNNNNNNNNNNNNNNNNNNNNNNNNNNNNNNNNNNNNNNNNNNNNNNNNNNNNNNNNNNNNNNNNNNNNNNNNNNNNNNNNNNNNNNNNNNNNNNNNNNNNNNNNNNNNNNNNNNNNNNNNNNNNNNNNNNNNNNNNNNNNNNNNNNNNNNNNNNNNNNNNNNNNNNNNNNNNNNNNNNNNNNNNNNNNNNNNNNNNNNNNNNNNNNNNNNNNNNNNNNNNNNNNNNNNNNNNNNNNNNNNNNNNNNNNNNNNNNNNNNNNNNNNNNNNNNNNNNNNNNNNNNNNNNNNNNNNNNNNNAACCAAAGGAAGCAUGUUCCAGACGUCGAUGCCACAACCAAAUUUCAGACUUUUUCUUCUCCUCCUUAGAUCCAUCUGCCAUCAAGGCUUGUUGCAACUUAUUUGAAUCCUUUGAUUGCAAGUCCAAGUAUAGAGUUUCCCCCGCUUAAUACGACAACCAAUCGUCUGUCUUGUUUGAAUGUCCUUAAUCACACAAAAUUCAGGCCAAAAAAUGACAAUACAAGAUAAGGCUGCAGUGAUUUGAGAAACUAACAAAAGAUUGUAAUCUAAAGAUGGAACAACUAAAACAGAAUCCAAAUUCAAAGUAUCAGUAAGAGUUAAGGAUCCUUCCCCAAUGACUGGGGUUGUGUUACCAUUGGCUGUGGAAACAAUUUUUUGUGAGGAAGGUCUAAGGGGUGAAACCUGUCUAGAAUCAAAAGUCAUAUGAUCUGUAGCACCAGAAUCAAUUAUCCAUGCACUAUUAAUAACAGGUGUAAAAGUAUUUAAAAACUUACCACAAUGAUCUGUAGCGGCUACUAAUGCAGAGACUUUCUCAACAACAUUAGUCUUUGUUUUUAUUUCGGUAACAGUUGCAAUCAAGGUUUUCUUGGAAUUCUUCUUCCGUUGAUCACGAUUAUUAUCAUUAAUAACAAAGUGUUGAUAGCCUAAACAUGAUCUAAAGGUCCAUGGUGCAAACCCUCGGUUCCUCAUUGUUUUCCUGGUCAUACCAAGAGUUGUUGCUUUGAAAUUGUGGGAUAUCCAGACUGGUGGGAUCAGUUUUAUUGCAGUGAGUGCAUUUGAAUGUUGACUUAUCAAUAUUAGGGCUUGUCUUCGGAUGGUUGAUUGCUGUUGGACUACCAUAGCGACAAAAUAUCCAGGAUUUCAAUUCCAGGGCUCUGAUACCAUCUUCAAAUUGAUGAAUGAUAGUUUUUCAUUCAUUCUUUCAUGUACAGAGUAUAUAUAGAGGGUAAUCACCAUUCUAAGAAUGGGAAAGAAUGAUACGAGGAAAUAAUGAUAUAAGGAAAUAAUAACUAAUAUCCUAAUAUCUCAACUUUCCUAAUAUCUCAAUAUUCCUAAUAUCUCAACUUUCCUAAUAUCUAAACAUUCAUAAUAUCUCAACACUAAAUGAUACAAGGAAAGAAUGAUAUAAGGAAAACAUUCCUAAUAUCUCAACACCACUUCAUGAUAUAUAUAGUUUCUUACCCUUAAUCAAUGGUUUCUAAGUGAAUUUAUAUAGAAAGAAAUCCAAACUGUAGACAGCAGUAUUGGUAACACUCAAUAUUCUGUAUAUAAUAGAAUAAAUAGCGUCACAGUGAUCGUCGCCUACAAGCAAGGUACAAAUACCACAAAGAGUGACCCACAUAGACAUUCCCCAACAAGAUGUAGUAGUGACUGACACAUAGCCACAAUUAACACGUAGAAAAGGAUAAGACCGGUGCACAGUAGCUCUUAUUUUACAUACUACUUAUGCCAACCAAAGUCACUCAGUUGGGAUGGGAGGGAGAUGGAGGUUUGUGCGGUGGCUUGUGGGGCGGAGUUGAUGGCUUCUUUCCAGGAGCUUCUGGCUUUUUCAUCGGAGCUGAAGGAGGCUCAAUCUUAUGAGGCGGCUUGUACGAGUCUUCUUUGCUCUCGAAAGGAGGGUGGCCAGGGUUGUGACCAUAAUGUGGUGGUUUCUCUCCCUUGGGAGGUUUACCAAUUGGGGUUGGUGGCUUGUGUUCUGGGAGUGGUUUCUCUCCCUUGGGAGGUUUAGUGGGUGACUUGUGUUCUGGAGGUGGCUUCUCCACCGAAGGCUUGUGCUCCGGUGGUGGCUUUUUGGUUGGAGGGGGCUUGGGGUAAUCAGCAAGAGAUGGGGUGGUGAGAACCACCAGUCCAAGGAACAACACUAGCAAGUAUGUGGGAGACAUUUUUGAGUUUGGGCUGAUCAGAUGAUGCAAAACUAAAGCAUUACGUGACCUUUUAUAGCAAGUAGCUCCCAAUACCUACUUGACACGUGUUACUGUGACCCAUAAAUAUUAUGGGGUCUAUUUGUGCCCUACCGGGUUGAAAACUUGGACAAUUGGGCAAGGACCCGCCUGACUAUGGAGGACUACUGAGGUGUGAUCACAGCUUUAGGAUUUUUCUUCCUCUGCAGCCGUCUUGCCGUUGGCAUGAUUUUCUUAAUCUCAAAUAAAGGCAUAGUUAUAGAGUUGUUUAAUCUCUAAAUGGGAUUUUAUAUAUCUUCAGAUAGCCAUUAAUACAUUUGAUGAAGAAAGAAAGACAAGUGCAUACAACAUGUAUACGACUAGCUUUCAUGGAGUUCAUUUAUGAUCAGUUUUCCUGUACAUGUAAACCAAGAUCAUAUAUGUUUUUGUUCCACAACAAUUUUGGAAUCUUGUUUAUCCGUUUUUAUCAUUAUAAUGUCACAUAGGCUGCCAACUUGGGCGCUAAAUUAAAGAUCCAGUUGGGCAAGUUCGUUUCAGAAUUUCAAUGGUGGAUUCAGGAAUUGUUUUAUAAGAUAUGCAAAAUAGUAGAGGGAUGAAUAGUGUUUCAUUAAGAAAAGAGCCCUGUAAAAAUAUUGUUUAAAGGUGCCAUAGAAACUAUAAUCAAUAAAUAACUUUUUUUCCCCAUGGGUGGUGUUUCUUGUGGGGAUCAGUGACUGGUUUGAGUCAACGCCGUGUCUCUUUAGUCCAGAAAUCAACUAUUUUAUGCAUUGAAUACAUCAACAAAGAAAAUAUGAAAGCCAAAUGACACCUCCCCCGCAAAAACUAAACCCUGGUUGCUAACUUUCUAUGUUUCAGUUCCAUUCACACAAGAAUAUUAGUUCAAGUUUGAGAAAAAUGGCGACUUACCUAGUGAUAACUCGGUCUUGGUUUGCGAUUUGACUUUAACGUCAUGGGUUGAAGCCUCCUACAAUCAUCGUGUAUGCUAGUUCAAAGCUCGUGGAAGAAGUUAUACAGGGAGGGAGAAACCUCCACAGCAAGCUCCAAAAGAGAAUUAUCACAUUGAAAGCUCCAGUUGAACACUGGGUGAAAGCCAUAACAAGAUUGGUUUUCUAUCGCUCUUUUAAGUAAUGGAAGAUUAUUAUCUCUGCUUGUCACUACAACCGUGCAUGCUGCUAGAUCUUUCUAGACACUUCAAACAGUGAAACCAAGUAUGAUUCUUUUUCUCUUGAGUGGGUCCACUUGCAUGCCAAUGAACGAGUUGAAAAGUUGGACAAUUGGCCACAGCGCGCACUUACCUUCUGGAACCGAAGGUCAGUGAAGUGGGGUUCCUUUUGGCCCCUUGUGUUUCUGUUCCAACCUACUCCAGGAACCGAAGUUCAGUGAAGUGGGGCUACUUUUGGCCUCUUGUGUUUCUGUUCCAACCAAACAAAAAUGGGAGGGAAAAAUAGCAUUAUGCUUGUGCUAAAGAUCAACGCAUGAUAGCUGAAUAAGGGAGAAAAAGGCAUUGCUAUCUCAAUUUCAUAAACUUGAUAAGUAGUGACAUUAAUAGUCUUCCUCAUAGAUGGAUACAUGGUUUUAUUUUAUUUAUUUAUUUUUAUUUUUUUGUUUUAUGUCAAUGCUAAUGAAUGAAGUGCAUUAGCUUGUUUUGUGACUAGAACUACAAAUGUCCAAAUUGGAGCUUCUCCAAUAUAUUUCUCAGUGAGUUAUUGAUUAGAACUCUUGGAUUGAGUUCCAAGAUUUGAAUCAGACCCCUCUAGCAGCUUCAGGGGUACGUAGCAACCUAUAGCAUAUUAAUGAAGACUUAGGAUUUAGACUUAGGAAUACAAAUUAAUAUGUACCUCAUGCUCUGACUAGCUUCCCUGCGUAUGCACAAAAUGGAGAUGACUCCCAAAAAAAUAGCAGAAUCGCCUUAGUAUGUUUUUGUGGUUAAGAUGAUUCUCCACUUUAUAUAUCCACAUUGGUUCAUUAUGCAAAUUAAUCAACUAAGCUAUUUUUAUUUUUUCUUAAAUGUGAAAUAGGAGCUCCAAAUUAACCUAACCAUUGGCCUGAUUGAAUUGAUUUCACUUGCAUAAUGUUAUAGUAGAAGUCCGUAAUUUGAAUUUUAUUUUUGCAAAAGGUAACGUAAAUGAAGCAUUGUAAUUAAAUUUAUUUGUAAUUACAAACUAAUUUUAUUUUAUUAAGAAUUAAUUUAAUUACUCAUUUAAAAUAAAAAUCAGUUAUACUUUUACCAAGAUGAUAAUAUUCAUAUUUUUCUAGUUAACAUAUAUAAAAUAGUACACUUUUUCAUAUAAAAAAAUAAUUUAUGAUUUAUUAUAAUGUUACUAUUCACAUUUUACUAAAUUGAUGGUACAUGAUAGUGAGAGAAGGGGGUGUCACACUCAGCUAAAGUUCUUUUCAAAAUAUUGCAUGGUGUUUAAUUUUAUGUGUCGGCGCGCGUGUGAAUGGAACCUGCAAAAGUCCAAAUUGGCGUUUCUCCAUUUUCCACAUAGGAUGGUGACGUUAAUAGACAAAGAUACAAUAUCUGUAGACAUUGCUUAAAAAUCGAUGUGAAGUAUUAGAAAUUACAGGGCACUGUACUGGGGGAGCGGCUGCCCCGCCAAAGGAGGAAGAAUGUAGCAAUUUCUUCUGUUAGCCAGGCCUUAGGAUUUAUGCAUGGGAUGCCUAAUAACAAACAGAGAAAAUAUACUUUUGGGGAAGGUAUCCAACAACAGACACCAUCAUUCAGAUGGUGGGAAGGUAUCCAACAGAUGCCAUCAUUCAGAUGGUAACAUAUAUAUACAUUUAUUAGUGAGUUUUUUUAAUACCUAUAAAAAAAAAUAUACACUUUGAUAUUGUGGCUGAAUCCAUUACAUACUCAACUAACCUUGCUCAUUAGGGAUUUGACUUAACAAGGGCAACGUUGCAGUACAAGCUCAAAACUUUAUGCAGGUGACAUUACAUUUGGUAAAGAAGAGGAAAAUAACGAAAGCCAUCCAUAAAAGCAAAAUUCCACAUGGGAUGAAAUUCACAAGCUUCAUUUACGAUAGAGUCGCAUCCAGGCAAUUAAUUCCACAUUAGACCGCCUGUUGACAUGUGUACCAAUCUUUUUUCAAAAAAUAUUUAUAAAUAAUUGAUACUCACAAAAAUAAUUUAAUAUUUAUAAAGGAUAAAAAAAUAUUUUCAAAUCUAUAACAAUUUAUAAAAUAUUAAUAAAAAAUUAUCUCUUAAACUUAGUAUAGUUUUAUCAGAUUAAACUUUUAUUUUGAACAAAUAAUUUUAAUCUAAGUUUUAAAUUCUAAAAUUAUUUCCUUAAAAUAAAAUUUUAAAAUUCAACACUUCAAUUGAAAUUGUCUUUUUAAAAAAUAUCUUCUUAUUUUAAUCCUUAUAAACUAUAGUUGAUUGAAAAUACUAUUGAAGUUCUCUCUUAAAAAAAAGUCUUAUUUUAAUCUUCAUAAAUUGCCCUUGAUUUGAAAAUAAAUUUUCAGUUAUCAUAUUUUAAAUAAUAUCUAUAUUUAAAAUACUCUAUUUAAAAAAAAAUGAACUAAUUUUAAUUAUAUUAUAUUUUAUUUUUUUAUAUAUUUUUAAUGAUAAACCAAACAUAGAAAAUCAUUUUUCUAAAUAUUUUAAAAUUUCUAAGCAACCAAACAUAAUCUUCAAAAUAAAAGGAAAAUAAGGAGGGACAUUUGAGAAAUGGCGAUUAAAAAAAAGUGUACAAAAGCUCAAUUAAUUUUCUUCUAGUCUUUUAUAUAAAAAAGUAAAGGAAUUGAAAAGUAUUGAUAUGUAAAUUAAUAUUUGGAUUUUAAUAGUAUUUUAUUUGUCUUUCUCUAUCUCAUGUAAAAGAGAAUUUAAGAUAUUUCCUAAAGCAAAGCAUUAGUUAUCUGCAAUCAGUGGUGAUCAUGCCCCAUGUCAAUUUCGGACCCAUAUCUUAAAACUGUAUAAUUUGCAUUCAAACAUUACUGAUUUCUCAGAUGUUUCAUACUCCACAGAAGAGCAUUGUUUGUGAAAGCAUGCAUUUAUGUUGGAUUUUGGAUGAUGUGGGAACUGGGGCAAGGAUCAUAUGGAAGAGUGGUCGAUUUUGUUCUGUACUUUAACAUUUGAAAUAGGAGAAGCUCGGGCAUUUGUGGGGCUUAAUUGAUUUUGAAGCCUGAAAUUGCGUUUCUGUCAUUUUGUAAAAAAUAUGGCAGAUUCCAUGCUCUCAUAUGUUUGGUCUGUGGCCAUGUAUAGAUGCCCCUUAGUGACCAGUUUGUAACUGUCAAUCAUAGUGUUUUGACUCUGGCUCAACAACAUCAGCCAUUGACGGAUUUUCAUACUUGCAAAUCAAAUAGUCUUCUUCCUCCCUUAGGAAUUUCGGUUUAAAUGUUAUUAAGCAUACAUUUGGCUGACAAUUAUUAACCACUUCAUGAUAUGGUUUCUUACCCUUAAUCAAUGGUUUCUAAGUGAAUAUAUGCAGAAGGAAAUCUGAACUGUAGACAGCAGUAUUGAUAACUCUCAAUAUUCUUUAUAUAAGAGAAUAAACAACGUCAUAGUGAUCGUCGCCUACAAGAAAGGUACAUUUCCCAACAAGAUGUAGUUGUGACUGGUACAUGGACGCAAUUAACUCGUACAAAAGAAUAAGACCAGUGCACGGCAGCUCUUAUUUUACAUGCUAAUUAUGCUAACCAAAGUCACUCAGUUGGGAUGGGAGGGAGAUGGAGGUUUGUGCGGUGGCUUGUGGGGCGGAGUUGGUGGCUUCUUUUCAGGAGCUUGUGGCUUUUUCGGAGCUGAAGGAGGCUCAAUCUUAUGAGGCGGCUUGUACGAGUCUUCUUUACUCUCGACAGGAGGGUGGCCAGGGUUGUGACCAUAAUGUGGUGGCUUCUCUCCCUUAGGUGGCUUGCCAACUGGGGUUGGUGGCUUGUGUUCAGGAAGUGGUUUCUCUCCCUUGGGAGGUUUACCAAUUGGGGUUGGUGGCUUGUGUUCUGGGAGUGGUUUCUCUCCCUUGGGAGGUUUAGUGGGUGACUUGUGUUCUGGAGGUGGCUUCUCCACCGGAGGCUUGUGCUCCGGUGGUGGCUUCUCCACCGGAGGCUUGUGCUCCGGUGGUGGCUUCUUGAUUGGAGGGGGCUUGGGGUAAUCAGCAAGAGAUGGGAUGGUGAGAACCACCACUCCAAGGAACAACACUAGCAAGUAUGUGGGAGACAUUUCUGAGUUUGAGCUGAUCAGAUGAUGCAAAACUAGAAGAAUUACGGGACCUUUUAUAGCAAGUAUCUCCCAAUACCCACAUGACACGUGUUACUAUGACCAUAAAUAUUAUAGGGUCCAUUUGUGCCCUACCGGGUUGAAAACUUGGACGCUUGGCCGAGGACACACCUGACUAUGGAGGACUAUUGACGUGUGAUCACAGCUUUUGGAUUUUUCUUCCUGUGCAGCUGUCUAGCGGUUGGCAUUAUUUUCUUAAUCUUAAAUAAAGGCAUAGUUAUAGAGUUGUUUAAUCUCUAAAUGGGAUUUUAUAUAUCUUCAGAUAGCCAUUAAUAUAUUUGAUGAAGAAAGACAAGUGCAUACAACAUGUAUACGGCUUGCUUCAAUCGAGUACAUUUAUGAUCAGUUUUCCUGUGCAAGUAAACCAGUUUUUUGUUCCACAACUAUUUUGGAAUCUUGUUUAUCAGUUUCUAUCAUUAUAAUGUCACAUAGGCUGCAAACUUGGGCACCCAAAGAUCUAGGUGGGCAAAUUUGUUUCAGACUUUCAAUGGUGGAUUCAGUAAUUGUUAAAAGGUGUUUCUUCAUUAAGGAAAGAGUCCGGUAAAAAUAUUGUUAAAAGGUGUCAUAGAAACUAUAAUAAAUAAAUAACUUCUUUUCCCCAUGGGUGGUGUUUCUUCUGGGGAUCAGUGACUGGUUAGGGUCACCCAAAAUGAGUCCAGAUUAAAAUUGGUUCGAGUCAAAGCAGUCUCUUUUGUCCAGAAAUCAACUAUUUUGCGCAUUGAAUGAAUCGAUAAAGAAAAAAUGAAAGCCAAAUCACACCUCCCCUGCAAAACCUAAACCCCGGUUGCUAACUUUCUAUGUUUCAGUCCUAUUCAUAUAGGAAUAUUGGUUCAAGUUUGAGAAAAAUGGCAACUUACCUAGGGUUUACUUGGUUUUGGUUUGCGACUAUUUACGCAACCAACCAUGAGUUUGACUUUAACGUCAUGGGUUGAAGCCUCCUACAAUCAUGUAUGAUAGUUCAAAGCUCGUGGAAGAAAUUAUACAGGAAGGAAGAAACCUCCAAAGCUAGCUCCAAAAGAGAAUUAUCACAUCGAUAGCUCCAGAGAUUCCCAAGGGAACUGAAUCAAAGACAAGUUCCUCACUUUUUCUUCUUUUGAGGCCAAAUAUGAACCAAGGAUCACACGACCUCAUUCAACUUCAUAAGUUUGAUUUCAUGCAGUUGAACACUGGGUGAAGGCCAUGACAAGAAUUGAUUAAAAAAUUCUACCACUCUUUUAAGUAAUGGAAGAUUAUUAUCUCUGAUUGGCACCACAACAGCACAUGCUGCUAGAUCUUUCUAGACACUCCAUGCAAUGAAAGCACAAUGGAUCUUGUAAUGAUAGAAACUAAGCCAUGCUACAGUACUAGAUGAGGGGGUAAAACUAGUAGACAUCUUUCUAGACACUCCAUGCAAUGAAAGCACAAUGGAUCUUGUAAUGAUAGAAACUAAGCCAUGCUACAGUACUAGAUGAGGUGGUAAAACUAGUAGACAUGGCUGGCAGUUGAUUACUACUCAAAAAGUACUCUUUUAUAGCUUGAAACUAACUGUUUUAAACACUUUUGAGUAGUAGUUAAUACCUUUUAACUUAAUUGGCACAUUAAGGAACCUAGCAAGGGUUACUAAUCAACAUUUGGCAAGUUUUGAUGUUUUUGGUAGCUAUUUGAUCAUUGAAACAAGCCAAGAAUGAGGGGGAAUUUUGUGAAGUCCAUGGCAAUGCAAGUUAAAGCUCAAAUACAUGAAGAAUCCAAGCUUUGGAGCACUUCAUAGCCCUUUGCCAAGCCAAUCAAAGAUGCAAGGAAGAAAACCAAAGGAAGAAAUCCAACAAUCAGCAUUUUGGCAUGGCUAUGUGAAAUUUCGCACACCAUGCGAAACCACAAGAGGCAGCCAAAGAAUUUCGCAUGGUAUGCGAAAUCUUCUUGUGCACUGACUCUGUUAGAUUUUUAUCUUCAGAUAUUUUGUGUAAUUUCCUAGUUUCUCCUUGUAACCAACUUAGAUAUUUUCUUUUAUAUCUUUUUUUAUAUUUUUUAGGUAACAUCAUAUAUAAGAGGAGAGACAUAAGGAGGAUAUGGAUGUUUUUCAUAGAACACUUGUAAAUUUUUGGUAGUAAGAAAUAUACAAAGCUUUUUGCUCUGCCUUACCUUCUCAAGGGAUGAGUGGCUAGGUUUUCUUGGAGUGAGGGAAGCUAGGUGAAGGACCUGAAUGCAAAGGUGGGAGUUUUCCUUACUUUAAAUGAAAGUAGUUGUUAAACAUUAAUGGUUUUUAUUUUAAGGUUUAGCUUUAAAUCCCUGAAAAACACCUUGAAUGGCCAAUACUUGGUAAGCUUUUUAGAUUCUAUGGAUGCUUAUUGCUAGAUCCAUGGAUGUCUAUUAGUUAUCAUUUACGAGCCAUUGGAAGGUGAUUCAAGGUGAGGGUCUUUAGUGUUUGAAGCCAUUAAUGGGAAGCAAUUACCAUUUUUUCAUGAAUCCUUUGGAUCAAAUCUUAAUUGCUAAAUAUAAAACCGGUUUCGAGAGAUAACCACCAUCCUUUAUGUUAUUAUCCCCAACGCGAGGAGAAGAUCCGAAAUCUUCCUUUUUAUCUAAGGAACCCGAUCCUAGUGACCUAAAGCUCCAAGAUACCUUUUCUUUGUAGUUAACUUCAUUUAUUGUUUUUGCUUAACUUAAAAUCAAUCUUUGCAACCACAAUUCCAUUUUCUUUAAAAGCUAAUUUUUAUAAGGAAAAACACCAUUUUAUUUCCUUCACUAAGUCAACUGUACGAUGAAAACCCAUCCCUGUGGACGAUCCUAGAGCCACUAUACUAUGUUAGCUAUGCUACCCUAGUGUGAGGUGAUUUAGGUUUUAUAAAUUUUUUUGAUAACACCCAUCUGAGCCAGAAUCAAAUGGCACGACUGAACCAGGGACGAAUCAAAUGACGCCGCUACCAAGGAUGGUGCCAAAGUACAUUGACAUGACUUUUGGUGAACACUUGUGAUCUUCACCACAAGUUUGGUGAUUUUUCUUUUACUAAUUUUUUUUAUUUUAGCUUAUCUUUUAUUUAGUUUUUAGUUAACCUUAAAUUUUUCCUAGAAUUGUAUUUCUUUUGUUUUCUUUGUUUUUGUUUCAGUGAUCUUUAGUUGUGCAUGCCCUAUUGGAUAAGAGAUAUUGAGGGAAUACUUGUGAAGAUUGAAACUCCUCGAGAAACUGAGUUAGAAGUGUGCUUGAACAUCAUGGAUGUUCCACCUGAAGACCAGAAUAGCCAACAUGGUUAAGAGGAUAAUUUCAACACAUACCGAUCCAUGAGGAACCGCAUACAUCCACCUUGUAUGAGUGCACCGUCAGGCAUAAUGCCUCCCACUGAGCAGCUAGUAAUCUGACCUCACAUUGUGCCACUCCUACCUACUUUCCAUGGGAUGGAGAGUGAGAAUCCCUACUCGCAUAUUAAGGAAUUCGAGGAGGUUUGUAAUACAUUCCAAGAAGGAGGAGCUUCAAUUGACUUGAUGAGGCUCAAGCUAUUUCCUUUCACUUUGAAGGAUAAGGCCAAGAUUUGGCUUAAUUCUUUAAGGCCAAGAAGUAUCCAAACUUGGAUUGAUUUGUAAGCCGAGUUUCUUAAGAAGUUCUUCCCUACCCAUAGGACCAAUGGUUUGAAAAGGCAAAAUUUGAACUUCUCAGUUAAAGAGAAUGAGAAAUUCUAUGAGUGUUGGGAGAGCUACAUGGAAGCUAUUAACGUUUGUCCUCACCAUGGCUUUGACACAUGGCUCUUAGUGAGCUAUUUUUACAAUGGUAUGUCUUCUUCAAUGAAGCAACUCCUAGAAACUAUGUGUGGAGGAGACUUCAUGAGUAAGAAUCCGGAGGAAGCCAUGGACUUUUUGAGUUAUGUGGCUGAAGUUUCAAGAGGAUGGGAUGAACCAAAUGCUAGAGAGGUGGGAAGAAUGAAGUCUCAACCUAAUGCUAAGGGUGAGAUGUAUGUUUUGAAUGAAGACAUUGACAUGAAAGCAAAGGUUGCAGCUAUGGCAAGGAGAUUGGAAGAGCUAGAAAUGAAGAACAUACAAAAAGUGCAAGCCAUUUCUGAGACAUCAAUGAAAGCUAUGCCUUGUUCCAUUUGUCAAUCUUAUAAGCACCUAGUGGAGGAGUGUCCUACAAUUCCAGCAGUGAGAGAGAUGUUUGGUGAUCAAGCAAAUGUUAUUGAUCAAUUCAAGCCUAAUAACAAUGCUUCAUAUGGCAACACCUACAAUUCAAAUUGGAGGAACCAUUCAAAUUUCUCUUGGAAACGAAAGCCACCUCAAUACACACAACCUACUCAAGCACCUUAGCAAUCCUCGAAUCUUGAACAAGCUAUUGUGAACCUUAGCAAGGUUGUGGGAGACUUUGUGGGAGAUCAGAAGUCCAUCAAUGCUCAACUGAAUCGGAGAAUUGACAGUGUGGAGAGUACAUUGAACAAAAGGAUGGAUGAGAUGUAAAAUGAUCUGUCUCAAAAGAUAGACAAUGUCCAAUACGUAAUCUCAAGGCUUACCAACCUCAACACAGUGUAAGAGAAAGGAAAGUUUCCUUCUCAACCUCAUCAAAAUCCUAAGGGUAUCCAUGAAGUAGAGGCUCAAGAGGGAGAAUCUUCAAAGGUGAGGGAAGUCAAAGUAGUUAUCACCUUGAAGAGUGGUAAAGAGGUUGAUCAACCCACAUCCAAGCCAAAGCAUAAUGAAGAGAGUGUAGCAGAAAAAGAAAAGAGAGGAAAAUAAAGGAAUUAGAAUAGAGAAAAAUACAAAGAAAGAUGACCAUGAGUCUAGUGUGGAUGAAGAGCCCGAGAGGAUGGUGAUCAAGGAAGAUAUGAUGAAGAAACACAUGCCUCCACCUUUCCCCUAAGCUUUGCAUGACAAAAAAAGAACCAAUAAUACAUCAGAAAAUUUUGAAGUAUUGAGGCAAGUGAAGGUCAAUAUCCCUUUGCUAGACAUGAUCAAACAAGUGUCGACAUAUGAAAAAUUCUUGAAGGACUUGUGCACUGUAAAGAGAGGGUUGAAUGUGAACAAGAAAGCUUUAUUGACCGAGCAAGUGAGUUCCAUCAUACAGUGCAAGUCCUAGUGAAGUACAAAGAUCCGGGUUGCCGUACCAUCUCAGUGAGUAUUGGAAGGACUUGUGUGGAGAAAGCUUUGUUGGACUUGGGAGCAAGUGUGAAUUUGCUAUCCUACUCUGUCUAUAAGCAGUUGGGAUUUGGAGAGUUGAAGCCAAUAUCCAUCACUCUAUCUCUAGCGGAUAGAUCAAUGAAGAUUCCAAGAGGGAUGAUCGAAGAUGUCCUGGUUCAAGUUAACAAAUUCUACUAUCCAGUAGAUUUUGUUGUUCUUGAUAUGGAUCCGGUUGUCAAAUGAACUAAUUAUGUUCCUAUCAUACUUGGAAGACCCUUCCUAGCUACAUCAAAUGCAAUCAUCAAUUGUAGGAAUGGAGUCAUGCAACUCACAUUUGUCAACAUGACAUUAGAGCUCAACAUCUUCCAUUUGUACAAGAAGCAUAUCCAUCAGGAGGAAAAAGAAGGUCUAGAGGAAGUGUGAAUGAUUGACACUUUAGUGGAAGAGCAUUGUGAUCGAGAAUGCAAAAAGAUUUAGUUGAGAAUUUUGGGGAUCUUGAUGAAAGGUUACUUGAACCCUCAGAUUUGCUUGCUACCCUACUCCAUUGGAAGAGAAGAGAAGAAAUUCUACCCUUAUUCAAUGAGGAGGAGACGCAAAGAGCUGCAAAGGAGAAACCCCCAAAACUUAUUCUUAAGCCACUACCCACAGAGUUGAAGUAUGUAUACUUGGAAGAAGACAAGAAGUGCCCUAUUGUUAUAUCUUCAACUCUUACCAUUCAUCAGGAGGAUUGUCUACUUGAAGUCCUUAGAAGAUGUAAGAAGACAAUAAGGUGGCUAAUUUCUUAUUUGAAAGGGAUCAGCCCUUUAGUCUGCACCCAUCAUAUUUACAUGGAGGAUGAAGCUAAGCUAAUUCAUCAACCUCAGAGAAGGUUGAACCCUCACAUGCAAGAGGUGGUUCGAGCUGAAGUUCUGAAGCUACUUCAGACCAGUAUUAUUUACCCCAUAUCAAAUAGCCCAUGGGUGAGUCCUACUCAAGUUGCGCCAAAGAAGUCUGGGAUCAUGGUGGUGCAAAAUGAUAAGGGAGAAGAUGUCUCUACACGCCUCACUACAGGUUGGAGGGUGUGUAUCAAUUACAGGAGGUUGAAUGCAGUGAUAAGAAAGGACCAUUUCUCAUUGCCCUUUAUUGAUCAGGUGCUUGAGAGGGUCUCUGGGCUUUUUUUUUUAUUGUUUCUUGGAUGGCUACUCCGGGUACUUUCAGAUAGAAAUUGAUGUUGAAAACCAAGAUAAGACCAUUUUCACAUGCCCAUUUGGAACCUAUGCAUAAAGGAGAAUGCCUUUCGGCUUAUGCAAUGCACCCGCAACUUUCCAAAGAUGCAUGUUAAGCAUUUUCAGUGAUAUGGUGGAGCGUAUUAUGGAAGUCUUUAUGGAUGAUAUCACCAUUUAUGGAAGUGCAUUUGAUGAAUGCUUGGUCAACUUAGAAGCUGUUCUGAACCGAUACAUUGAGAAAGACUUAGUGCUUAACUGGGAGAAGUGCCAUUUCAUGGUACACCAAGGGAUUGUCCUUGGGCACAUUAUCUCCAAGCAAGGCAUUGAAGUUGACAAAGCAAAGGUUGAACUCAUUGUUAAGUUGCCAUCCUCAACAAAUGUCAAAGGAGUAAGGCAAUUCUUUGGCCAUGUCGGGUUCUAUAGGAGGUUUAUCAAGGAUUUCUCUAAGCUUGCAAGGCCUCUUUGUGAAAUAUUGGUGAAUGAUGUUAAAUUCAUAUGGGAUGAUGGAUUUGAAAGGAGUUUUGAAGAAUUGAAGCUAUUUUUGACAACCGUACCAAUAGUGAGGGCUCCCAACUGGCAACUGCCCUUUGAAGUAAUGUGUGAUGUCAAUGAUUUUGCUAUAGGAUUUUUUCUUGGGCAAAGAGAAAAUGGAAAACCUUAUGUGAUCUACUAUGCGAGGAAGGCAUUGAAUGAGGCACAAAGAAACUACACAACCACCGAGAAAGAAUUGUUAGCUGUAGUUUUUGCCUUGGAUAAGUUUCGCGCUUACUUGGUGGGGUCCUUCAUCAUGGUUUUUACUGAUCACUUUGCUUUGAAGUAUCUGUUGACUAAGCAAGAUGCUAAAGCAAGGCUGAUUAGAUGGAUUCUCUUACUUCAAGAGUUCAAUCUCCAUAUCAAAGAUAAGAAAGGAGUGGAGAAUGUGGUAGCAGACCACAUUUCAAGGCUAGCUAUCGCACAUAAUUCCCAUGCUUUGCCCAUUAAUGACGAUUUUCUAGAGGGGUCUCUCAUGUUGGUGGAAGUUGUCCCUUGGUACGCUCACAUUGCUAACUACCUGGUCACGGGAAAAGUUCCAAGUGAGUGGAAAGCACAAGAUAAGAAGCACUUCUUUGCAAAAAUUCAUGCCUACUAUUGGGAAGAGCCAUUUCUAUUCAAGUAUUGUAUGGAUCAGAUAAUAAGGAAGUGCGUUCCUGAAGAAGAGCAACAGGGGAUCCUUAGUCAUUACCAUGAAAAUGCAUGUGGAGGCCACUUUGCUUAUCAAAAGACAGCCAUGAGGGUGUUGCAAUCGGGUUUCUGUUGGCCAUCACUUUUCAAAGAUGCCCACACCAUGUGCAAGAGUUGUGAUCGAUGCCAGAGGCUUGGGAAGUUGACACGCAGGAACAUGAUGCCUUUGAACCCCACUUUAAUAGUUGAUAUUUUUUAUGUUUGGGGCACUAACUUCAUGGGACCUUUCCCUAUGUCUUUUGGCUACUCUUACAUCUUGGUAGGAGUAGAUUAUGUUUCUAAGUGGGUUGAGGCAGUCCCAUGCAAACACAAUGACCAUAGAGUGGUUCUCAAGUUUCUUAAAGAGAAUAUCUUCUCAAGAUUUGGGGUGCCCAAAGCCAUAAUUAGUGAUGGGGGUACUCAUUUUUGCAACAAGCCUUUUGAAACUCUCCUAGCCAAGUAUGGGGUGAAGCAUAAGGUAGCUACACCUUACCACCCUCAAACUCAUGGACAAGUUGAGUUAGCAAACAGGGAGAUUAAAAACAUAUUGAUGAAGGUGGUGAACACAAACAGAAAAGAUUGGUCAGUCAAGCUUCUUAAUUCACUAUGGGCAUAUAGAACAACUUACAAGACCAUUCUCGGGAUGUCUCCUUAUCGCCUAGUUUAUGGCAAAGCAUGCCAUCUCCCUGUGGAAUUGGAAUACAAAGCUUGGUGGGCAAUCAAGAAGCUCAACAUGGAUUUGAGCAGAGCUGGGUUGAAGAGGUUCUUAGACCUUAAUGAGAUGGAGAAAUUGAGAAAUGAUGCCUACAUCAAUUCAAAAAUUGCAAAAGAAAAAUUGAAGAGGUGGCAUGAUCAGUUGAUUUCCCGCAAGGAUUUUCAAAAUGGACAAAGAGUCUUACUUUAUGACUCUAAACUCCACAUCUUUCCGGGCAAGCUGAAAUCAAGGUGGAUAGGUCAUUUUACCAUUCACCAAGUGCAUUCAAAUGGAGUAGUGGAACUACUCAACUCCAACAAUAUCGAGAACUUCAAAGUGAAUGGCCACCGUCUCAAGCCCUUUGUGGAGUCUUUUUCUCACAACAAGGAGAAAUUCAUCCUCCUUGAUCCACAUCAAGCUUAACAAGACCAAUUUUCUUGAUGGACUUAGUCUUUCUAAAGACUAUCGAGUCCAUAACUUUUUGUUUUAUUUUUUAUUUGAGAUUUUUUCGGUAUUGUUACUUGUUUUGUUUUUUAUUUUUCGUUUUAAUUUUAUUUGGUUUGAUUUAACUUAGGUUUUUGAUGAUCAAUUACAGGGGGGAUUUCAAAUAGAGGAAAAACCAAGAUAAUUCGCACACCCUACGAAAAUUUCGCAAGGCAUGCGAAAUUUAUGGCUUAUUUUGCAUGGGGUGAAAAUUUUCGUACAUCUUACGAACCAAUUUCGAACACUUUGCGAAAAUAAACCAACCCUGCGAAAUCAUUUCGAUUACUCUACGAAAUUUUCGUAGAGCAUGCGAAAAAUUUAGCACACCAAACACCAUUUCGCAUACUAUGCAAAAACCUAAGGGGUCUGCGAAACCAUUUCGCACCUCCAAAUCCAUUUCGCACAUUGUGCGAAAACCAAGAGGCGCUGUGCGAAAAUGAAAAGUCGCCCUGUCAUCCCUUUUUAAACCCCUCGAGCCCUAAAAUCUCCAUUUCGCAAGCACCCCUGUCCUUGCGAAUCCCUCAUUUUCCUCUACUACCUUGCAACCUCGUCCCUUUCCAUUUGAUAUUGUGCCCCGCGCACAUCUCAUUUCAGAGACUCGCACUCCGCGCCCCCUCAAAGCAUGGACUCGAGACCCACCUUCCAUUUCCGACGUGGCACGGACCCAAGGAGCCCUUUCUGCCCCUUCACUAAGACACACACCAAGGCAGAAAGCCUCCUUUGCUCAAGUGCCUAGUGAUUCUCCAUCUUAGGCCUCAGAGGCCUCGGAGGCCCCGUGGAUUCCACCUUCCGAGGGUAGAGCAGCCAUUGGUCCUUCCUCUUCUACUCCUUAGCGUAGAUACGAGACGAGGAGACCACCUACUACACAAGGGGCGACUACUUCGAGCCUUGAGAAUUCAGUACGAUGCCUUCCUGCCAAGAGGGUCAAGACUUCAGGUCCAAGUGAGUCAUCCAGAGCUUCAUAGCCUAAGCCUCCUGUAGAUUCCAAGGUUCCUACUGACAUAUCACCGGAGUCUAUUAUCAGAAGCCCGAUGCUCAUAGCACCGCCCAUUGAGGGCAACUCAGAUUAUAGAGCGAGAUCUUUCCACUUGGAGCUAUAUUUUGAUCAGGAGGCCAUACGACAGCAGCCUGAGCUCCGAGACUCUUAUGGCUUACUGCAGAGGUACCAUCUUGAGGAACUUAUGACUCCUCGUGAGUUUUUUUAUCCCAGAGUAGCACUAAACUUUUACCAGUCCAUGACUACUCGUGGCGUCCCGAGUCCUACCACGAUUCACUUCACCAUUGAUAGACGUCAUGGUAUCCUCAAGGCCAGACAUAUUACAGAGGCUCUACAAAUUCCUUUCGAGCUAGAGGAUCCAUCUGUUUUUCGCUAAUGGUCCCCAGUAUCUCAGAGGGACAUGGUCCGUAUUUUAUCUAGGGGAACAUCUACAGAUUCGAUCUUUCUACGGAAGGAGCUUCGACCUGGGAUGCUCCUCUUAGAUGUGGUGCUAUGCUCCAACCUCUUUCCCUUACAACAUUCGGUACAUAGGUGAUGAGCUAUUUUGGACGCUUUAUUCCGUAUAUCAGAGGGCUUCUACUUUGGCCCGCACCACUUGAUCAUGGUCUCCCUCAUCCACUUUGAGGAGAAGGUUCAUAGGAAGAAGCUUCAGAGGGUGGACACCAUUCCAUUACUAUUCCUGAGGUUACUUUGCCAGGUCUUGGAGUACAUGGGCUUUCCUACUGAGCCUCGGCUCGAGCUUUGCCGCCUUUGUCGAGAGUGAUCCACUCUCGACAAAUGGAAUUAGUUGGCGGGCUAUUCUGCACCUCCAGGAGCCCCUCCCAUGGUAGCACCUCCAAUGUCCCCACAGGCAAAGUAGGGCGAGCUCCCGGCAAAGACUGUACCACCAAUGCCCACACUUGAGGCUAUUUCUGCUGCUCUGCCUAUGACUCCUACUGUUCCACCAGUUGGUCCUUUUACAUCCGAGCCUUCCAUCACCAUCUCGGCUUCGGAGUUUCGCGCCCUUGUGCAUACCUUUCAGACACUCACCACCACACAUACUCCUCUCUUCUAGCAAAUGGUUGAGAUGUGUGCCCAUCAGGACCGGAAGACUACUAUACUCUGCCAAAUUCAGCAGCACCUAAGACUUUUGCCUCAACCUCAACCUAACCAUCCCAUAUCAUCAGAGCCUCUAGCUCCAACUGAGGAUACUAUUCCACCUGAGAACACUACCACAGUAGAGGUCCGGUUUCCACCACCUUAAGAGGCCACCACAGCUACAUCAGAGGAUGUGUCAUCUCCACUUGAGGCUCCCACUACUUGAUCAUAGGACAUAUCUUUAUCUUAUUGUAUUUACAUAUUAUAUUACUAGAGAUUUGUCCUUGUUUUGAUACUUUAUAUUCUGGGAUUGGAUGUAUUGCCUGAUGAUAUCUCAAUUGUACUUUCUCAUAUUAAUAUAUAGACAUCAAUUUUUUUUAGUAUACUUAGCAUUUUUCUAUUUCCUCUACUCAUUACUCUUUUGUUUUUUUUUACUCAUGUGGUUUCUCUUAUACAACUCAGACUCCAUUUCACUCAGGAGGUACCACUUCCUCCCUUUAUUUUCAAUUGCUCUUGAAAUAUUGAGUGCAAUGUUGAUCUUGGUUGGGGGGAGAGUUGAGGAAGGAAGUUUUGUUAAUAAUGCUAGGUUAAUUUGUUAAUUUAGUUACUUUCUGCUUAAUUUUAAAAGUUUUCACUCUACUUUCCAUGGUUAUUAAGGAAAAAUUCUCAAAAUGAAAUGGGAGAAAUCGAAUUCUUGCAUUUUUACUUGAAUCUUAGAAUUUGUAUCAUGCUUAUUAAAGUUGAUGAAUUAUUGAAACUCCUAUUGAAUUCAACCUUAUUUUUUCCACUUUAAUCUUACCACACACGGUGCACAUUAGGUUCCAGUUAUAAGAUAAAAAACUAUCUCACCCCCUAAACUUAGAAAAAUUUACACUUGGUACCUUUGACAUCGUUUUAAUAGUGUUGGGACACCUUAUAAAAGGCCAAUGAGCCUUUAAAAAAAAAAAAAAAAAAAAAAAGAGAAAGAACAAAGUAUUGCACUUGCCUUGAAACCUGAGCAAGAUCCGAGGGGUAUACAGUGAAAGUCUUUAAAACCUGGUGCCCUAAGCCUUGAUUGGUUGGGAGUCACCGACCUCAAUGCUCGUUAUAAGGGUGAAUAGGUGGAGUUUAACAUAUUGUAGGUGCUUGGGUAUUGAAUUUCAAUCUCAAAAGUCCGGGAAAAAAUCUAAGGAGUUAGUGGUCAAAAGAUCCUUAAAGCUUGAUGCCCUAAACCUUGAUUGGUUGAGAGUCAUUGAUGGAUCCCCGCUACAUGGACAUUUUAGAAAACAAUACCUUUAGCAUUGCACGCCUACAAUGAAAAAAAAAUGUGAAAUAAAAGAGGUGCGUUCUUAGCCUAUUGGAGGUUGGUCAGUUUGCUAAAGUUUGAGAAAUCUAGGUUGGGGGGAGAGAAUAGUCCGACAUACUAUAAUAAAAAACUAAUAACCUUAACACUUAGAUUUUUGUGGAAGAGUAAGGAUUGGACCUUUAGGGGUGGAAAUUCUUUUGAUGCUUAAAUUUGCAUAAUGCCUACUCUUUAUAAAUUAUGAUUAGGCAAGAGAUUUGAUGACUCUUGUUCAAAGUUGGGUUUUUCCUCUUUGAUGUUCCAUGAGAGAGUAUAAUCCUCAUCAUGCCACUUGAAAUCUUUUUGGAGUGAUUAACAUGAUUUUGUAAAUUAUUUUACUGUCUAUUUUUCUUUAUCUCUCUUUUAUUGCUAAUGGACUAGCAAUAUGUCAGUUGGGGGGAGUGAUUACUACUCAAAAAGUACUCUUUUAUAGCUUGAAACUAACUGUUUUAAACACUUUUGAGUAGGUGUUAAUACAUUUUAACUCAAUUGGCACAUUAAGGAACCUAACAAGGGUUACUAAUAAGUUUUUGGCAAGUUUUGGUGUUUUUGGUAGCUAUUUGAUCAUUGAAACAAGCCAAGAAUGAGGGAGAAUUUUGUGAAGUCCAUAGCAAUGCAAGUUAAAGCUCAAAUACAUGAAGAAUCCAAGCUUUGAAGCACUUCAUAGCCCUUUGCGAAGCCAAUCAGAGAUGCAAGGAAGAAAACCAGAGGAAAAAAUCCAACAACCAGCAUUUUCGCAUGGCUGUGCGAAAUUUUGCACACCAUGCGAAACCACAAGAAGUAGCCAAAGAAUUUUGCACACCAUGCGAAAUUUCGCAUGGUAUACGAAAUCUUCCUAUGCACCAACUCCGUUAUAUUUUUAUCUUCAGAUAUUUUGUGUAAUUUCCUAGUUUCUCCUUGUAACCAACCUAGAUAUUUUCUUUUAUAUCUUUUUUUUAUAUUUUUUAGGUAACAUCAUAUAUAGGGGGAGAGACAUAAGGAGGAUAUGGAUGUUUUUCAUAAAACACUUUUAAUUUUCUGGUAGUAAGAAAUAUACAAAGUUUUUUGCUCUGCCUUACCUUCUCAUUUUGUUUUCACCUAUCUUUCUAGCCAAACAACCUCUGAGAAUGAUUUCUCAGGGGAUGAGUAGUUAGGUUUUACGUUUCUUGGAGUGAGAGAAGCUAGGUGAAAGACCCAAAUGCUAAGGUGGGAGUUGUCCUUGCUUUAAAUGAAAGUAGUUGUUAAAUAUUAAUGGUUUUUAUUUUAAGGUUUAGCUUUAAAUCCCUUAAAAACACCUUGAAUGGCCAAUACUUGGUAAGCUUUUCGGAUUCUAUGGAUGCUUAUUGCUAGAUCCAUGGAUGUCAUUAGUUAUCAUUUAUGAGCCAUUGGAAGGUGGUUCAAGAUGAGAGUCUUUAGUGUUUGAAGCCAUUAAUGGGAAACAAUUACCAUUUUUUCAUGAAUCCUUUGGAUAAAAUCUUAAUUGCUAAAUAUAAAACUGGUUCGGGAGAUAACCAUCCUUUAUGUUAUUAUGCCCAAUGCAAGGAGAAGAUUUCGAAUCUUCUCAUUUGUCUAAGGAACCCGAUCCUAGUGACCUAAAGCUCCUAGAGACCUUUUCUUUGUAGUUAACUUCAUUUAUUGUUUUUGCUUAACUUAAAAUCAAUCUUUGCAACCACAAUUCCAUUUUCUUUAAAAGCUAAUUUUUAUAAGGAAAAGCACCAUUUUAUUUCCUUCACUAAGUCAACUGUAUGAUGAAAACCCAUCCCUGUGGACGAUCUUAGAGCCACUAUACUAUGUUAUCUAUGCUAUCCUAGUGUGAGGUGAUUUAGGUUUUAUAAAUUUUGUUGAUAACACCCGUCUGAGCCAGAAUCAAAUGGAACCACUGAACCAGGGACAAAUCAACAGCCUAUAUGGGAGGGACACAAGUUUAAUUGAUUUGCAUUUCAGCGUUAUAGAUAAGUAUGUUUUGGAAGAUUUGUUCUGGAAAUACUGCACCAAGUACGAUUCUUUUUCUCUUGAGUGAGUCCAUUUGCAUGCCAAUUAACGAGUUGAAAAGUAGGAGCACCUACCUCGUGCUCAUGGAACCGAAUGUCAGUGAAGUGGGGCUCCUUUUAGCCUCUUGUGUUUCUGUUCCAACCAAGGCGGCGUAGGGAAAAACAACAAUAUGUCUGUGCUAAAUAUCAACGCAUGAUAGAUGUUUUUUUUUUUUUUUUUGGUAUGUCAAGGCUAACGAAUGAAAUGCAUUAGCUUGUUUUGUGACUAUAACUGCAAAUGUCCAAAUUGGAGUAUCUCCAUUUCUCACUUCGGAUGGUUAACUUUAUAAACAAGAUAUAGGAAACAUGUGAACAUCUUGAGGAACAAUUCAAAUUAUUCAUUAGAAGUCCUGGGUUAAGUUCCAAGAUUUAAAUCAGACCCUUCUAGCAGCUUCAAGGGUACUUAGCAACCUAUAACAUAUUAAUGAAGAUUUAGGAUUUAGACUCCGGAAUACAAAUAAAUAUGUAUCUCAUGCUUUGACUAGCUUCCCUACAUAUGCAUAAAAUGGAGAUGACCCAAAAAAAAUAGCAGAAUCUAGCUUCCCUACAUAUGCACAAAAUGGAGAUGACCCAAAAAAUAGCAUAAUCGCCUUAGUUUCUGUGGUUAAGGUGAUUCUCCGCUUAAUAUCCACAUUGACUCAUUAUGCAAAAUCAACUGAGCUAAUUUUAUUUAUUUAUUUAAUGUCAAAUAGGAACUCCUAAUUAACUGAUUACUGUCGAAAAGUGCUAUUUUGUAGACCUAAUUAUAAGGGUUUUAAGCACCUUUGAGUAGUAAUCAUAUUCAUUUAACCUAAUUAAUUCAUUAAGCUCCUUAGUAAUUAGUUCUAACCAUUUUUAGUGGCAAGUUUACAUGUUUUUCAUCAGCUUAUGAACCAAUUCAAGCAUGCCAAUUGAUGGAGGAGCUACUUGGGCGAGUUAAGCAAGGAUUUUGGACGUUUACAGGCUUGAAUUUCAAGUGGAAACACGAGCACAAGCAAUGGGAACACCAUUUCGCAAGGGGAGGCAAUUCACCUUGCCAAAUGACCAAUUUCGCAAGGGGAUUUUCCUCAUGGUGCAAAAUUUGGUCAUUUCGCACCAUGAAGAAACCACCUUGCAAAAUUUCGCAAGGUGGAUUUAGGCACCUUGCGAAAUGCCAAAUUUCACAAGGUGGCUUUUCACCUUGCGAAAUUUGGACCUUUCAUCUUCCCCCCUUGCGAAAUGCCUUUGAAAUCCCCUGUUUUGAGACGCUGUUGAUGAUAUUCCACUGCCGGUUCUCCAAGAUAUUUUGCUUGACUUUUAGCUUUAUAAAUACCUAUUUUACCCUUGUAAUCAACCAAUGAAAAGGUUGCUUUUGUAAUAGCUCUUGUAAUUUAGCUUUUUAUUGUCUUUAAAUAGAGGUGAAGAGCCUCAGACACGAUCAUCUUGUAACCUGUAACUUUAUAAGUUAUAAGAGCACUUUUGUUCAUACGCUUCUUUUCUCUUUUCUUUCUCAUUUUCUUAGUAGCCAAACAUCCUUGGAGGAUGAAAUCCCCAAGGAUGAGAGGCUAAAACCUUUUAGUUUCUUGAAGUAAUGGAUGCCAUGUGAAGCUCCCGUGUCAGGAUGGAGAUUUCCAAGCCAUAAAUGUAAGUAGCUGAGCGUCAUAAAUGUUUUCAUUCAAAGUAAAGCUUUUAAUCCCUCUGACUUGCUUUGAAUGGCCAAUACUUGAUAACCUUUUGGUCUCAAUGGAUUCUUAUUGUUAGAUCCACUGACGUUCAUUAGUUAUCUCCUACGAGCCAUUGUAUUGCAAGUCGAGGAGAUGACCUAUACCAAUAAAAGAGCAUUUAUGAGGUUCAACUACCCUUUUUGUAAGUUUUCAAGGACUAAAACUCAGUUGUUAAACUCAUACCGGUUCGAGAAGUAAGCAUCACCUUAGUUGCUUCCCCAACUCGAGGUGAAAAGUCCCAAAAUCUCCAUUUUUACACAGUGAGUUAAGCAUGGCUAUCCAAAGCUUUAAGAAACUUCUUUUUCCAUCUUUUAACCUAUUUUCAUGUUAGUUUAGUUUACAACACCUUCAUCUUUUUAUGUUUUCAUCUUAACCUAAUUUUUAUUAAGAAAAGUUCACUCCAUCCUCCGAACUUCACCAGUUAAAGUAAAAACCCUUCCCAGUGUUCGAUCCUAGAGCCACUAUGCUAUAGUAGCUUUGCUACUUUAGUGUAAGGACCUUAGGUAUAAAUUUUGUUGAUACCCUUACAUGCCAAGCUACCAAGAGUCGGGUUAUCAUUAACCUAACCAUUGGCCUGUGUAAAUUGAUUUCACAUGCACAAUGUUGUAGUAGAAGUCCAUAUUUUGAAUUUUAUUUUUGUAAAGGUAAGGAAAAUGAAGCAUUGUGUAAUUAUAAAAAUAACUUCAUUGGAAUUCACAAGGUUCACCCAAAAUGGAGCUACAUCUGUAUUCUAUCCUACAGUAGACUAUAUAGAUUGUACAAUAGUAAAUUGCAAAUACAAUUAAUAAGUCUUGUGCUUCCUUACUAAUAAUCCUUUGACAUGAACAUUGCAGCACUAAGGUCCUCUUGGGAAGACACCUUGCACCCAUGAGAGCACUAAGAGGAAGCAAGGCAGAGUCAUGGGUGCAAUGUCAUGACUUGUUGUUGCACCAAGAGAGGCUUGGUGAUGCCAUGGUGUUGCAGUAGCAAGAAUGUUGCCUUGGCAGGGACACGAUCUAGGGAUAGAUGCCAAGAAAGGCUUAGCACUCACAUGAGUUGCACAAAGAUGAAUGUAAUAGAGCAUCAGAGAGACGUCUUGGCAAGUAAAUGAAUGGAUCCAAGAGACAACAACAUGAGGAGUUUCAAAUGGAUAAGGAAUGACUCAAAGACAUUUGAAAGCUACAAGUUGGAUUCUAAUUACGAUUGCAAUUUGAGUUUGAGUAGGAGUUUAGAUUUUGAUUGUAAUUGUAGUAUGAGUUGGACUAGGAUUGCUUAUCCUUAGUCAAUAUAGGAGCGGUUCGUGUCACCCUAUGAAAAGAGUUUGAGUAGGGACUAGGAUUGCUUACUCCUAGUCAAAUAUGGAGUAGGUGGUGCCACACCUAUAAAAAAAAGGGACAACAUGAGAGAGAGAGAGAGAGAGAAAGAGAGAGUGAAUUCACUAAAGAUAUUGUGGGAGUUUUGCUUUGUUACGUCUUGUAUUAUUACUUAGAAUAGGAAUAAAAUACAAGUUGGGGCUAGAGCCCCAUAAUUAAUCUCGUGUGCCUUUGUGGUUAUUCUUUAUUUGUCAUCUCGUGUGGAUUGGAUUAGGUUGACUUAGAGGGCUUCUAAGCACCACCUUUGUGGGUUAUUAUUUAUUUUCCAUCUCUUGUGGAUUAGAUUAGGUUGACUUAGAGGGCUUCUGAGCACCACCUUUGUGGGUUAUUAUUUAUUUUCCAUCUAUUGUGGAUUAGAUUAGGUUGACUUAGAGGGCUUUUAAGCACCACAUUUGUGGGUUAUUCUUUAUUUUCCAUAUCGUGUGGGUUGGAUUAGGUUGACAAGGAGAAAAAUUAUGUGGGAAAUUUGUGUUGGGACACUUACCAUAACCAAGUAAAAUCUACCAAGUCCUUUGUAAUAUCUUCAACAAAUAUUUUAGACUAGUUCUUUCAGUUAGUGUAAAGGAGGAAGAAGUGGUAUUGAUUCUAGAAAUAGGGUGUGUGUAUUUGAACUACAAUCCUUAUGAUCCUUAGGUCUCUAAACCUUCGUGAUGGGCUCCCUGACAUUUCAUAGGUUGUGCUACACAUGCGUUUGAAAUUUAGAGUGCGUUUGACAGUGAUUCCGGGAAGUGUUUUUGGCCUUUCUUACACUUGAAAAUUUUUAUUUUUCAAGUAUUAGAAAUGCUACAAACACUUUUGAAAAUUACUGUCAAACACACUCUUAGGAGCGCACAUAUAUAGUAGAAAACUAGAAAUUGUGGUUUUUUUAGGAUUUACUGUAAUGUCAUUAGGAGGGUAGUAAGUUGAAAUUGAGUAUGAACAAAUAUUUCUUUCUUUGGGAUGUUCUUCUAGUAGGUGCUGAUGAAACUGUUCUUUCUACUGCCAAUGUCACAUAUCAGCCAGAAAUUGAAAAUUUCAGUCAAGGUGUCCUCUGUUUUAGUGGUGAGGAAAGCUAGAAAUUUUAAGGUGAAGUUUUGUUAAAAACCUUAAGUAGCUGGGAUAUCAGGCCUGUUUUGCUUGAAAAAAAAAGUUGCAAGAUAACUCAUAUGCCAAACAGGUUCUGAUAUUGUGAAUCUAUCGGCAGACAUCAGUAAUCUCAUCUUCUGAGAUGGAUGUUGGGGGUGCAUGUGGUGGUGGAGGGGCAAGGUUUCAUUUGGUUUAUUUUGUUGAUGGAUAUUGUCUAGCCACCUGCGCCAAGUUUGAGGGGUGGUGGGUUGUGAUGACCCUACAAUUACUAUUAAUUUCUUCAUCUUUUACCGAUUAAAGUGUCCGAACAGUCGAAGUUACCCUUAUGCAUGUCAACUUGAUCACUUACCUCUUCAAUGGAGUUUAUGCUGGUUCAUUUAGGAACUGAUUUUUAUUGUUAUGUAUUAUAUGCUGAUGUUUAGGUCUCUCCAUCAUCACUAUAUACAAAAAUUCUAGGUUGAUACUAUAGGUUGAGAUUUAUUUUUUAAAUAAAAAAUAAUAAAAAUAAAAAUUAUGGUGAUGUUUAGUUGUUUUAUGGAAAAUUUUAACAAGUAAAAGUUAUUUUUGGGCAAGUUUUCAAACAAAAAGAAAAGUAAAAGUUGUUUUGACAAAAACAUAUAGAAAAAAAAAUCAUAGAAAAUAAAUAAUUUCCCCAUAUUCUAACUUUUUUGAAUUUUUCUCAAUGGGCAAAGGAAUAUCAAAUCAAGUUUGAGUAGGAUUUCUUAAUUUUUAAAAUAACUUACAAUUAAAAAAUUUUGGUGUUUUCAUUUUUGGACAAUUUUUUAUUAAGCAAAUGGACUCUGAGUCAUGCAAGAGAUAUGGUUCAUUAACCGGUCGAACAAUUUUUUUAAAUUAAUUUAAAAGUCAAAUACAUAAUCAAUUUCACAAAAUUUAUAAACAAAAAUAGGUUUAGAGAAGAUCUACACAUAAUUUUACUUUUCUAAUUUUAUUUUAUUUUAUUUUUUGUUGGAAAAUAGUCUUCAAAUCAUGUAAGAUUUAAUAGGUUAAAUUUGUUAACAAUAAAUUUUAAAUUAUAAAAUAUAAUCUGGAACUCAAAAAUCAAUUCAAGUAAUGCUAAAAAAAAAUCAAAUUUGGUAUAGAAUGACUUUGUAAAUUUUUUUACAAAACAAAUGAAUUUUAAAUCAAGUGAGAUUUAAUGCAUUAGAUUUUUAUCAAAUAUAGUAAUUUUAAAAAUAAAUUUGGAACUCAACAAUAGACACAAUAAAUACCAAAAAAUAAUGAACCAAAAUUGGUUUGGAAUAACUCCACAACCUUUUUUUUUUUUUUUUGGUGCACACGAAUUUUCUUACUAGGUAUAUUGCUUUCAAAUUGAGAAAGAUUUACCAUUUAGAUUUUUUUUUAAUGAGUUUAAUGGUAUUUUAAAAUAAUUCAAAAUUUAAAAAAUUGACUAAUUAAUAUUAUAAAUUGAUAAACCAAGACUAUUUCAAAAUGCAUUGGGGGCUAAGGGGGUUGAAAAUAGGGACAAUGGGAUGGGUUUGGGACAUGACACUCAUAUCUCAUUUCCAUUCCAAUUACACAGUUAUCUCCCAUCCUUAUCCCAAACUUGUGUUGGAGCAAGUUGAUUUGUUCCCAUCUUUGUUGACGAAAUGACUAAUAACCUCAUCCCCUCCUUAUCUUAGAUGUACAUUUUGUCAAAUUUGAUCAGGUAUGAUUGAUCCAAGCCCUAACCCUAAUUGGUAAUGAGUGAAUACUACACCUAAUUGCAUUCUUCUUUCAUUGCAAAAUAAUGAGAUUAUAAUAAUCUAGCAAAUAAGAAAAAAUAGUAUGGAAGUUCAAAUUAACACCAUAACUAUCAAUAAUUUUAAGCUUAUAGAUGACUUAAAUGAUUAAAAACUAAUGCAAAAUCCUAAAAAAAAUAAAAAUCAUAUAAAGAAUUCACAAGAGAACAGAAUGAACAAAAACCAAAUAUGAACAUGGGUCAACAUUAGUUAUGGAUUUGGAUUCCUUUCAAGGCCAAUCUUUGAACCAAGACUUCAUCAAAUCAACUACUUCAAAGGCUUUUGUGUUCUUCUUGGGUUGUGCUCUCAAACAAAGACUUCGAGGUGAUGUUCUAGAUGAUUGAAUUACACAUAUUUAGGGUGGAGAGAUUGGAGAAGCUUGAAGAUGCCAACGAUGGGUACAAUUGAGUGGUCAAUAAGAACAAUGUAGCCUAUGACUAGUUUGAUGUCAUGGUACAAGAGUUUUAGGCAUUGAGGUUAAAGCAAGAGCAACAUGGAAUUGAUUUCGGAGUCUUUCAGUUAGUGUAAAGGAGGAAGAAGUGGUGUUGAUUCUAGAAAUAGGGUUUUAAGUGGUGCGUGAUUACUACUCAAAAAGUGCUAUUUGAUAGCCUUUAAUUAAUCCUUUUUAACACUUUUGAGUAGUAGUUUAGGCCUUUUAACUCAAUUGGCAUGUUAAGGAUCCUUUAAAGCAAUUUUGAUCACUUUGUGCAAGUUUUGGUGUUUUUGUUAGUAUUUUGAUCACCAAAGCAAGUCAAGAAUGAGGAGAACUAUGAGGAAUCAUGGGCAAAGCUUAGAAUUCAAUUGCCAAGAGUGAAUCCGGAUUGCAAGGAGAAAAAGCAAAGAGAAUCUGUCAUGAAGCCUAUUCUUGAUGACAGUCGUAGCAGCCACUUUUGGAGCACUUUCUGAAGUCCAAAUGAUGCAAGCUAUAUACCAUUUCAAAGAUCAGGAAGUCAACAAUCCAAUGCUUCAAACGGUGCGCGAUUCGGAGUUGAAACGAAGAAGUUGCAGCCAUUACAAGCCAGUCACUCUAAAGUGUUGCGGAAUCAGCCUUUUGUUGCGAGAAUUUCGCAGCACUUUUGUACAGUAAGGUGUUUCUCCUUCUGACGAUGCACGAACCAUGCCGCGAGAGGGAAGCUAGGAACUUCAAGAUGGAAGCCAACUUUGCAGCCUGGUGAAGAUAGCUUGGUCUUGCGAAAUAAUUUCGCAGCCCUCUUGGGUGUCUGCGAAAUUUCGCAGGCACCACUUUUUUCCUGCGAAAUGGCUCCGGAAGCCUCCCGAAGCUUGCUACCGACAUUGGGAGAUAUUUUCCAUUAGAUUUUUGUUGUCUAAAUUCCAAAAUACUCCUUGUAAACCACCAAUUACAUGAUUCCUUAGUUUUUAAGUUAGUAAAAAGACCAAAUAUCUAUGUAAUAAUUAGUUUUAUAUUAGUUUGCUAUAAAUACCUCUCGGGAGCAUGUUCUCAGAGAGGAGUUCCUUCUGUAACCAUUUUGGUAAGCAAGUAAAGUCUUUUCUUUCUACUGCCUUACCUUCUCACUUUGUAUUUUCAUUUUAUUUCUAAGUUAUGAAUUCUCUGAGGAGCUUUCCCCAGAGAAUGAGUAACUAAACCUCCAAUUCCUUGGAGCUAAGGUUGCCGGGGAAGGUUCCAAGUGCAAGAAUGCAAAGCUCUGUGGUUUUAGCUAGUAAUGAAGAGGAAGUGAAAUCCUUUAGUGAUUUCAAUGUUUUUAGUUAACUUAAAACACCUUGGAGUCACCUGGGCCAACACUUGGUAAGGCAAGUGAUUUCCAACCGUGGAAAUGCACUAGUUUACCCCUUGCGAGCCUCUGGUAGGUGACUUCAAGGUAGGAUUUUCUGGAAUUACCAACACUUGGUAAGCUUUUGGACUCCUAGGAGACAUCCAUUAGUUAUCUCUUGCGAGUUUGUGAAGGGGAAUCCAAGGUUAAAGAUCACCUUGAAUGGUAAGUGCUCGUGAGAGGCAUGAACCAUUGCAAGUUGUAUCAGUGAGAGAAUUAAAGUGAAAUCUAAUUGAAGGAGUCUCUGUACAUCACCGGUUAGAGAAUUGACUAUAAGUUGAAUCUCUAAUGCGAGGAAAUGAACCAUCUGACCGGAGCUAUGUCUUUUGCAUGAGGAACCACCCCAGUGAACCUAAAUCUCCAAGGAAUGCUUUUCUUCCUAAAUUAUUCCAAACUUCUGUUAAGUUAGUUAGUUUAAGUCUAAACCUUUACCAAUCAAACUUUGUGUUUUAUUUCUUAAGCUAACCGUGAAAUGAAACAAAACCAAUUCACUUGGAAUUGGUAUCCUUGAUUGCUUGCAAAUCAUUCCCAGUGAACGAUCCUUAGAGCCACUAUACUAUAGUAGCUUUGUAUUUGCUACCCUAGUGUAUGGUGUUAUAGGUAUAAAUUUUGUUGAUCACUUCCUCAAUCAAGGAACACCAGCUGAACACAAAUCAGCUGAGACACCAAUUGGGCAUGAGUCAAAUGGCGCCGUUGCCGGGGAAUGAGUGUCAAGAUCAUUGUGAUACCAUUUUUGAGCACUUGUGAUUUUCAUCACAAGUUGGUAAAGUUUCUUUCACUUUACUAAUUUUCAUUCUCUCUUUGUUUAUUUACAAUCUAAGUUUAUCUUUUUAAAAUUUAGUCUAGUUUAAUUUUGCUAUUGUAGCCUUGUUUCUCUUGUUGUCCUCUGUUCUUGUUGUCCUCUGUUUUCAUUUUAGUUGCAGCUGAAUACUAGUUGUGUAUGCCAAAGUGGAUACGAGACAUUGGAGGUAGGCUUAUUAAGUGUGAUACACCUCAGAGAGGAGAAUUGGAAGUAAUCUUGAAUAUCAUGGAGGCUGCACCUGAAGAUCAGCAUAGUCACCAAGGUCGUCAAGACAAUCUCAAUGAAUUCAGAUCAAUGAGGGACCGUAUGCAUCCACCUCGUAUGAGUGCACCAUCAUGUAUAGUGCCCCCUACAGAGCAACUAGUGAUCAGACCAUAUCUUGUUCCACUUCUACCAACUUUCCAUGGGAUGGAAAGUGAGAAUCCGUAUGCACACAUCAAGGAAUUUGAAGAUGUUUGUAAUACAUUCCAAGAGGGAGGAGCUUCAAUUGAUUUGAUGAGGCUUAAGUUAUUUCCUUUUAAUUUAAAGGAUAAGGCCAAAAUUUGGCUUAAUUCUUUAAGGCCAAGGAGUAUCCGCUCUUGGACUGAUUUACAAGCUGAAUUCCUCAAGAAAUUUUUUCCUACUCAUAGAACAAAUGGCUUGAAAAGGCAAAUUUCAAACUUCUCAGCUAAAGAGAAUGAGAAAUUCUAUGAGUGUUGGGAAAGAUACAUGGAAGCUAUAAAUGCUUGUCCUCACCAUGGCUUUGAUACUUGGCUACUGGUGAGUUAUUUUUAUGAUGGUAUGUCCUCCUCAAUGAAGCAACUCCUCGAGAAAAUGUGUGGAGAAGAUUUCAUGAGCAAAAAUCCAGAGGAAGCUAUGGAUUUCUUGAGCUAUGUAGCUGAUGUUUCAAGGGGAUGGGAUGAACCAACUAAAGGAGAAGUGGGAAAGAUGAAGUCUCAGUUGAAUGCUUACAAUGCAAAGGCUGGGAUGUAUACUUUAAAAGAGGAUGAUGACAUGAAAGCAAAGUUGGCAGCUAUGACAAGAAGAUUGGAGGAGCUGGAGCUGAAAAGAAUGCAUGAAGUGCAAGCUGUUGCUGAAGCACCAGUGCAAGUGAAGUUGUGUCCCAAUUGUCAAUCGUUUGAACAUUUGGUAGAGGAAUGCCCUGCAAUUUCAGCUGAAAGGGAAAUGUAUAGAGAUCAAGCAAAUGUUGUUGGACAAUUCAGGCCCAAUAACAAUGCUCCUUAUGGAAAUACCUACAAUUCAAGUUGGAGGAAUCAUCCAAAUUUUUCAUGGAAGGCCAGAGCAACUCAAUACCAACAGCCGGAUCCACCAUCUCAACAAUCUUCAAGUAUUGAACAAAUAAUAGCUAAUCUCAGCAAGGUAGUGGGAGAUUUUGUGGGAAAGCAAGAAGCCACCAAUGCUCGAGUGGAUCAAAGAAUGGACAGAGUGGAUCAAAGAAUGGACAGAAUGGAGAGUAUGUUGAACAAAAGAAUGGAUGGAAUGCAAAAUGAUAUGAAUCAAAAAUUUGAUAACAUCCAAUAUUCAAUUUCAAGGCUUACAAAUUUGAAUACACUGCAAGAAAAGGGAAGAUUUCCUUCUCAACCUAACCAAAAUCCCAAAGGUGUCCAUGAAGUGGAAAGCCAUGAGGGAGAAUCAUCACAGGUGAAAGAUGUGAAAGCUUUGAUCACUCUAAGGAGUGGUAAGAAAAUUGAGCAGCCAACACCCAAGCCACAUGUUGAGAAAGAAGAAGAGAUGAAGAAAGGGAAGGAAAUGGAAGAUAAAGGCAGUGAGAUCAGUGAAGAAAAGAAGGACUCUGAUGCAACAAUGAAAGUAAUUCCAGAGAAGGAGCUUCUGAAGGAAGAAAUGCUGAAGAAAUCAACUUUUCCACCUUUUCCUCAAGCAUUACAGGGGAAAAAGGGGGUUAGAAAUGCAGCUGAAAUCCUAGAAGUAUUGAGGCAAGUGAAAGUUAAUAUUCCACUGCUGGAUAUGAUCAAACAAGUUCCAACGUAUGCAAAAUUCCUAAAGGACUUGUGUACUAUCAAAAGAGGGUUGACUGUAAACAAGAAAGCCUUCUUGACUGAGCAAGUAAGUGCAAUCUUACAGUGUAAGUCUCCUUUGAAGUACAAAGACCCUGGAAGUCCUACCAUUUCAGUCAUGAUUGGAGGAAAGGUAGUGGAGAAAGCCUUGCUAGACUUGGGAGCAAGUGUGAAUUUGCUUCCAUAUUCUGUCUACAAGCAACUGGGACUUGGAGAGUUGAAGCCAACAGCAAUCACUUUGUCUCUGGCAGAUAGAUCAGUGAAAAUUCCAAGAGGGGUAAUUGAGGAUGUAUUGGUUCAAGUAGAUAAUUUCUACUAUCCUGUAGAUUUUGUUGUUCUUGAUACAGAUCCUACUGUAAAGGAAGCUAAUUUAGUUCCUAUCAUCCUUGGAAGGCCAUUUCUUGCAACUUCAAAUGCAAUCAUCAACUGUAGAAAUGGGCUUAUGCAACUCACUUUUGGUAACAUGACACUGGAUCUAAAUAUUUUCUAUAUGUCUAAAAAGCAAAUCACUCCAGAAGAAGAAGAGGGUCCAGAAGAGCUAUGUAUUAUUGAUACUUUGGUGGAGGAGCACUGCAAUCAACAUAUGCAAGAUAAGUUGAAUGAAAGUUUUGUGGAUAUUGAGGAAGGUUUUUCUGAAUCUCCUAAUGGGCUUGCUACUCUACAAAGUUGGAGAAAGAUAGAAGGAAUUCUACCUUUGUUCAAUGAAGAAGAGGAGGCAGCUGUUGAAAAAGAAAUUCCAAAACUCAAUCUGAAGCCUUUACCUAUGGAGCUGAAAUAUACAUAUCUUGAAGAAAAUAAUCAAUGUCCUGUCGUAAUAUCUUCAUCUCAAACCAAGUCUCAAGUGAAGGAUGCAAGCUUCAAAUGGGAUCCGGGCAAACUGAAUCAGGAAGGGCAAAAAGUUUUGAUGUAUGACACAAGACUCCAUAUCUUUCCUGGGAAGCUCAAGUCAAGGUGGAUUGGUCCAUUUGUUAUUCACCGAGUAUAUUCCAAUGGAGUGGUGGACUUAUUGAAUUCCAAUGGCAAGGACAGCUUUAGAGUCAAUGGAUAUCGUCUUAAGCCGUUCAUGGAGUCAUUCAAAUCAGAAAAGGAGGCAAUCAACCUCCUUGAACCUCAAAAAGCCUAAGUGAAAUGGGUUUGCUGGACGUGGUUUUACCACAGUCCAAAAAUUUUUGUAAAUUUUGUAAAUUUUCAAGUUGUUUCCAUGCUUUUAAUCUUAGUUUUUGAUUUUAAAUCAUGUUUUUAGGUGUGUUUUAAUCGUUUUAUAUGAUCCCAGGCGGAAGAAAUUUCAAGGGGAUUGAAAAGAAAAAAAUCGGGUCGAAAUUGGAGCCGAAACAGAGCAAAAACAGGGGAAAAACAGAGCUCUGCGAAAUUUCGCAGGGUGAAGGAAACUUCUGCGAAAUUGGCAUUUUGCUGCCAAACCAUUCCGCAGCACUGUAGAAGCCUCUGCGAGUGUAUUUCGCAAUUGCGAAAGUGGAUUUGGCACACGAGUGCCACUUCGCAGCACAGUGACAUCAAUUUCGCAGCUGCGAAACUCACUGCGAAGUUGCUGCGAAAAUGGCAAGUUGCUGCGAAAUUGGCGUUUUGUUGCGAAACGUAAUCUGACCCCUGGGCUUCCGUUUUUCCUAUUUAUACCUGUCAAAAGUGCUGCGAAAAAGGUUUCAAAAAUUAGAGCACCAUUCUCGCAGCCCUUUCAUCUUCUUCGCCAAGCCACGCCGUCCGUUUCUCCGGUCGUCUUCUCCGUUUAGCAGCGCCGGCCAAAGAUCGAUAGCCCAAAAAUGGCACGAACGCGAGGGGCAAAGUCUUCAUCCCCUUCGAACCGCAAAAGGAGUCUGCGAAAGGAGCCAAGUUCAGGCUCUGUUCCAGAACCUGCUCCAAAGCCUUCGCCGUCGAGACCACAACCUUCUCCAGUGAAGCCGGCGCCACCAAAGCCGCCGGCAAGGCGAUAUUUAACCAGGUCAGGUGGUCAGCCAUUGAAGAAGAAAGCCAGAGUUGAGAGCUCUGAACCAAUCGAUUUGACUGAGCAAUCCCCUGAGAAAUCACCAAAUCCUUCACCGGUACAAAUUCCAGUGCCAUCACCGGUUCCCUCGCCAAUUCCCUCACCAGAAGCAACUCCAAUUCCAUCGCCGGUACCAUCUCCGGCACCCCAAGAAAAAGCUCAGGAGCCUCAAGCGCCAAUUCCAGAGCCCCAAAUUGCAGCUGAAGCACCUCUGGAAGAAGUGAUCCGAAGGCCAAUGCUGCCUCAGCCCCCAAUCGAAGGAAACCUGGAUUGCCGAACUCGGGCAUUCCAUUCUGAGCUUUGCUUCGAUUUAACAGCAUUCAGAGUGAGGCCAGAGCUUGCCCAAUCCUUCCAACUGCUGAGGAGAUAUCAUAUGGAGCAUCUGCUAGCUCCAAGGGAUUUUUUCUAUCCCCGGGUAGUCACGGAUUUCUACCAAACCAUGACAACCAAAGAAGUAAGAAAUCCAACUCUGAUUCAUUUCAUAAUUGAUGGAAGGCAUGGUAUUUUGGGAGCAAGACAUAUUGCUGAAGCCCUGCAAAUUCCUUUUGAGCCAACUCAAUUCGACAAUUUUAAAGCUUGGACAAAUCCUACUGAGUUAGAGAUGGUUAGCACACUAACCAGAGGAGCUGCAAAUCGAUCGCAUUUGUUGAGGGGGGAGCUACCUCCAGUUAUGUUUUUGAUUGAUGCCUUUUUGAGGCAUAAUAUCUAUCCCCUGCAGCAUUGGACCCAAAGAAGGGGAAUUCUCCUAGAAGCCUUGUACAAAAUGUCUGAAGGAUUCUUCUUUGGGCCUCAUCAUCUGAUCAUGGCAGCCCUUCUAUACUUUGAGGAGAAGGUUCACAAGAAGAAGCUUCAAAGAGCAGAUUGCAUUCCACUCCUCUUCCCAAGGCUGCUAUGCCAAGUUUUGGAGCAUCUCGGAUACCCCUCUGAGCCUCAGCAGGAAAGAAAGAGAAUAUGCCGUGAGCCUUUUACCCUUGAUAAAUGGAAUAAUAUGACGGCCUACAAAAUUGAUCAGCCUGGGCAGCCUCAGCCAGCAGCAAGGAGAGUCUCCCCAAGACAUAUACCUGAAGGUAUAACACUUGCUACUCCUGCCAUCCCUCGAGCUCCACCAGCUGCACCUGCUCCAUCACAGCCAUCCACAUCAGCUGAGCCGAGGAUGGCCAUCCCUAUAUCCGAAUAUCGAGAGCUGUGCCGUGCAUUGGAGACUCUUACAGCUUCUCAGAGCAAUCUUGCUCAGGAGUUGGCAGCCAUUAAAGCAUGCCAGGAGCAGAUGUUAGCCUCUCAGACUCAACAAGCUGCCAUCCUAAGGCAGCUUCAAGUCCAUUUCGAUCUGCCACAAGCUGUAGAGCCCUCUAUUCCUACUCCACCAGAGCCACACUCUCAGCCUUCAGAGUCUCAUCCUCCAGAACCCGAAGCACCAGCUGAUCCACCUACUGAGGAGGCAGAUCCUUCUGCCUAGCACCAUCACCCCCCUCAUCAGACAUUAUAUAUAUAUUUGCUGUUUAUGUUUUUAUGCAUGUUUGUUUUGUUUUAGUUGAAAAGAAAUCCCAGUAUUUUGGUACUAUAUAUGGGAUUCCUUGUGUUACUUGUCUUUAGUAUUGUAAUCACAUGAACUCAAAGUAAUACAAGUUGACUAUUUCUUGUUAAAAGUUAGCAUUAAAGUUUCCUUAUUUCCUUUUCUCACAUAUUCUAUUCUUUUUGAAACAUGUGGUUUUCCCCAAUCAAUAUUCGAAUUUGAUAUCAGCAUGGAGGUACCACUUCCUCCCUUUUAUUACAGUCACUCAAAUCACAUUGAGGACAAUGCUCAGUUCGGUUGGGGGGUAUGAGGAAGGAAGUAUUCUAAACCUUUUUGGUAUUGCAAUUAUAUUGGUUAAUUAGUUGUAGAUUUUACUUUUUACUAGUGUUACUCUAUUCUCCAUGAAUUUUGAGGAAAAAUUUUCAAAUUAAACCAAGAGAAAUUGAACUGUUGUUUUUCACUUGACUUAGAGUAUGGAUUAUGCUUACUAAAGUGGUUCAAUUGUUGAAACUUCUACUGAAAUUGAAUUGAGUUCUUCCACUUUAAGCUAUCCACACACUGUGCACAUUAGUUUCCGAUUAUAAGAUGAAAAGCUAUUUCCCUCUUGACUUAGUAUAUUUUUGGGACUUGGUAUAUUUGACCUCAUUUGAUAAAAAUUGAAACACCCUGCAAAAGGCCAAUGAGCCUUUGAAAUAAAGAAAGUUGUUUGCUUGCCUUGAAACCCGAGCAAGGUCUGAGGGGUAUAUGGUGAAAAUCUUUAAAGCCUGGUGCCCUAAGCCUUAAUUGGUUGGGAGUCACCGACCUCAAUGCUCGUUACAAGGGUGAAUAGGUAGAGUUAGCAUAUGGUAGAUGCUUGGGUAUUAGAAAUUCAUUCUUAAAAGUCCGGGGAAAAAUCCGAGGAGUUAGUGGUUGAAAGAUCCUUAAAACUUGGUGCCCUAAACCUUAAUUGGUUGGGAGUCAUCGAUGGACCCCCAUUACAUGGACAAGUCAGAAAGAGUACCCCAUAAAGCUACCUUAAAAAAAAAAAAAAAAAAAAAAAAAAAAAAAAAGAUGAAAGUGUGUUCUUUUCUUAUUGAUUUUGGUCAGUUUGCUAAAGUGUUGAAAAGAGAUAGGUUGGGGGGUGAGAUUAGUAGCAUAUUAUUCUCGGAACCUAAGGAACCAAUACACAUAGAUUUUUGUGGAAGAUUGAAGUUUAGUUCUUAGAAAAUGAAAUGAUUUUAAAACUUCAGUUUGCAUAAUGCACUCCCUUGAUUGACAGUGUUUAGCAUAGGUGUUAUGACUCUUGUUGAGAUUUGGGUUUGUAUUUCUUUAAUGAUUCAUGUGAGAAAUAGAUCAUCAUGCCACUUGAGAAUUAUUUUCCUUUUAGCAUGAUGUUGUAAAUUUUAGAUUAGUUUGCUAUUUAUUUUUUAUUUUCUCUCCUAUAUUGCUAAGGGACUAGCAAUAUGUCGGUUGGGGGGAGUGAUUACUACUCAAAAAGUGCUAUUUGAUAGCCUUUAAUUAAUCCUUUUUAACACUUUUGAGUAGUAGUUUAGGCCUUUUAACUCAAUUGGCAUGUUAAGGAUCCUUUAAAGCAAUUUUGAUCACUUUGUGCAAGUUUUGGUGUUUUUGUUAGUAUUUUGAUCACCAAAGCAAGUCAAGAAUGAGGAGAACUAUGAGGAAUCAUGGGCAAAGCUUAGAAUUCAAUUGCCAAGAGUGAAUCCGGAUUGCAAGGAGAAAAAGCAAAGAGAAUCUGUCAUGAAGCCUAUUCUUGAUGACAGUCGUAGCAGCCACUUUUGGAGCACUUUCUGAAGUCCAAAUGAUGCAAGCUAUAUACCAUUUCAAAGCUCAGGAAGUCAACAAUCCAAUGCUUCAAACGGUGCGCGAUUCGGAGUUGAAACGAAGAAGUUGCAGCCAUUACAAGCCAGUCACUCUAAAGUGUUGCGGAAUCAGCCUUUUGUUGCGAGAAUUUCGCAGCACUUUUGUACAGUAAGGUGUUUCUCCUUCUGACGAUGCACGAACCAUGCCGCGAGAGGGAAGCUAGGAACUUCAAGAUGGAAGCCAACUUUGCAGCCUGGUGAAGAUAGCUUGGUCUUGCGAAAUAAUUUCGCAGCCCUCUUGGGUGUCUGCGAAAUUUCGCAGGCACCACUUUUUUCCUGCGAAAUGGCUCCGGAAGCCUCCCGAAGCUUGCUACCGACAUUGGGAGAUAUUUUCCAUUAGAUUUUUGUUGUCUAAAUUCCAAAAUACUCCUUGUAAACCACCAAUUACAUGAUUCCUUAGUUUUUAAGUUAGUAAAAAGACCAAAUAUCUAUGUAAUAAUUAGUUUUAUAUUAGUUUGCUAUAAAUACCUCUCGGGAGCAUGUUCUCAGAGAGGAGUUCCUUCUGUAACCAUUUUGGUAAGCAAGUAAAGUCUUUUCUUUCUACUGCCUUACCUUCUCACUUUGUAUUUUCAUUUUAUUUCUAAGUUAUGAAUUCUCUGAGGAGCUUUCCCCAGAGAAUGAGUAACUAAACCUCCAAUUCCUUGGAGCUAAGGUUGCCGGGGAAGGUUCCAAGUGCAAGAAUGCAAAGCUCUGUGGUUUUAGCUAGUAAUGAAGAGGAAGUGAAAUCCUUUAGUGAUUUCAAUGUUUUUAGUUAACUUAAAACACCUUGGAGUCACCUGGGCCAACACUUGGUAAGGCAAGUGAUUUCCAACCGUGGAAAUGCACUAGUUUACCCCUUGCGAGCCUCUGGUAGGUGACUUCAAGGUAGGAUUUUCUGGAAUUACCAACACUUGGUAAGCUUUUGGACUCCUAGGAGACAUCCAUUAGUUAUCUCUUGCGAGUUUGUGAAGGGGAAUCCAAGGUUAAAGAUCACCUUGAAUGGUAAGUGCUCGUGAGAGGCAUGAACCAUUGCAAGUUGUAUCAGUGAGAGAAUUAAAGUGAAAUCUAAUUGAAGGAGUCUCUGUACAUCACCGGUUAGAGAAUUGACUAUAAGUUGAAUCUCUAAUGCGAGGAAAUGAACCAUCUGACCGGAGCUAUGUCUUUUGCAUGAGGAACCACCCCAGUGAACCUAAAUCUCCAAGGAAUGCUUUUCUUCCUAAAUUAUUCCAAACUUCUGUUAAGUUAGUUAGUUUAAGUCUAAACCUUUACCAAUCAAACUUUGUGUUUUAUUCCUUAAGCUAACCGUGAAAUGAAACAAAACCAAUUCACUUGGAAUUGGUAUCCUUGAUUGCUUGCAAAUCAUUCCCAGUGAACGAUCCUUAGAGCCACUAUACUAUAGUAGCUUUGUAUUUGCUACCCUAGUGUAUGGUGUUAUAGGUAUAAAUUUUGUUGAUCACUUCCUCAAUCAAGGAACACCAGCUGAACACAAAUCAGCUGAGACACCAAUUGGGCAUGAGUCAGUGCGUUAGAGGAUCAAGAAGAAGAAAAAGAAGGAACUGUUGGAAUUAGUAUGAGUGUGAAGAGAAAAGUAUAUAAAUAAGGGGAAGUAAAAGCAAAGUUCAAAAAGCUAUAUUUUUUUAUUGUUGGUGUAUGGUUGCAUGAUUAUCCCUAUAAAUAAUAGGAGUUUUUUGGUAUUCUACUAGUAGUUGAAGCAUAAUUUCAUAAAUUAAUAUUUAGAGCGGGGUGGGGUGAGUUGUGACAAAAUUCAUACCCGUCCCAAACCUUGGUUCAGAUUUUUAAAAUAUUCUCAAACUUAUCAUAUACCCAACUUUUAUAUUUCAUACUUGUCCUAAUAGAGGCACGUUAGGCCGGGUUACUUGAGUAACCUACAUAAUUGUCAUCCCUAGUUGAAAUACACUUUUUGGCAGUGGCCACCAACUGAGCUAGAAGCUUGAUUGAUUGACCUACAAGAUUAGUUCUCAUCAUUUUAAAAAAAGUUCUGGCUUUGGUUGUGAGUGCAAUUGAAUCUAAACUGGCAUUUGCUUAAUGCAUCUACUUCAAUCCUAAACUUCUUACUUCUUAAGCCUCAAUUGUUGUUAGGAUUUUGGAAAACCCAUUUCCUUAAAUUGUAAAUUUAAGAUAAAAUAAAAUAAAAGUGAGACAUUUCUUGAUUGAAUAUUGUUAAAGGUCCCUUGGCAUUAAGACUUGGUUGAAGCCUUGGAAGAUUAGUGGAACUCUCAACAUGUGUUUGAAUCUUGAGGAGAGUGGAUGUAAGCCAAAAUUUUGUCAAACCAUUAUACAAAUUGAGUUUGAAUCCUCAUUUCUUGAUUUCUUAUUUAUUUGCUUUUUCUUAUUAUUACUUGAAUUGUCAUUUGCAUUCAUUAAUGUUAAAAUUGGUUAUAAUUAACCAACACUAAUUCUCUUUCCCCUUCCCUUUCUUGGGUGUAAACCUAGGUUGGAUUAACUAGAUAAAUCUAUUAAGAUGGUAAAAGAAUAAUUAUUCUUAACAUACAUAAGAUCAUCUUCAAUCAAAUGACUCAUUGGCUAAUAUGUUGAAUUUGCUUAUUACUUGCAACUCAAAAUUGUGUUCUAGUUGUGUCAAGUCCCCAGUGUAUGGACAUUAAAUUUGUAGUACGUGAUGAGUAAUUAGAUGGUCCAACUCCAAGAAAGUGAUUGAAAAGUAGUUCAAGAAAGGUGCAAAAGGGAAUUGUUUUGGUAUUUUCGUUUUUAUUCUUGAAGGUGGCAGAGCUAAAAUUUGAGAAAUCAAGCAAAACAUACUGAAAUUACAUUGAAAGAAAGAAGAUGGGAGUUAAUGUCUUGCAGUACAUGAUAAGGACUUCAUGCAUGUAGUGUGACCCAUGUCUUGGACUGAUGCCAACUCACGGUUACACUUAUACCCUUGGUUCUCUCUUUACUACCUUGGCUAACCUAGAUCAGGCUAUGAGAUAGGCUCCUCACCACACCAUUACUUGCCCAUUAAUUAGAGACAUUUUCAAGCAAUGAGGUAACAUGGUGACACCAAGAGGGUCUAUUCCUCGCCCGGAACAAGUCUAGACUUGGUCUCAAAAAAAUGGAGAAAAAUGAGGUGUCGUUAUGUAGAAAUACAACAACCAUGCCUUCCUCAUUACUUAGAUUCAGAAUGUGAAGGUGAAAUUGAGAAACAGAAACUCUUGAAACCAAAAUGAAAAUUGAUACUUUUACGAAGAAUUACAACAACAUUAGAGGAAGACUACAUUCUUCCUCUUUAUUCCUACAUUUCUACACUACUUCUACUCCACUCCAUAUUUCUACAUACAUCUUUAAUCAGUCUUCCCUCCUUUAUAUAGAGCCAUCUUCACACAAAUUUCGCAAGGUAGAAAAGAGGAAUGAAACUUGGAGCAAGGUUCGACUACUGGUUGUAGCUUGUCAAGGCUGGAAGUGAACUUUUCUUGGCUUUCUGGGCAUGGGUAGUAACUUGUGGGUUCCUGUUUGGCAUAAAAAUGGCUAGAACAUGUGGCACUAUCUUGUUGGAUGAUGUGUCAAGCAUGUGGCAGCCAUCUAGUGGCGAUUAUGUCAAUUUUGGGAUGGAGAGUUGGCAUCCAAUUGCAAAGAAAUAUGACGUCUACCAACAUGCAAUGUAAACCUAUGUAGAUCAUAUGAAGAUAGAGAGGAAAAAUAUAGAAAUGGAUAUAUACCUAGAACUAGCUUUUUAUUAAAUGAAACGGAGAGACAACAAUGAAGGAAAAUAAAAUUUUUUGGCUUAUAUCAAAGAGUUCACAUUGUGUUACCCUAGGUUUUCUUAAAACUUACUUUUAUGAUAACAAAAAAGAAAAAACCAUUAUUGUUUAAUCCUUUGUUUUAAACGCAUGUAAGGUGUAAUUAAGUUAGUUCAAUGCAUUAAUUUAAGAAACUUGACCUAUCAAAAGUACAAAAUUAGAUGAAAUCCAUUUCAAUGGUUAAAAUGAUCAAAAUCAAACUUUUUCUAAGUAUUUUUUAAAAGCAUCAAUAGUGAAAGACAAUUUUAUAUUUAGUCGGAGUUUGGACAAAACUGAAAAACACACAAAAUCCAAGCGACCAUCUCUAGCUUGGAUGGUCGCUUGAUCCCACCUAGAGAUGUGCAUGAGUAAAAGGAUUUGAAAAUGGAAAUUGACUAUGUAGUCGAUCAAUUAACUUUGCAACAUCAUAUGCAAUCCUAAUUGCUAGUCAUCUAAUCAAUUAGGUAGUCAAUCAACAGGCCAAAAAUAUGUUUAUAAUGACUAUUUUGUACAAAAACCACCUGUAUAGUUAAAUAUAAUGCAUUUCAUUUAUAAAUCUUCUAAUUCUUGAAUAACGAUCCUAUCAUCCUUUGAAAGUUUUUAUUACACUUUUUUUACUUUUGUUCUAAAACUUACACAUCACCCUUAAUUGUACCAUGAGAACCUAGCUAUUUUUUAUUUUUUUUUUUGUAAUUCAUCAAAGUUAGCUUUUGUAUUCAUUGUUGUAUUAUUUUUAGUAUAACUUAGAAAGCUAGUGUUUUCAAGUGAGUAAAAUUAACUUGUAAAUAUUGUAAAGAUUCAUCGACAUGUAUCUUAAACUAAGUGUACAAGUUAAAACAUUUGCUAGUAGAUUUUCUCAAAAUUUAGAAUAGAGCUUGAGACUAUUGAAAUAGGUGGGGUUGCACCAAACCACAUCACAUCGUUGUUUGCACCUUUUUUCACUCUCUUUUACUUAGUUGCUCUAUAUUUGUUGUCUAGUAAUAUCCUAUAGGCUUGAUGGGUUAGGGAGCAUCCCUUUGUGAAAAAAUUUUAUUCAAUCCUUAGUUGUAUCACGCAUAUAUAAAAUGCCUCAUUGUUUUAAUGGUAUUCAGUCGUGGCAUCACAGAUAUGGGCAUCUAAAUUUUAAAAGUUUGAAACUUUUAUCUAAAGAAAAUAUGGUGCUUUGCCUUUUUGUAAAGCAUGUUGAUGAAAUCCAUGAGAAUUGUGUACUUGGGAAGCAACACCGAGAUGACUUUUUUUUUUUUUUUAUAAUAUUGUUUGUCCAAAUUCCCUACAAAUUAGGCCACCAGAUGUUCAUAAUUCUCCCUUCUUGAAUUUGAAAACUCGGACAAUUGGACAAUGCGACACCUAAGUCCGGUUUCUAAAUGCUAAAGUGAAAGGGUAGGUAUGGACCAUUGAAAUGUGAUCACAACUUUUCUCUGUAGCCAUGUUGUCUCUUUUUUCUUUUGCAUGAUUUUCUUACCUUAACAGAAUCAUAGACUUGUUUAGUCUCUAAAUGGGAUUAAUUUCAUCCAGCUUUAAGCUACUAUAUUAUAUCUAGGUGGAGGACUUUUAAGAGUGCAACCGACAUAGAGCACAUGGAAGUGGGUAUAUGGGACAUGAAAUUUCUUCUUAUAAAGAUUGCAUGAUUUUUAUAUUAGAGUUGUUGAGGCGCUAUGUAUUUAGCUUGUUUUGCAGUUAAAUUAAUUGGAUAAGUAGACAUUGGCGUUUCUAAAUCUACUGUGAAGUGCUUCAUGUACGUGUGAAGUAUUAGAAAUUUCUUUCUUGGCAACUUGUUUUUCUUUGCGGUCUACUGAUAGGUUUGACUAAAAUUAUAUUCCCUGUCAUGCUAAUUAAUUUUCACGUGCAUGCUCAAAAGAAAAGUAUGACCUUAGUGCACCAAAAUCACUUUGAUUAAUUUGUGAUAGGUUUUUGUGCAUCAUGACAUUAGCCUUAUUCAUUUAGAUAAUGUUUAGUUUUUAGAAAGUAUUAAGAAAAGGAAAAUAAAUAUUAAGAAAAAUAUUCUUAUAUUUGAUUGUAUUAUGAAAAAUAUCAUAAAAAAAUCAAAUAUAAUUUAAAUUAAUUAAUAAUUUAUACAUUUUCAAAUUAUUUAAUCUUUAUAUUGAAGAUAUAAUAUAAAUGAAAUGAGUUUUAAGUAUUAUAUAAAAGUGAUUUAUUGAUCUUACAUAUAUAUAUUUCUUUUUUUUUUCCUUCUAUUUUUUCUCUUUAUUUUAUUUUCCUUAUGUUUUCCUCAACAUUUUCCGGAACCAAACAUAGCCUUAGGAAAUCCACAAUUACCUUCAACUGAGUAGAUUCUGUUGUUUUAGCAAUGUUAGGCUGCUAACUUGUGUUGGUACGAACCUAUUAAGCCUAAAGAUGUAAUUAGUUAGGAUAUUCUUUUCCCUCUAGUCUUGUAGCUCCACGUGUACAGUUGGUUAGGACCUCAUUGUAUAUAAUGCUUGCCCUGUUAUUGUAGAAGACAACAAAGAUAAAUAAUAUUAACAUUUUUCCUCUCAUCUCUCUCUGUUUCCCUCUGUUUUCAUCUCCUCUCUCAUCUUGGUAUCAGAGCCUCCAUGGCUUCUUUCAAAGAAACCUCCGAAUCACCUUCUGCUAGCAUUGUUAAUGUGCAAAACCCAUUAUCUCAAUCAAACAACCUUCCUUCACCAGUAGCCACACCCUCUUUUUCUUUCUCGUCUAUGAAUCAACCUCUCACAGUGAAGCUGGAUAAUGGGAACUACCUCAUAUGGAAGAAUUAGCUUCUAAAUGUCAUCAUUGCUAACGGACUCGAUGAUUUCAUUGACGGAUCUCGACCCUGCCCUCCUCGAUUUCUCGAUCUGCAACAACAAACCCUCAAUCCAGAGUACUCAGCUUGGCAGAGAUACAAUCGACUUCUGAUGAGUUGGCUGUACGCAUCCUUGUCCAAAGAUAUAAUGGCUCAGAUUGUUGGGUAUUCAACAGCUAUGGAGAUUUGGAAUGCCCUUAAUCAGAUUUACUCUGCCUCUUCUAUGGCGCGGUUUACUGAGCUUCGCACCAAGCUUCAAACGCUCAAGAAAGAUGGACUCUCAGUUGGUGAAUAUAUUCAAAGGCUCAAAUCCAUUUGCAAUAGUCUUGCAGCAAUAGGAGAACCAGUUUCUGAGAAAGACCAUCUUAUCUAUUUGUUCAAUGGAUUAGAUUGUGAGUAUUAUUCUUUUGUUACCUCCAUUCAAAAUCGAUCUGACCAACCAACUAUUGACAAAAUCCAUAGCCUAUUGCUUAGCUAUGACUUCCGGCUUGAACAACAAAACUCUGUUUCUCUCCAUUCUGCCCAAGUCCAUAUGGCUCAUCUGAACAAGAAACCUUAUAAAUCAACUCCUCAACCUACAUUCAAUCAUAUUCACAUUCAACCUAGAUACUCUUCUCCACCUUUUAAGCCAACCACUAGUCAAUAUCAACCCAACAUUUUGGGCAAACCACAACCACAACCAUGACAGCCUCAACCUCAAUGGAAACCACAUUUUUCAAUCUAAAAUCAAAAGCCUCAGCGCCAAAUUUGUGGUAAAUUUGGACACACUGCUCUUAUUUGCUUCCAUCACACAAAUUUGAACUAUUCACCCCAACCUUCUCCUAAAUCUUUCAAUACUGUUCUCACCACAAAUUCCCAGCUCCCUAAUCCUCCAAAAUUUUCUUACCCUACAAUGGCUCAUCCUGCUGCUACGCAUAACACGGUUCCCGAUACAAAUUGGUACAUGGACUCAGGUGCUACACAUCACUUUACUCUGGACAUCAACGUGCUUGACACUGUGACACCAUUUAGUGGUUCAGAACAGGUGACAGUUGGGAAUGGUAAGCAACUCUGUAUCUCACAUCUUGGUACUGCAAAACUACCAUCUUCGUAUUCUCCUCCUGUUCUACAUCAGGUAUAUCACACUCCAAAAAUUUCAAAUAAUCUUAUUAGUGUUAAAAAAUUGUGUUCUGAUAAUAAAGUUUUUGUUGAAUUUUAUGCCACUCAUUUUCUUGUCAAGGAUCAGGUUUCGAAGAGAGUUCUCCUUUAGGGUCAACUUGAUAAUGGCUUAUACAAAGUUCAGUCGUCAUGCUCUCCUUCUGCUGUUUCCUUUCCUCCUCAAGUUUUCAUAGCCAACAUCAAGUAUCCAAAUCUGUGGCACAAGAGACUAGGCCACCCAGCUUUAUCUGUUGUUAAUCAAAUCUUGGAUUCUUGUAACAUUGCUCGAACACAGAAAAUUUGUUUUAAUUUUUUAAAUUCUUGUCAAUUAGCAAAGAGCCACAGGCUUCCUUUUUCUCUGUCUCCAUCCAUUGCAGAAAAACCUUUUGAGUUAAUUCAUACAGACCUAUGGGGUCUUUCGCUCGUUCGCUCUAUUUCUGGUGCUCUUUAUUUUUUACUUUUCAUUGAUGAUCAUACUCGUUUUACUUGGUUUUAUUUGCUCAAAACAAAAGAUGAAGCAUAUCCUACUUUUCUCAAGUUUCAAGCUCUCAUUGAAAAUCAAUUUAAUACCAAGAUUAAGGCUGUCCAAUCUGAUUGGGGAGGUGAGUUUCGAUCUCUCUCCAUACCGUUUUCAAAUAUGGGCAUUGUCUAUUGUUUAUCGUGUCCAUACACCUCACAACAGAAUGGGCGAGUUGAGCGAAAAAAUCGCCAUGCGAUUGUCCUUUCUUGCUUGCUCUAUGCCCUUAUCUUAUUGGCCUUAUGCCUUUCAAACUGCCACUUACCUUAUUAAUCGUCUCUCUACCCCUGUGCUGCAUCAUCAAUCCUCUUACUUCGCACUCUAUCACAAACUCCCAACUUAUACUCAUCUUAAGGUCUUUGGUUCCUCUUGUUUUCCGUAUUUGCACCCUUAUAAUACCCAUAAACUCCAAUACAGGUCACUAGAGUGUGCUUUUCUUGGUUACAGUUCACACCACAAAGGUUAUCUAUGUCUUGACAUUCAUUCUAGCAGGGUGUAUAUUUCUCGCCAUGUGAUUUUUAAUGAAGAUUCUUUUCCAUUCAAGAAUUUGAAAUCUUCUCUCUCUCAGUCUAUUUCUUCUUCCUCUUCUUUAUAAGUUCCUCUGUUCAUUCUCUUGCCUCCCCUUUCCCCAUCUCCUCUUAUUUCUUCAUCUAUACCUCAUUCUUUUCCCUCUUCUUCUUCUACCUCUAGUACUUGUUCCCCUCUCGUUGCUCCUACCUCUCUUCCUUCCUCUUCACACUCUGUGUCUCCAUCUAUUCCACCUCCUUCUCCACCUUCUCCGAGUGUGGACCUGCUUGCACCUUGUGUGAAUACAAAUUUACAUACUUCUUCUCGCACUCACAAUAUUCAUCCUAUGGUGACUAGAUCUAAGGUUUGUAUCUAUAAACCUAAGUUGUUGUUGAGUGUCUCCAUAGGUUCUCUCACUAAGCCUACUUCCUUUCUUCAAGCUAUUAAAGAUCCUUCAUGGAAGCAAUCCAUGGAAUUCGAGUUUGCUACCCUUCAACACAACAAGACCUGGCAUUUGGUUCCUUCACCUUCCUCAGGCGAAGUAAUCGGUUGUAAAUGGGUCUAUAAGCUAAAGCUUCAGCCUGAUGGCUAAAUUGAGAGAUACAGCCUGCUUAGUAGCUAAGGGUAUCAUCAAAUUGAAGUAUGGACUACUUCGAAACAUUCAGCCUGAUNNNNNNNNNNNNNNNNNNNNNNNNNNNNNNNNNNNNNNNNNNNNNNNNNNNNNNNNNNNNNNNNNNNNNNNNNNNNNNNNNNNNNNNNNNNNNNNNNNNNAGCUUCAGCCUGAUGGCUAAAUUGAGAGAUACAAGGCCUGCUUAGUAGCUAAGGGUUAUCAUCAAAUUGAAGGUAUUGACUACUUCGAAACAUUCAGCCUGAUUGUCAAGCUUUCUACUAUCUGUAUUGUGCUCAGUCUUACUUUUUCCCAGAAUUGGUGUAUUAGACAGCUGGAUGUUCAUAAUGCCUUCUUACAUGGUGACUUAGCUAAAGACGUUUUCAUGGAACAACUGCCUGGAUUUGUUGAUCCUCUCUAUCCUACUCAUGUCUGCAAGUUGGAUAAGUCUCUCUACUGUCUUAAAUAGUCACCUCGGGCUUGGUAUACUAAGCUGAGUACUUCUCGCUACACUUGGGAUUUGUUACUUCUAAGAAUGACUCUUCCUUAUUUAUUUGUCAUUCGUCUCAUGGGUUACUUCUUGUUCUUGUCUAUGUGGAUGAUAUAAUCGUCAUUGGGAGCCACUCUCCUCAGGUUACUCACCUUAUCCAACAGUUGCAUCAUUAGCUUUCUUUAAAGGAUCUUGGUCCUUUACAUUAUUUUCUGGGCUUGGAGGUUCAUCACACCCCUACUGGUAUUCACCUCAGCCAAGCAAAGUAUAUCACUGAUCUCCUUACCCGGGCGGCUAUGUUGGAUGCCAAGCCAUGUCCCACUCCUAUGUCCUCCAACACAUAUCUCUCUUUUCAUGAUGGAGUGGCUCUUGAAAAUGGUUCAGAUUAUCGAAGUUUUGUUGGUGCCCUUUAGUAUUGUACCAUGACACGCCCAGAUAUAGCUUUUGCAAUAAAUAAAGUGUGUCAAUUCAUGCACCAUCCCUCUAAUGUUCACUGGCAGGCUAUAAAACGUAUUCUCCGGUACUUAAAGGGCACAUCUCAUUUUGGUCUCUUCCUACAGCCUUCCUAUGACUUCAACAUCACUUGCUAUACAAAUGCCGACUGGGCUUCCUGUCCUGAUGACAAGUGUAGCACCAGUGGCUACUGCCUCUUUCUUGCCUCUAAUCUGGUUUCUUGGUCAUCUUCCAAACAAAAAGUGGUCUCCCGCUCCAGCGCCGAAUCAGAGUACCGAGGGGUAGCAAAUGGGGCUGCUGAAAUUGCUUGGACUGAAUCUCUUCUUUGUGAACUUUCCAUUACUCCCCCUCCCCUCAUUCUCUGUGACAAUAUCAGUGCCACGUACUUAGCUGCCAAUCCUAUUUUGCAUGCCCGCACCAAACAUGUGGAAAUCGACUAUCACUUUGUCACGGAACGUGUUCUUCAAUGCUCUCUUUUUGUCCAGUUUACACCUUCUGAUGAUCAACUUGCUGAUUGCAUGACCAAGCCUCUCUCCACCCAACGUUUCAUCACUCUACGCUCCAAGCUCACUGUUCUCACUAGACCAAUGAGCUUGAGGGGGGAUGUUAAGCCUAAAGAUGUAAUUAGUUAGGAUAUUCUUUUCCCUCUAGUCUUGUAGCUCCACGUGUACAGUUGGUUAGGACCUCAUUGUAUAUAAUGCCUGCCCUGUUAUUGUAGAAGACAACAGAGAUAAAUAAUAUUAACAUUUUUCCUCUCAUCUCUCUCUCUGUUUCCCUCUGUUUUCAUCUCCUCUCUCAUCUGAACCAAAUGAUCCAUGUUAACCUUGGCUUGGUUUGAUUUGGCUCUAUCUUAGAGAGCUCAAGGAUCACGUCAACUCUGGUUUCUACUAUUCAGGUCCAUUCCCAUAUGAACUGGUUCAAAUUUGAGAAAAUGGUAACAGACCUUUAGUGAUGUUGGUUUGGAGCCAGUUGCCAAACCCGCCCUGAGCUUUACCACUAAUGUCAAGGGAGAAAGCCAUUUGAACAAAAACAAUAGCUUCAAGGGACUGAAUCGUGGAUGAAAUCUGAUCCACAUUUCUUCUCAUUUUGGAAACAAAUGAGAACUUAACUAAGAAGAUUCUACGGCCUCAUAGUGCUUUUCCUGAUCUAAGGUUGGUUCGUUUCCCAAACUGUGAGAUGCACGUGCCAGACUUCAGAACUCUCACGCUCAGGAGUGUAUCCACGUGGUGGACAUAAGAUGGUGGCUUAAGAUCUGGUGUCGGUGGCUUUACUUUACUAGGAGAGUAGUGUGUCUUCAUCUCAUUCACUGCCGGAGGGUGGCGUAAGCAGUGACGCUAAGGUGGGGCACAGUCAAUAUCAUUUGCAUUUGACCAUUAUAGUUUUCUCCCGGCUUUAAAGUAACCUUAUCGUGAUAAAGGAUUACUAGCACUAGUUCAGAUGAUAGUCAUGUUAAAUUCGGACCAUGUUUGUGUCACAUUAUCAGCAACCAUGUGUUUAUGGUUCAUGCUUUCUGCAACUAAAAUUGAUAUAUAACCAGGUGAACUUCAAUCUAAAUUCUGAAAGUACUCAUGUGAUAGAUGGUGCCCGUCUGCAGAGUCCAUCAAUUGAAAAAUGGAGUGAGUGUAUCUAUAAGAGGGAAGGCUUGGAAAAUGUUCAGUUUUCUGGGAAUUCAACAAGGAUCUAAAAUAGAUUGUUUUCUUUGCUGAUUUCAAUGGUUGAAAUUUGAGAAGAUUGUGUCCACAUAACACAACUAUUACUGGUCCUUCUGUUGCAAUUUAUCCUCUAAAGCUCUAGCAUGUCUUCCAAUUCCCACUUCCCUGUUACUCCAGGAAAGCUAUUUCUGUCAUUGUGAAGAAGAAAAGAGAAUGUACAUAUCGAUGCUUUUAAGUGACUGGAGCAUUUAUAUCAGGUGGUCUGCAGCCAUAUAUGCCACUUUGUGAAGAUUGGAACAGUCAAUCACUAGGCUAUAUAUUAGUGUGGCCCAGCCACUUUAAUCAAGGACAAGUCUUCAUACUUAAAGUCAAAUUCUGCCUUUAGUCUCAUUAUAAAUUUCUGUUUAAAUAUUAAGCAAACAUUUGUUUAAUGCGAUUAAGACAGUACUAACUCAAUACCUGUUCUAUUUUUGGAUGCAAAUGCUUGAUGGUUUCAUCAUUGGAUGGGAUAAAGGUGCAUUCAUGAUUAGGAAUACUAGUAGUUAUAUUUUAAUUCUCUUUUUUCUCAAUGAGACUUGUUGGCACAAUUUUGCUGUUGAGAAACCUACCUCUCCAUGGAAAAUAAGUUGUGAUUGAUAGUACUGGAUAUAUUCAAGAAAUCUAAAUAUAGAUAGCACAAAAUAUUAUCGACAUAAAUAGCAUUAACAGCGUACGUAUGUCUCAGUGCUCAUCAGCUAUAAGCAUGGGGCAAACACUUACUAUGAGCAACUUACGUCAAAAUUCCAGAAUAGGACAUAGAAGUGACAGAUAUAGAACAUUGCAUAUGAGUCACAAGAAAGGAAAUUACGGGUGCAUAGCAGCUCUUAUUUUACAUACUACUACUCAUACUGAUCAAAGUCACUCAGUUGGGAUGGGUGGGAGUAGGAGGUUUGUGGGGUGGCUUGUGCGGAGGAGUUGGCAGCUUCUUUCCAGGACCUGGUUGCUUCUCUGCUGGAGUUGAAGGAGGCUUAAUCUUCCGAGGUGGCUUGUAUGAGUCUUCAGCAUUCUCAGCUGGAGGGUGACCAGGGUUGUGACCAUAAUGUGGUGGCUUCUCUCCCUUAGGUGGUUUGCCAACUGGGGUUGGUGGCUUGUAUGAGUCUUCAGCAUUCUCAGCAGGAGGGUGACCAGGGUUGUGACCAUAAUGUGGUGGCUUCUCUCCCUUAGGUGGUUUGCCAACUGGGGUUGGUGGCUUGUGUUCUGGGAGUGGCUUCUCCCCCUUGGGAGGUUUUUCCAAUGGGGUUGGUUUGUGUUCAGGAGGUGGCUUCUCCACUGGAGGCUUGUGUUCAGGAGGUGGCUUCUCCACCGGAGGCUUGUGUUCAGGUGGUGGCUUCUCCACCGGAGGCUUAUGCUCUGGUGGUGGCUUCUCGAAUGGGGGAUGCUUAGGAUAAUCAGCAAGUGAGGGGGCGGUGAGAACCACCAGGCCAAGCAACACCACUAGCAAAUAUGUAGGAGACAUCUUUGGGUUUGGGCUCAGAUGGUGCAAAACUAGGAGAAUUGGCUAGCCUUUUAUAGCGGAUCGUACCCAAUAAUGAAAUGACACGUGUCAUUAUGACCCAUGUGUAAUGGGGUCGAUUUGGGUCCUACAGUGUUGAAAACUUCGACAUCCACUUUUGGCCUUUUGCUUUCUCUACAGCCGCCUUGCUUUUUCCCUCUUUCCUUUUGUUUUCCUCCUGCCCCAUUCUAUCAACUAAACACAAUUAUGUAGUUGUUUAAUUCUUAAAUGAGAUAUUAUCCGUCAAUCGUAUUAUAUUUUAUCAAGAGAGAACGGAGUGCAAUGUGGCUGUAAUUUUAUCGUUUAGUUUUAUCUCUUGGACCACUGCAUUUUUGUUAAGAGGUGCAAUAAUACACGUCUUUAUCUGCCAUUCAAUAUUUACAGUAAAGAGAGGGCACAAAACUCUUCACUUCGCACCAUAAUUAUUUUGUUUUCUGGACACCCCGGGGCCCUUUGGUUGGUUUGGGGGUCAGAAAGUGAACAUCAUAGGGGGUUUUUCCCUUAUGUGCAUUUGUAUCUGAUGGCUUUAACUCGCCUUGUUACUACAAAGAAACUGUCACAGAUAGGAACUUAUUCCAGGCUGAGUAUCUCCUCAUAGACCCUAUAAAAGAAGACAAGUCAUAAUGAACAUCUAACCUUUGUUCAAUUUGAUUCAAUGCCCCCAUUGUGUCCAUCUCACAAAUCUGAAUUAUUAUAUCCAUUGAAUACAUAAAUUAAUGAAGAAAAUAUGAAACCCAAGAUACAUCUCUGCACAACCUCAACCCUGGUUGCUAUGUUUCCCUUCUAUUCACAUGAUUUGAUGCUAAUUGCCAAACUUGCAACAAGCCCUGAGUUUGACACCUAGUAUCGAUGGGCGAAUUUAAAGUCUCCUCCAAACAUAUAUUCCACAGCUUGAAGCUCACAGAAGAUGUUACAGGCAGGGAAAAACCUUCAGAGUUCGCUACCAAAGAUAAUUAUUAAGGAGAUAUCACAAAGAGAAUUCCAAGGGGUCUGAAUCAAAGACAAAUUGGUCGUUCGUGGGGGUUCUUACUUUCUUUUGGGUAUAACUCACUGAGGGCACUGUCUUUGUUAUUUGCAUUUCACAUUUAGAGUUCUGUUCUGGAAACAUAUAAAAGGAGCAUCAUUUUGUUCUUGGGUAACCCAUAGUCGUGAGUGGGUCCAUUUGCAUGCUACUUAGUUGAAAAGUUGGACCAUUUGCUCCGACGCCUACCUCCCGGAUUCCAUGCUCGGAUAAAACAAGAAUAAAAAAAAUAUUUAUAAUUUACAAAUGGGGGAAAGAAAAAAAUGUCAACAACAAACCAGGAAAAAAGAGUAGUAAAAUUCAUGUCACAUGCUAGUGAGAGAAGGGGUUGUUACACUCACUCGAAGUUCUUUCCAAAAUAUCGCAUGGUAUUUUAUUUUAUGUGUCAGCGCAGUUGUGAAUGGAACGUGCAAAAGUCCAAAUUGGCGUUUUUCCUUUUCCCGUGUAGGAUGGCGACCUUUAAUAAAUAUUUAAAACAAAAAACGAAAAAAAGGAGGGAAAAGGGAUCAGAAAAGAUAAAACAAUGUGUACAAGAGCUCAAUUAGUUUGCAAAUUACUGUUUGGAUUUUGAUAGUAUUUUAUUUGUCCAUCUAUAUUUGAUGGAAAAGAGAAUUUAAGAUAUUUCUGAAACAAAAGCAUUAGUGUAAAACUAAAUUAAGGUAUAAUUAAGUUAGUUCAAUGCAUUAAUUUAAGAAACUUGAUCUAUCCAAAGUACAAAAUUAGAUGAAAUCCAUUUCAAUGGUUAAAAUGAUCAAAAUCAAACUUUUUCUAAGUAUUUUUUAAAAGCAUCAAUAUUAAAAGACAAUUUUAUAUUUAGUCGGAGUUUGGACAAAACCAAAAAGCACACAAAAUCCAAGCGACCAUCUCUAGCUUGGAUAGUCACUUGAUCCCACCUAGAGAUGUGCAUGAGUAAAAGGAUUUGAAAAUGGAAAUUGACUAAAUAUUUAGUUGAUCAAUUAAAUUUGCAAUGUCAUAUGCAAUCCUAAUAGCUAGUCAUCUAAUCAAUUAGGUAGUCAAUCAAGUGUUUGUAAUGACUAUUUUGUACAAAAAACCACAUGUAUAGUUAAAUAUAAUGCAUUUCAUUUAUAAAUCUUCUAAUUCUUGAAUAACGAUCCUAUCAUCCUUUGAAAAUUUUUAUUACACCUUUUUUACUUUUGUUCUAAAACUUACAUAUCACCCUUAAUUGUACCAUGAGAACCUAGCUAUUUUUUUUUUUUUUGUAAUUCAUCAAAGUUAGCUUUUGUAUUCAUUGUUGUAUUAUUUUUAGUAUAACUUAGAAAGCUAGUGUUUUCAAGUGAGUAAAAUUAACUUGUAAAUAUUGUAAAGAUUCAUUGAUAUGUAUCUUAAACUAAGUGUACAAAUUAAAACAUUUGCUAGUAGAUUUUCUCAAAAUUUAGAAUAGAGCUUGAGGCUAUUGAAAUAGGUGGGGUUACACCAAACCACAUCACAUCGUUGUUUGCACCUUUUUUCACUCUCUUUUACUUAGUUUCUCUAUAUUUGUUGUCUAGUAAUAUCCUAUAGGCUUGAUGGGUUAGGGAGCAUCCCUUUGUGAAAAAAUUUCAUUCAAUUCUUAGUUGUAUUACGCAUAUAUAAAAUGCCUCAUUGUUUUAAUGGUAUUCAGUCGUGGCAUCACAGAUAUGGGCAUCUAAAUUUUAAAAGUUUGAAACUUUUGUAAAGCAUGUUGAUAAAAUCCAUGAGAGUUGUGUACUUGGGAAGCAACAUCGAGGUGACUUUAUUUUUUUUUCCUUUUAUAAUGCCACACCUAAGUCCGGUUUCUAAAUGCUAAAGUGAAAGGGUAGGUAUGGACCAUUGAAAUGUGAUCACAACUUUUGGCCUUUUCCUUUCUCUGCAGCCAUGUUGUCUCUUUUUUCUUUUGCAUGAUUUUCUUACCAAAACAGAAUCAUAGACUUGUUUAGUCUCUAAGCUACUAUAUUAUAUCUCGGUGGACUUUUAAGAGUGCAACCGACAUAGAGCACAUGCAAGUGGGCAUAUGGGACAUGAAAUUUCUUCUUACAAAGAUUGCAUGAUUUUUAUAUUAGAGUUGUUCACGUGCAAUGUAUUUAGCUUGUUUUGCAGUUAAAUUAAUUGGAUAAGUAAACAUUGGCAUUUCUAAAUCGACUGUGAAGUGCUUCAUGUACGUGUAAAGUAUUAGAAAUUUCUUUCUUGGCAACUUGUUUUUUCCUUGCCAUCUACUGGUAGGUUUGACUAAAAUUAUAUUCCCUGUCAUGCUAAUUAAUUUUCAUGUGCAUGCUCAAAAGAAGAGUAUGACCUUAGUGCACCAAAAUCACUUUGAUUAAUUUGUGAUAGGUUUUUUUGCAUCAUUUAGAUAAUGUUUAGUUCUAAGAAAAAUUUAUAUAAAAAUGGUUUAUUUAUCUUACAUAUAUAUAUAUAUAUAUAUAUUUUUUUUUUUUUCAUUUUUUUUUCUUCUAUUUUAUUUAUUUAUUUUAUUUUCCUUAUGUUUUCCUCACAUUUUCCGGAACUAAACAUAGUCUUACGAAAUCAACAAUUGCCUUCAACUGAGUAGAUUCUGUUGUUUUAGCAAUGUUAGGCUGCUAACUUGUGGUGGUACGAACCAAAUGACCCAUGUUAAUCUUGGCUUGGUUUGAUUUGGCUCUAUCUCAGAGAGCUAAAGGAUCACGUCAACUCUGGUUUCUACUAUUCAGGUCCAUUCCCAGAUGAACUGGUUCAAAUUUGAGAAAAUGGUAACAGACCUUUAGUGAUGUUGGUUUGGAGCCAGUUGCCAAACCCGCCCUGAGCUUUACCACUAAUGUCAAGGGAGAAAGCCAUUUGAACAAAAACAAUAGCUUCAAGAGACUGAAUCGUGGAUGAAAUCUGAUCCACAUUUCUUCUCAUUUUGGGAAAAAAUGAGAACUUAACUACAAAGAUUCUACUGCCUCAUUCAUAGUGCUUUUCCUGAUCCAAGGUUGGUUCGUUUCCCAAAUUGUGAGGUGCACGUGCCACUCUCACGCUCAGGAGUGUAUCCACGUGGUGGACAUCAGAUGGUGGCUUAAUAUCUGGUGUCGGUGGCUUUACUUUACUAGGAGAGUAGUGUGUCUUCAUCUCAUUCACUGCCGGAGGGUGGCGUAAGCAGUGACGCUAAGGUGGGGCACAGUCAAUAUCAUUUGCAUUUGACCAUUAUAGUUUUCUCCCGGCUUGAAAGUAACCUUAUCGUGAUAAAGGAUUACUAGCACUAGUUCAGAUGACCGUCAUGUUAAUUCGGACCAUGUUUGUGUCACAUUAUCAGCAACCAUGUGUUUAUGGUUCAUGCUAUCUGCAACUAAACUUGAUAUAUAACCAGGUGAACUUCAAUCAAAAUUCUGGAAGUACUCUUGUGAUAGAUGGUGCCUGUCUGCAGAGUCCAUCAAUUGAAAAAUGGAGUGAGUGUAUCUAUAAGAGGGAAGGCUUGGCAAAUGUUCAGUUUUCUGGGAAUUCAACAAGGAUCUAAAAUAGAUUGUUUUCUUUGCCGACUUCAAUGGUUGAAAUUUGAGAAGAUUGUGUCCACAUAUCACAACUAUUACUGGUCCUUCUGUUGCAAUUUAUCCUGUAAGGCUCUAACAUGUCUUCCAAUUCCCACUUCCCUGUUACUCCAGGAAAGCUAUUUCUGUCAUUGUGAAGAAGAAAAGAGAAUGUACAUAUCGAUGCUUUUAAGUGACUGGAGCAUUCAUAUCAGGUGGUCUGCAGCCAUAUAUGCCACUUUGUGAAGGUUGGAACAGUCAAUCACUAGGCUAUAUAUUGGUGUGGCCCAGCCACUUCAAUCAAGGACAAGUCUUCAUACUUAAAGUCAAAUUCUGCCUUUAGUCUCAUUAUAAAUUGCUGUUUAAAUAUUAAGCAAACUUUUGUUUAAUGCGAUUAAGACAGUACUAACUCAAUACUUGUUCUAUUUUUGGAUGCAAAUGCUUGAUGGUUUCAUCAUUGGAUGGGAUAAAGGUGCAUUCAUGAUUAUGAAUACUUGUAGUUAUAUUUUCAUUCUCUUUUUUCUCAAUGAGACUUGUUGGCACAAUGUUGCUGUUCAGAAACCUACCUCUCCAUGGAAAAUAAGUUGCGAUUGAUAGUACUGGAUAUGUUCAAGAAAGCUAAAUAUAGAUAGCACAAAAUAUUAUCGAUAUAAAUAGCAUUAACAGCGUACGUAUGUCUCAAUGCUCAUCAGCUAUAAGCAUGGGACAAACACUUACUAUGAGCAACUUACGUCAAAAUUCCAGAAUAGGACAUAGAAGUGACAGAUCUAUAUAUAUAGAACACUGCAUAUGAGUCACAAGAAAGGAAAUUACGGGUGCAUAGCAGCUCUUAUUUUACAUACUACUACUCAUACUGAUCAAAGUCACUCAGUUGGGAUGGGUGGGAGUAGGAGGUUUGUGGGGUGGCUUGUGCGGAGGAGUUGGCAGCUUCUUUCCAGGACCUGGUUGCUUCUCUGCUGGAGUUGAAGGAGGCUUAAUCUUCCGAGGUGGCUUGUAUGAGUCUUCAGCAUUCUCAGCUGGAGGGUGACCAGGGUUGUGACCAUAAUGUGGUGGCUUCUCUCCCUUAGGUGGUUUGCCAACUGGGGUUGGUGGCUUGUAUGAGUCUUCAGCAUUCUCAGCAGGAGGGUGACCAGGGUUGUGACCAUAAUGUGGUGGCUUCUCUCCCUUAGGUGGUUUGCCAACUGGGGUUGGUGGCUUGUGUUCUGGGAGUGGCUUCUCCCCCUUGGGAGGUUUUUCCAAUGGGGUUGGUUUGUGUUCAGGAGGUGGCUUCUCCACUGGAGGCUUGUGUUCAGGAGGUGGCUUCUCCACCGGUGGCUUGUGUUCAGGAGGUGGCUUCUCCACCGGAGGCUUAUGCUCUGGUGGUGGCUUCUCCACCGGAGGCUUAUGCUCUGGUGGUGGCUUCUUGAAUGGGGGAUGCUGAGGGUAAUCAGCAAGUGAGGGGGCGGUGAGAACCACCAGGCCAAGCAACACCACUAGCAAAUAUGUAGGAGACAUCUUUGGGUUUGGGCUCAGAUGGUGCAAAACUAGGAGAAUUGGCUAGCCUUUUAUAGCGGAUCGUACUCAAUAAUGAAAUGACACGUGUCAUUAUGACCCAUGUGUAAUGGGGUCGAUUUGGGUCCUACAGUGUUGAAAACUUCGACAUCCAGUUUUGGCCUUUUGCUUUCUCUACAGCCGCCUUGCUUUUUCCCUCUUUCCUUUUGUUUUCCUCCUGCCCCAUUCUAUCAACUAAACACAAUUAUGUAGUUGUUUAAUUCUUAAAUGAGAUAUUAUCGGUCAAUCGUAUUAUAUUUUAUCAAGAGAGAACGGAGUGCAAUGCAGCUGUAAUUUUAUCGUUUACUUUUAUCUCUUGGACCACUGCAUUUUUGUUAAGAGGUGCAAUAAUACACGUCUUUAUCUGCCAUUCAAUGUUUACAGUAAAGAGAGGGCACAAAACUCUUCACUGCUCUGCAUGUGUCCCAAAAAUGCGAUUGGACAAAUUAUGAUUUGCAUGCUAAAAAGAGGCAAAUGAGGUUAAUUCGCACCAUAAUUAUUUGGUUUUCUGGACACCAUAAAAAGAUGUUAUACAGGCAGGGAAAAACCUUCAGAGUUAGCUACCAAAGAUAAUUAUCAAGCAGAUAUCACCAAGAGAAUUCCAUAGAGUCUGAAUCAAAGACAGAUUGCUCGCUCGUGGGGGUUCUUACUUUCUUUUGGGUAUAACUCACUGAGGUCACUGUCUUUUUUAUUUGCAUUUCACAGUUAGAGUUCUGCUCUGGAAGGUUUGUUCUGGAAACAUAUAAAAGGAGCAUCAUUUUGUUCUUGGGUAACCCAUAGUCGUGAGUGGGUCCAUUUGCAUGCUACUUAGUUGAAAAGUUGGACAAUUUGCUCCGACGCCUACCUCCUGGAUUCCAUGCUCGGUAAAACAAGAAUAAAAAAAAAUAUAUAAUUUACAAAUGGGGGAAAGAAAAAAUGUCGGAAAAAAUAGUAAAAUUCAUGUCACAUGCUAGUGAGAGAAGGGGUUGUUACACUCACUCGAAGUUCUUUUCAAAAUAUCGAAUGGUAUUUUACUUUAUGUGUCAGCGCAGUUGUGAAUGGAACGUGCAAAAGUCCAAAUUGGCGUUUUUAUUUUUCCCAUGUAGGAUGGUGACCUUUAAUAAAUAUUUAAAACAAAAGACGAAAAAAAAAAGGAGGGAAAAGGGAUCACAAAAGAUAAAAUAAUGUUUACAAAAGCUCAAUUAGUUUGCAAAUUACUGUUUGGAUUUUGAUAGUAUUUUAUUUGUCGUUCUAUAUUUGAUGUAAAAGAGAAUUUAAGAUAUUUCCGAAGCAAAAGCAUUAGUUUGCUCUGUGAUGUCCCACAUCGAAUAGGGGAGAAAGUUUCUGGCGCUAUAUAUGUAGAGGCUCCUCUUAACCAAGUAGAUGCGUUUUAAAACCAUGAGGGCCCCCUUAGGUCCAAAGCGGACAAUAUCUACAUGAUUGGGUGUAAGUCAUUACAAAUGGUAUCAGAGCCGAUCCCCGACCCCGGUGUGGGGGUUUGUUUGGCCCUGUAAGGGGUGUUUGUCUGUUUGACCCCACAAUCCCAUGGGACACAACGAGGACGUUGUGUCUGCAUGGGGGGGCGUUUGUGAUGUCCCACAUCGGAUAGGGGAGAAAGUUCCUAGUGCUAUAUAUGUAGAUGUUUCUCUUAACCAAGUAGAUGCAUUUUAAAAUUGUGAGGGCCUCUUUGGGCCCAAAGCGGACAAUAUCUACAUGGUUGAGUGUAAGUCAUUACAUGCUCCAUGUCAAUUUCAGCAUUUCUCAUAUGUUUCACACAUACACAGAAGAGCAUCGUUUUUUAAAGCAUGCAUUUAUGUUGGAUUAAUUUGGAUUUUGUGGGAACUGGGGCAAGGAUCACAUGGAAGAGAGGUUGACUUUUUUCAGUACUUCAAUGGUUGAAAUAUGUGAAGGCUUGAUUGAUACUAAAGCUUGAAAUUGCGACUCUGUCAUUUGUAAAAAAAUAUGACAGCUUCCAUGCUCUCGUUUGGUUGCAUUGUCCGGUCGAGAGGUGCAAAAAGCAUUCUCUCUCUUCUAAUAGUCUUUUCGUUUAAAUCAAGGGAUUUGCCUUCCCGGUCGAGGUCCAAUAGAGGGUAACGGUCACCUACUAAACAUUAAAUGCUCCAACAACUAGUGAACUGAUCGACCCCAGCUCGACUAGUUGAGGUUACUUUUUGGUUUUCUUGUCUCCCGAGGUUAGAAACCUAUAAAUAGAGAGCUUCACUUCAUUUAUGAGUAAGAGAACACCUAAAUUUAUUUGUUUACCUACUUGUUUUUGCCAUAAAAGCUCUCAUUUCUUUUCUUGGUGUAUUAAAUCUCCAUUUGCAUAUCCUUUAGUGCACCUUUGUGAUUCAUUCUAGCCUUGAGUUGUAUUUAAGCCUUUGUUGAGCUAGGUUGAGAGUUUCAUACUUGUUUAUUGAGUGUUAAAGCCUUCAAGUGAGUUAAAACUUGAAGAGAUUGUGUAAGAGCCCAUUGGAGUCGGAAUCCAAGUGUAAAGGUGAUUAAAAGCUUGGUUGAAGCUUCAAGUUAGUGGAACUCUCACUCGGUUAUGAGCUUGAGAAGAGUGGACAUAGACAAGGCAGUGUCGAACCACUAUAAAAUCUGAGUUUGAUUUCUCUAACCUUAUCUCUUUAUAUUUGCUUCUCUUGUGCUUAAAUUUUUUGUGUUUAAAAAGAAUUUUUAAAAACUCAAUUCACCCCCUUCUUGGGAGUUUUUCUCUUUUAAGAUCAGCUUUUAUUUUCUCAAUUGGUAUCAGAACUAUGCCUCUUGUUUAAGACUUAAUCGUCUAAGAGGAAAUGGCUAAUCCAUCAAGUUCAUCUCACAUUGAAAGUUUUGCAACCAAUAGACUUCUUUUUUUUUUUUUGCGGGAACUGAUUAUCCCUAUUGGAAAACUAAAAUGACUUGGUUUUUACAAUCAAUUGAUUUAGAUGUAUGAGAUGCCAUUGAAGAUGACCUAACUUUUCCUUCAAAACUAGUUGAUGGAGUCAUGGUUCCAAAACCUAAGCAAGAAUGGGAUGAGCGUGAUUGAAGAAAUUUUCAAUUAAAUGCUAAAGUCGUUUAUACUUUGCAAUGCUCUAUGGACAGAAAUGAAUAUAAUAGAAUAUGUCAAUGCAAAUCGGUUAAAGAAAUUUGGAGAUUGCUUGAAAUAACUCAUAAAGGAACAAAUCAAGUUAAAGAGUCAAAAAUCAAUUUACUUGUUCAUAGAUAUGAAUUGUUUUUUAUGAAAGAUAAUGAAACUAUUGUUAAGAUGAUCACUAGGUUCACCAACAUUGUUAAUGGUCUUAAAGCCUUGGGAAAGACCUACAAGGAAUCCGAAAACGUGAUGAAGAUCUUGAGGUCACUUCCAUCAAAGUGGCAUACCAAGGUCACCGCAAUUUAAGAAGCAAAAGACUUGAUCAAGCUACCUUUGGAGGAGUUCAUAGGGUCAUUGAUGACAUAUGAAAUCAAUUUGGCAAAGAAGUAACAAAAAGGUGAAGACAAAAAGAAGAAGAACAUAACUCUCAAAGCUACAACUAAGGAAGAAGAAGUUGAAGAAGAAAAACAAAUUGAAGAAGAUGAAGAUUUAGCCCUCAUCACAAGAAAGUUCAACAAAUUCAUGAGGGGUGAAAGGUUUAGAAGAAGAAGGUUCACUUCUAGAAGAGACUUUUCUAAAAAGGAAUCUUCAUCUAAUGGUGACAAAAAGAGAUGGGAAGAGAAAAGAGACUUGGUGUGUUUCAAGUGCAAGAAACCGGGACACAUUAAAUAUGAUUGUCCUCUCUACAAAAGUGAAGUCAAGAGGAAAAAGAAUAAGGCAAUGAUGGCCACUUAGAGUGAAAGUGAAGAUGAAUCAUCCGAAGAAGAAAAUGAGAAAGAAGUGGCAAACAUGUGUUUCAUGGCAAUAGAUGAACUUGAUGAGGUAAAAUCUAACCUUAGUGAUUAAGAUAUACAUGAUGCAUUUGAAGAAUUGUAUGAGGAUUUUUAAAAACUUAGUUUGAAAAAUAUUUCUCUUAAAAAGAAAGUUCAACAACUUGACAAAGAACUUAGAGAAGUAAAAGAAAAAUUUUCAAAUGUUAAAGUUUCUAAAACUCAUCUUGAAAAAGAAAAUGAGAUUCUAAGAAAGAAAAAUGAAUAGUUGAACUCCUCUCUUUCAAUCUUUUCUUCUAGACAAAAAUCUUUUGAAAUGAUUCUAACUAGCUAAAAAUGUGUUUUUGACAAACAAGGGUUAAGAUUUAAAUCUUCAAAAAAUCAAAAGUAUUUUAAAAACUAUUUUGUAAAGGAAUCCACAAGUGCAAGUCCUUCCACUACUUGCAACUUUUGUGGAAGAGAAUGGCACAUUAGUAGUACGCCCUUUAAGAAAUGGUUCUCAAAAGAAUUUAAAUGCAAAAACUAAAAAAGAUUUGGAUUGAGAAAUCCAAGGUCACUAACCCUCAAGGACCCAAAAAGAUAUAGGUACCUAAAUCAACUUGAGUUUUAUGUUGUAAGGUUCAAAGAAUGAUAAGUGGUUCUUAGAUAAUGGUUGCUCAAGACACAUGACCGGAGAUGAAUCCAAGUUUGCUUUUCUUAAAAAGAAAAAUGGAGGAUAUGUUACCUUUGGAGACAAUGCAAAAGAAAGGAUGAUUGGUCAAGGCAACAUUGGUAAUGGCACAUCCUCUCUCAUUGAAAGUGUUUUAUUAGUAGAUGGUUUCAAACAUAACCUUUUAAGCAUUAGUCAAUUUUGCGACAAAGGUUUUUAAGUGAUUUUUUAAGCAUCUCAUUGCAUCAUCAAGGAUAUUCAAAAUGAUAAAACCAUUUUCAUGGGCCAUAGAUGUGAUAAUGUUUAUGCUAUAAAUAUUUCAAAAUAUGAUGGCCAUGAUAGAUGUUUUUCAAGCAUGCAUGAUCAAAGUUGGUUGUGCCAUAGGAGAUUGAGACAUGCUAACAUAGACCUCAUUUCCCAACUCAACAAAGAUGAACUUGUUAGAGGCCUUCCCAAAAUAAUUUUUUAAAAAGAUAAAGUUUGUGAAGCUUGUCAAGUGGGAAAGUAAAUCAAAAACUCUUUUAAAAACAAAAACUUCAUUUCCACAUCUAGGCCACUUGAGUUGUUGCAUAUGGAUUUAUUUGGUCCCUCUAGGACACCAAGUCUUAGAGGAAAUUCUUAUGCAUAUGCUAUUGUGGACGACUUCUCUAGAUACACAUGAGUCUUGUUUUUUAGUCAAAAGAAUAAAGUUUUUUAUGAGUUUUCAAAGUUUUGCAAUAAGAUUCAAAAUGAAAAAGGUUUUUCAAUUACUUAUAUAAGAAGUGAUCAUGGGAGAGAAUUCGAAAAUAUUGAUUUUGAAGAGUAUUGCAAUGAGCAUGGAAUUGACCACAAUUUUUUGGCUCUUAGAACUCCUCAACAAAAUGGGGUAGUUGAAAGGAAAAAUAGAACUCUUCAAAAAAUGACAAGAACCAUACUAAAUGAAAACAACUUACCAAAAUAUUUUUAGGCCAAAACGGUUAACACUUCUUGUUAUGUUUUAAAUAGAGUAUUAUUGAGGCUCAUACUUAAGAAAACUCCCUAUGAGCUUUGGAAAAACAAAAAACCCAACAUUAGUUAUUCCAAAGUCUUUGGAUGCAAUAUUUUAUAAUAAACACCAAAGACAAUCUUGGAAAAUUUGAUGCAAAAUUGGAUGUUGGAAUUUUCCUUGGUUACUCAACUUCAAGUAAAGCUUUUCGAGUUUUAACAAAAGAACCAUGGUUGUAGAGGAGUCCAUCCAUGUUAUUUUUUAUGAAUCUCCAAGAAAGAGAGAGGAUUGAUGAUGAUUUAGGUUUGAAGACCUCUAUAGGAAGAUUGCAAAUCGAAGAUAGAAGACAACAAGAAGAAAAUGGAGAGAAUCCAAAGAAAGAAGGAUCACCAUUGGCACUACCCCCUCAUCAACAAGCGCAAGGUGAAUCAAGUCAAGAGCUUCCUAAAGAAUGGAAGUUUGUCAUCAAUCACCCACAAGAUCAAAUUAUAGGCAAUCCAUCUAGUGGGGUAAGAACUAGAUCCUCUCUUAGAAAUAUUUGCAAUAAUCUAGCUUUUAUCUCUCAAAUUGAGCCUAAAAAUAUAAAUGAUGUUUUAGAUGAUGAAAAUUGGAUAAUUGCAAUGCAAGAAGAGUUAAAUCCAUUUGAAAGAAGUGGAGUAUGGGAAUUAGUACCAAGACCUUCAAAUCAAAGUGUUAUUGGAACUAGAUGGAUCUUUAGAAAUAAAAUGGAUGAAAAUAGCAUAAUUGUUAGAAAUAAAGCAAGAUUGGUAGCCCAAGGUUUUAAUCAAGAAGAAAUGAUAGAUUAUGAAGAAACCUUUGCCCCCGUAGCUAGGUUGGAAGCCAUUAGGAUGCUACUUGCCUUUGCAUGUUUUAAAGACUUUGUUUUAUAUCAAAUGGAUGUGAAAAGUGCUUUUUUAAAUGGUUUUAUAAAUGAAGAAGUAUAUGUUGAACAACCACCCGGUUUUCAAAGUUUCAACUUUCCUAACCAUGUUUUUAAACUUAAAAAGACACUUUAUGGUUUGAAACAAGCACCUAGAUCAUGGUAUGAAAAAUUGAGUAAAUUUCUUUUGAAAAAAAUGUUUUAAAAUGGGAAAAAUUGACACAACUCUUUUUAUAAAAACCAAAGAAAAUGAUAUGCUCUUAGUUCAAAUAUAUAUUGAUGAUAUCAUUUUUGGUGCUACUAAUGUCUCUCUUUAUGAAGAAUUUUCUAAGUGCAUGCAUAGUGAGUUUGAAAUGAGCAUGAUAGGAGAACUCAACUUCUUCCUUGGACUUCAAAUCAAGCAACUAAAGGAAUGAACCUUCAUCAAUCAAGCAAAGUAUAUAAGAGAUCUUCUCAAAAGGUUCAACAUGGAAGAAGCCAAAACAAUGAAGACUCUAAUGAGCUCAUCCAUUAAGCUUGAUAAGGAUGAGAAAGGUAAAUCCAUUGACUCUAUUAUGUAUAGAGGCAUGAUAGGUUCUUUGCUCUAUUUGACCACUAGUAGACCUUACAUUAUGUAUAGUGUGUGUUUGUGUACUAGAUUUCAAUCUUGUCUUAAAAAAUCUCACUUAAGUGUCGUGAAAAGAAUCCUCAAAUAUUUGAAAGGGACAAUGGACAUAGGCUUAUGGUAUCCUAAGAGUGAUAACUUUGAAUUAAUUGGUUUUUUGGAUGCUGAUUUUGUCAGUUGUAGGGUUGAAAAAUAAAACACUAGUGGCACUUUUCAUUUCUUAAGACACUUACUUGUCUCAUGGCAUAAUAAGAAGCAAAAUUUGGUAGCUUUGUCAACAGCAGAAGCUAAAUACAUAGCAACUGGUUUAUGUUGUGCACAAAUCCUUUGGAUGAAAUAAACACUUAGUGAUUUUGAUUUAUCUUUUGAGCAUAUUCCUAUUAAAUGUGAUAAUAGUAGUGCCAUAAGUAUAUCAAAAAAUCUCGUGCAACACUCUAGGACUAAGCAUAUAGAGAUUAGACAUAAUUUUCUUAGAUAUCAUACACAAAAGGAUGAUAUAACACUUGAAUUUGUAAGCAUAAAAGACCAACUUGCCGAUAUCUUUACAAAACCUCUAAGAACAUUUUGUUGAUAUUAGAGGACAAUUAGGAGUGAUUUCUUUAUGAUCUAAUGUGAUGAAUUCUUGAUGAAUAUACUUUUUGAUUGCAUGAAUUUCAUGUCAUAUAUGCAUCAUAUAGAAAUAUACUUAGAUAAUGGUCAAAUUUCGACCAAAAAUCAAAAUUCCCAUGGCAUUAGGCAUAAAAAUUUUGGAAUUUCAACUGAAAAUGGUAGGAGGAGGAUCACAAAAUGAGAAAGUAUGCAAAAAUUGAAAAAUCAAAACGUUGACCAAGCGGUCAAUCGGACUAGACCGAUCGACUAGUUUGUCGAGAUUUAGGAUUUUUAAGAGACUCCAACGCUUCAAUUUUUGCACCGUUCUCCUCUAUUUCUUCACGGUUUCUCUGAUUUUGUCUUUUAGAGACUAAUUUGAGUGCGUUUUGGAUCAAUUGAAGCAUUUUGGAUUGGAUUUUAGGAAGAUUGAAAGUUAAGGUUUCGGAUUUGGGUCGCCUUCUCUUCCUCUCGCGUGUCACAAUCAGCUUUAGCAUUGUUCUCUUUCCAUUUUCACACACCUAGGGUUUCAGUUGUGAGCAUCUCUCUCUCUUUACCAACCACUACUCCCUUGCUUCUUCCAUAUGGCUCCUAGGCGAGAGUCCGCUACUUCUAGGGCACAAGGCAAGCACCCAACUGAGUCGUCUCAGUCAAAGGCACGUCGAAAAGUGAGAUUUGACAUUGCCUUGUUCAGUUCCAUGGAGGACUACCAACUAUACAAGCAACACUUUGCUUAGAGACGAGUAGUUCCCAAGAGAAAUAUUAAUUUUCCUCAACUUCAGCAUUUCGAAUUUAAGGGUCUAUUUACUAGGAUGGUUGGUUGUCUAUUGUCACAAUUUCGGAGCCGGUUUUCCUGACCUUAGUGCGAGUUUUUUACUCGAGGGCGACUUAUGGCAUGGGUGGCAUGAUCAUUUCUACUGUUGGAGGAGUUGAGAUCUGUCUGGACCCAGAGAGCAUCUGCCAUAUUUUCGAUAUUGCUCUGGUUGGACUCAAAGUAUACAAGUCCAAAAUGUGGCCCAUUGUGCCAGGAUUUGAGCUUAGAGAGGUCAUUCAGAGGAUUUGUGAACUUCCAGACGCCCAGGAGAUGGGCAAACCAUUGCCACACAGUUUGACGGUCAUCAACAGGGUGCUACACCAUAUAUUGUGCUCUAUCUUUCUACCACGAAGUGGACAUUGAGAUGAGGUCUCUUAUUAUGAGGCAUUCCUUAUUGACUCCAUUCUAACGGAGAGACGAAUUCAUCUACUAUGUCAUCAUUCACUAAGCCUCCUCACAGUGACAUACCACCUCAUCAGGCACCUCUUGCUCCUGACCAUGCUCCAUUGAUGGAUUUAUUUACUCAUAUUAGCUCUCUAGGCACUCGCAUGAAGGAGUUUGUUGUAGUUAGUGAUACAUGGUUCUACUCCAUAGAGGAUCGCAUGGAUCAGUAUCAGACUGGCUUCACGUCACAGUUUGAGUAUCUCCAAUAGAGGAUUGAGCAUAUUGAGGAUCACUUGAGCAUGAGAAGAUGAUGGCUUUUCUAUGCUCUGUGUUUCCACCUCCACCUCGUCAACCUUGAUUUCUUAGAGACCCAUUGUUUUCAUUUUGUAAUGUUGCCAAAAGGGGGAGAUAUUUAGGAUCUAGGACUCUAUAGGAGACUUACAUGCAUAUCAUUUUCAUAUCAUUGUUUGGAUCGUACAUAUUGGAUAGUGAUACUUUUUACUUAUAUAUGAUAUGCCUAUAUGUUUCAUGUCUUACAUUGUUUCUUAUUGCAAAUUAUCUCUAACAUGUCUUGAUUAUCUUUUUUUUAACUUCAUAAAUUUUGAUUGUUAACCCAUGAUUGGUUUGAGGGGAAGAUUCUUCUUCUCCUAGAUAACCAAGGUUUGUCAUCAUAAAAAAAUUGGAGAUUGUUAGCCCAAGGGUUCUCCUAAUCAUGUUUUGAUGAUAACAAACCAUGCUUAAGUUACUAAUUGGUUUGAAUUAUAAAGAAUUUCAAGUGUUAAUUUGAAAAUUCAUCAAAGAACCUAAUGGAUGCAAGAUCAAGAUUUUUGGAAGACCUUUAAUCAUAAGAAACAUAUGUAAGAUGAAUGCAUGGGUGCACUUAAGAUUUGCAUAUCAUUUCAUGCAUAUUUGGAAAACACGGUUUAUGCUUUAAAGUUACAUUUCCAUCAAAAUUUGAGAUCCAUCAAAUGAACCUUAGGAAAAAUGUUUUAAAAUUGGCAUAUAAUUUUACCUAAAGACCUUGCCUAAGUGUUAGAAGCAAAAGGACAAAAAAAAUAUAGGUUUUCUGGUCAAAAAUGGUGAACCAGUCAAGGCAUUGUCUAAAUCAGCUCAAUCGGCCAAGGUACCGGUCGAUCGGUUUCCCUUUCCCUGUCGAGAUCUAGUCAAGAGGUACAAAAAUCACAAUCUCUGUCUCUUUCUCUCUUUGUCUAUCUUCCAGUAGUCUUUCCUUCCCGGUCGAGGGAUUUGCCUUCCCGAUUGAGGUCCGAUUGAGAGUAAUAGUCACUUGCCAAAUAUUAAAUGCUCCAACAGUUAGUGAACUGGUCGACCCCCACCUUGCCCAGUUGAGGUUACUUUUUGGUUUUCUUGGCUCCCGAUGUUAGAAACCUAUAAAUAGAGAGUUCCACUUCAUUUAUGAGCAAGAGAACACUUGCAUUUAUUUGUUUACCUACUUGUUCUUGCCUUAAAAGCUCUCAUUUCUUUUCUUGGUGCAUUAAAUCUCCAUUUUGAUAUCCUUUAGUGCACCUUUGUGAUUCAUCUUAGCCUUGAGUUGUAUUUGAGCCCUUUUUUUAGCUAGGUUGAGAGUUUCAUACUUGUUAAUUGAGUGUUAAAGCCUUCAAGUGAGUUGAAACUUGUAGAGAUUAUGUGAGAGUCGAUUGGAGCCGAAAUCCAAGUGUAAAGGUGAUUAGAAGCUUGGUUGAAGCUUCAAGUUAGUGGAAUCCUCACUCAAUUAGGAGCUUGAGGAGAGUGGACGUAGCCAAGGAAGUGUCGAACCACUAUAAAAUUUGAGUUUGAUUUCUCUAACAUUGUCUCUUUAUAUUUGUUUAUCUUGUGCUUAAAUUUAUUGUGUUUAAAAAGAAUUUUUAAAUACCCAAUUCACCCCCCUCUUGGGUGUUUUUCUCUUUUAAAAUUAGCCUUUAUUUUCUCACAAACUAUUGUAGUAUAGUGGUUUUUAGGUGUCAUCCAUUAGGAUGAAUUGUUCUCGGUAAUUAAGGCGUGAAUGAGAGGAGAAUUAAUGAUUGUGAUUAAGUAAAAUUGAUUUGAAAAUUCAUGGUGAAAAAUCAAUUUAACAAUGGUUUCUAAUUGAGAAAAACAAUGAAAUGUGAAAUAAAAUAAAAUUAAUAGGAAAUGAAAUUCUCGAAGUUAGAAUUUUCUAAAAAACAAAUUCCAUGGUGAAUGGAUGUUGAGAUCUAAUUUUCAUCAAGUUAGAUUGAAAACCGAAAUUUUCAUAUAAACUGAUUUUUUAUUUAGUUUUAGGUCUAGAUUUAAUUUCCCUUAAAAUUAGGUUAUUUAAUCCAAGAAAUCAAUUCAAAUCAUAUAUUCAAUUCAUCUUAAAUUAUCUUCCAAUUAUUCACACAAUGCAACUAUUCAAUCUCAUCAAAUCUAGCUUUUAAGAAUUUAAUGAAUCUACCUAGUUUGCAUUGUAAUAGUCAUCCAUGACAAUUUGAAGAGAAAAAUAAUUCAAUUAAUCAAUCACUUGGAUCAAAUUACCUUUGCAAUUAAAGUUCAUUUCUCUAAUUCACCACAGAUUUUGUCUCUAGAUCCUCCUUUCUCAAAGAAAAAUGAGAUUUAGCCACACAUGAUUGGAGAUUUGGUCUCAUAAGGCAUGUUUAGCUAGUGAUAAAAUGAGAGAAAAUAAAGAAAAAUAGAGAAUUCGAUUAAGAAAGAAAAUCUAAAAAAUUCUACAAUUAGAAAUGUCCAAAAAGCUUUUUCAUGAGAAAAUCAAGUUUCUAUUUAUAGGCCAAGGUCAAGUGGACACUUGACAUCAUCUAAGAGGUCUUCCGGAAGCUUCUUCAUCAAGAAAUCUGGAGUUUAAUAAUAAAAUGGUCAUUUCACAAGAGCUCAAACAAUUUCGCAUGAUUAUGUGAAAUAAAAAAUGCAACAACAGCAAUUUACAUCUUCUUGGAGCAUUUCGCAUGACUGUGUGAAAUUUUCACAUGAUCAUGUGGAAUCGACUUGACAACUCUCAUUUAGCCUACAACAUAAUUCCACCUUUUGGUCCAUUUUUCAUAGUCAUGCGAAAUGGAAAUAUUUGAUUUUUAAGUUUUCUUUUGUCAUUUCUUUCAUUUCCUUCUCUUGAUUCCACUUCAACUACCUCCGAAUCCUGGUCCAAACCAAUUGCAUUACUUCUUUCAUUAUGCAUUUGGAUCAUCAUCAACAUUAUUUGUUCUCUUCAAUUUGAUUCAUCUCUUUUGUCACCAAUUUAUCAAAAUCAUACCUUGAAAUGACUCCAAAACUUCAUAAAACUUGUUAGUAACUCUUGCAAGGGCAACAACAUAUUAAUUAAGUGUUUUAGGCAUAGUUACUACUCAAAAGAUGCGAAACUCAUGAUAAUUAUUAUAUAAAAUAUGCUCUUUUUGAGUAGUAAUCAACUUUCUUGCAUAAGCAGACCUUUUAGGGUGGAGUACUAAAGACCAAUAUGCUUGUCCUUGUUGUAAUAAAGAAACUUGCUCUUAUUGAUUGCACCAUGGGAGAAAAUUUUGCUACAUGAGUUAUCAUCAAUUUCUUCCCACCAAUCAUAGAUUUAGACGUGACAAGAGGCCUCUUAAUGGCAAGGAGGAACUGACACUCACACUUAUACAAUUAUCGGGCAUUGAUGUGUUGCAACAAUUAGAAUAACUUACACCAAUUAUGUUGGGGAAGUCACAAAAGGCAAACAUGAAAACUAAAAGGAAAAAAGAAAAAUGUUACAUAUCACCACAACUGGAAAGAAAAAAGUAUUUACUUUCAUUUGCCAUAUUGGAAAGCACUUAUUUUACAUCAUAAUAAUUUAGACAUAAUGCAUAUUGAGAAAAAUGUGUGACAAUAUAAUUGAGACAUUGUUCAGUAUUGACGAAGAAACAAGGACAACCUAAAUAGUCAUCUCGAUUUACAAGCUCUAACUAUUAGAAAUGAGAUUCACCCAAUAGAAAGCAGGACCAAAUUUAUUUUGCUUGCAACAUGCUACUCACUCACCCCAAAUGAGAUUAAGGAAUUUUGCAAGUUUUUGAAAUCAAUAAAGGUCCCCAAUGGCUAUUCUUUCAAUAUCUCUCGUUAUGUGCAACUCAAUGAAAGGAAGAUAUAUGAGCUCAAAUUGUAUGAUUGUCAUGUCCUAAUGCAACAACUUCUCUCACUUGUAGUUCGUGGAGUUCUACAUAAGAAUGUUUGUGGAGUUAUCAUAGAAUUGCGUAAUUUUUUCAAGCAAUUGUGCUCAAAGGUGUUAGAAACAAAUCACUUACACCAACUUGAGAACAAUAUUAUUGUCAUACUAUGUAAAAUGGAGCAAAUAUUUCUUCCAUCAUUCUUUGAUAUUAUGGUGCAUUUACUUGUGCAUCUAGUAAGGCAAAGGUUGCAAGACUUGUGCAAUAUUGUUGGAUGUACCUAAUUGAACGAUAUUGUUAUAAUUUCAUAUGAAUCAUUUAAUUUUAUUUUAUAUUAUGUUCAGUUCAUUAACAUGUACAUUGGUCUACAUAUGGAUGAUGAUAGGUACCUAAGCACUUUAAAGUCAUAUGUGCGUAAUAGAACUUUUCUAGAAGGUUCUAUUGUAGAAAGGUACCUUGCAAAAGAAUGUACAACAUUUUAUUCUAGGUACUUGAAUGAUGUGGAAAUAAAGUAUAAUCACAAUGAUAGAAACUUUGUUGGUUUCAACACUAGAGGAGAUGAAAGGGGUUAUCUUUAAACAUAUUGGACAUGCAUUGGGAAAGCCCAUAUUUCAUUAACUUAGUUCAAAAGAGUGGUCACAAGCACAUUUAUAUGUGUUGACAAAUUGCGAAGAUGUCAUACCAUUCAUUGAGUAAAAAAUUUAUUUGAAUUUUAAUUAAAGCUCUAGUUUAUAUCCUUAAUCAAUGUUUUUUAAAUUCACAAGGAGCACAAGCAAACCAUCAAGGCUAGACCACAUAUACGUGUUUGAGACGUAGAUUUAAUUCAUAACAAGGAAUUUAUCAAGUGGUUUGAAAGACAUGUAAGUAUAUUCCUUAUUAUAAGGGAUUUAUUUCACAUUAUGUUUAUAUUGAAUCCAAACCUAUUAUUGAAUUGUAGGUUGAACAAUUACAUAAUGAAGGUCAUAUAUCUGAACACCUUCUCACAUUAUCAUGUGUUCCAAAUUCAUUAGUUACAUGCUUCAAAUGAUAUAUUGUCAAUGGAUUUAGAUCCCACAUUAAAGAACGUGAUAAAAAAGUUUUUAAAAAAAGACUCAGAAUAAUGGAAUUGUUGUAGUUGCAAAAACGUCAAGCUUUACAAGUGCAUGUGAUAUGAGUCCAAUUAUUAGUGAUGCUCUCUACUAUGGUGUUCUAACUAAAGUUGUUGAGUUACAUUAUCUUGGUGAAAAUAAGGUUGUUUUAUUCGAGUUUGAUUGGUGGGAUGUUACAAAUAUUGGAAAAUUGAUAAAAGAUGAUGAGUACAAUUACACAUUUGUUAACUUUGCAUGAAUUCUAACCACGAACGAACGAUUUGUACUUGCAUCUCCAGCAAAGUAAGUGUUCUAUGUGAAGAAUGCGAAUGAAUCAGAUUGGCAUACUAUCAUGGAGAUGCAACCUCAAGACCUCUAUAAGAUGAACGGGAUAGGAUCCAAUGGUGAUUUUGAACCAUUUCAACAAAGUGAACUACAUGAUCACUAAUAUAUCUCAGAUUUAGUUGAUGAAGAUAUAAUCAAGUGGAACAAAAGUGAUGUUUUAGGACUAAUCAUCCUAAAAAAUAUUGUAGUUUCUUAAAAAAAAAAUGAAAAUGAAGAAGAUAAUUGAACCUUUGUCAUACUUUAAAAAGCAACUAUGCAUUGUUCAUUUUGUAUGUUUUGGUUUUCUUCAUUUAAUUUCCUGAUUUUUGUGAUUCAAUGUCAUAUUAUUGAUCUUGAAAUAUUUUUCUAAUUUUUCAUUCUACGAUGGUUUCAACAAGGAUGACAUCAAGUCAAAAAAGGAAAUGUGGUCCCACACACAAUAUUGCAUUACAGGGAUUAAGGUCAGGGAAGAAGGUAAAAGUUGCAUUUAAUGAGUACAAUCAAUUGGUUAAACAGAAAAAUGGAAAACACUUAUCGAGCUACAUAGGGACACUUGUAUCUAACCAACACAAUGUACCUCUCCAAGCUAGUGAUUGGAAAAAUGUUCCAAAUGAUGCAAAAGAGAAAGUAUGGCCUUUGUUUUGGUAUGUUGUAUUUCUCACUAUAUGAUGUCAUUUCACUGUUAUUCUAUUUUGUGACUAACGUUUGAAUCAUAUGUAAGAAAAAUUUGAAGUAGAUAAAGACUGAAAAGAUUACAUGUUGGGUAUAGCCUCAAAUAAAUAUAGAAGCUAUAAAAAUAUGAUGAAUGCAAAAUACUAUGACCCUUGGCAUAAGGAUGCAUGAGGAGAGGUUAAUACAUAAAUCACCAUUUGUCUCUGAUGUUGAUUGGAAGUGGCUUGUCUCUGAUGCAUAAACCAAAUCCCCCACUGAAUGUUUGAUAUUUGAUAGCAGGAAAAACACACCCGCAGCUAUACACCUCCAUCAUUCAGAUAAUUAUAGUGGGGGAGAUGAUUCAUGGUUGCCCUUAUACCCUUUAUUUGCACCAUCUAUUGAGAUUCUUUAUCAUGGCCAGGUUUUACUGCAGCAAUAAGAUAUGGUGGCAACAAUUUUAUCUAUAGGUGCGGUUCCAGACCGCCUCCAUAGGUGCGGUUCCUGACUGCCUCCAUAGGUGCCUCUUCUUGUAAUGUUUGUUCUGGGAAUUACACUUGAAAGCCUUAUCGUGAUAAGGGAUUACAAACACUAGUUCAGAGGACAGCCAUGUUAAACUUCCACUAUGUUUGUGUCACAUUAUCAGCAGCCUAGUGUUUAUUGGUCAUGCUAUCUGCAACUAAUAUAACCCGGUGAACUUCAAUCUAAAUUCUGAAAGUACUCAUGUGACAGAUGGUGCCUUUCAGCAGAUAUCAUCAAUUUAAAAGUAGUGUGUGUGCCUAUAGGUGGGAAGGCCUUGGCAAAUGUUCAGUAUUCCGGUAAUUCAAGAAGGAUAUAUCUAAAAUAGAUUUUCUUCUUGCCCAUUUCAAUAGUUAAAAUUUGAGAAGAUUGUGUCCACAUCACACAAAUAUUAUUGGUCCUUCUGUUGCAAUUUACCUCUGAACAUGUCUUCCAAUUCCCACGGUCCUGUUACUCCAGGAAAACUAUUUCGGUCAUAUUGAAAAAAAAAAUAUUAAAGAAGGUACACAUGCUUUUAAGUGGACUGGGGCAUUCAUAUCAGGUGGUCUGUAUCCACAUAUGCCACUUCGUGAAAGGUGGAACAGCCUAAUCACUAGGCUAUUUAGUGUGGCCCAGCCACGUUAAUCAAGCACAAGUCUUCAUACUUAAAGUCAAAUGGUGUCUUUAGUCUCAUUACACAUCGCUAUUUGAAGAUUAACUCAUCACUAGUGUAAUGCGAUUAAGACAGUCCUAACUCAAUAUUUGUUCUAGUUUUGGAUGCAAAUGCUUGCUGGUUUCAUCAUUGGAUGGGAUAAAGGUGCAAUCAGGACUAUGAAUACGUGCAGUAAUACUUCAUUCUCUUUUUUCUCAAUGAGACUUCUUGGCACAAUUUUGCUGCUCAGCAACCUACCUUUCCAUGGAAAAUCAGUUGUGACUGAUAGUAAUGGAUAUAUUCUAGAAAGCUAAACAUAGAUAGCAUUCAAUAUUAUCGAUAUAACAUUAACAGCGUAUGUCUCAAUGCUCAUCAGCUACAAGCAAUGGACAAACACUUUGAGUAACUCACAGCAGUCAAAAUUCCUAAACAGGACAGACGUGACAGAUCUAUAUAUAGAACACUGCAUAUGAGUCACAGGAAAAGAUAAUACGGGUACAUAGAAGCUCUUAUUUUACAUAUUACUCAUACUGAUCAAAGUCGCUCAGUUGGGAUGGAUGGGAGAAGGAGGUUUGAGGGGUGGCUUGUGCGGGGAAGUUGGCAGCUUCUUUCCGGGAGCUGGUUGCUUCUUUGCUGGAGUUGAAGGAGGCUUAAUCUUCCGAGGUGGCUUGUAUGAGUCUUCAGCAUUCUCAGCAGGAGGGUGACCAGGGUUGUGACCAUAAUGUGGUGGCUUCUCUCCCUUAGGUGGUUUGCCAACUGGGGUUGGUGGCUUGUUUUCUGGGAGUGGCUUCUCUCCCUUGGGUGGUUUGCCAACUGGGGUUGGUGGCUUGUGUUCUGGGAGUGGCUUCUCCCCCUUGGGAGGUUUUUCGAAUGGGGUGGGUUUGUGUCCUGGUGGUGGCUUCUCUCCCUUGGGAGGUUUACCAAUUGGGGUCGGUGGCUUGUGUUCUGGGAGGGGCUUCUCUCCCUGGGGAGGUUUAGUGGGUGGCUUGUGUUCUGGAGGUGGCUUCUCCACCGGAGGCUUAUGCUCUGGUGGUGGCUUCUCGAAGGGGGGAUGCUCAGGGUAAUCACCAAGUGAGGGGGUGGUGAGAACCACCAUGCCAAGCAACAACACUAGCAAGUAUGUAGUAGACAUCUUUGGGUUUGGACUCAGACAGUGCAAAACUACGAGAAAUCGCUAGCCCUUUAUAGCGGCUCGGACCUAAUACUGACAUAAUAUAAAAUAAAUAUUAUAUUUUAUCAAGAGAGAACAGAGUGUAAUUUUAUCAUUAAUACCGAUCGAGGCCAAAGAAAGAAGACCCAUAAUCCAUUUCCCACAAGCAUACACAAUGCAGCUGUAAUUUUAUCAUUUACUUUUAUCCCUUGGACCACUGCAUUUUUGUUGAGAGACACAAUAACACAUUUUUAUCUGUCAUUCAACAUUUACAGUAAAGAGAGGGCACAAAACGCAAUUAGAUAAAUUAUGUUUUGCCUGCUAAAAAGAGGCAAAUAACUUUAUUUGCAACAUAAUUAUUUUGGUUUCUAGUGACCCCGGGGCCUUUCGGUUGGUUUGGGAUCGGAAAAUGAACAUCAUAGGGGGGGUUGUGCCCUUAUGGGCAUAUAUAUCUGAUAGCUUCAACUGGCCUUGUUCCUAGAAAGAAAUUGCCAAAGAUAUAAACUUAUUCCAGGCUGAAAGUAGAUGAGAGUCAUAAUGAACAUCAACCUUUGUUCAGUUUGAUUCAAUGCCCCCAUAGUGUUCAUUUCACAGAUCUGAAUGAUUAUAUCCGUUGAAUACAUAAAUUAAUGAAGACAAAUAUGAAACCCAAGAUACAUCUCUGCAUAACAACCCCAACCCUGGUUGCUAUGUUUCCCUUCUUCUAUUCACAUGAGGAUACUGGUUAUAAUUGUCAAACUUGCAACAAGCCCUUUGACACCUAACGUCAAUGGACGAAUUAAAAGUCUCCUUCAAACGUCUAUUUCACAGCAUGAAGCUUAUAAAGGAUGCUGACAACCUUCAGAGUUAGCGACAAAAGAUAAUUAUCAAGGAGAGAUAGUUCCAUGAGAAUUCCAAGGAGUCUGAAUCAAAGACAAAUUGCUCACUCAAGGGUUCUUAUUUUCUUUUAGGUACAAAUCUCUUGAGUGUUGUUAAAGAAACACGUCACUGUCAUUUUGAUUUGCAUUUAACAUUUCACUUUUGUUCUGGAAGGUUUGUUCCGGAAACAUAUCAAAUGAGCAUCAUUUUCUUCUUCGGUGACACAUGGUCGCGAGUACGUGGGUCCAUUUUCAUGCCACUUAGUUGAAAAGUUGGAAAGAAAAAACAUGCCAACAAGAAGAUAGUGAGAGAAGGGGCACUUCAAGCCUUUAACAUGAACAAACAGUAAAUAAAAGAUGUUUCUCCACUCAUAAAAGUGUGUUAGAUAGCAAUAUAACGAAUCACAUCCAAAAUCUUUACUAGGCUCAAACAUAAAGAAGACUCAUUUUUAAGAAAAGAUAAAAAUGGCAUUGUCUGAUAGUAUCCAAUACACGAGAUGGCACUUAAUUUGUACAAGAUCUGUCAAUGCUGACGCACAUUUUCUGAUUAAAAAAAAACUGAUCAGUCAAAAGCAAUGAAGAGAAGUGAUGACAAUGAAUGAUGCUUCCAAUAUUUUCACCCCUUAUAGUGUUCUUCAUGAUUCAGAUAUAUAAUUGGAAAUAGAACAACCCUAUGCCAUACAUUCGUCUAAGUAUGGUGUCUAAUUUUUUGUGUCAGCGGUUGCGAAUGGAGCGUGCAAAAGUCCAAAUUGGCGUCUCUCCAUUUCCACAUAGGAAGGUGACCUUUAUUGACAAAUACCCAAUAUUUGUAGACAUUCCUUAAAUAUCAUAACUUCUUGUUGAUUUGAAAAUCAUUUUUCAACUACCAUGUUUUAAUAAAUAUUUUUUAAAAUGUAUUUUUAUCAAAGUCCACCAUGAUGGAUAAUAUUCACCAUGCAAUAAUUAAUAAAGUACAAACUAAGCGAAAUGAAAAGCAUUUUCUUUGCUUUGAGUUGAUUUUGGUUGCAUUGAGUUGAUUUUGGUUUCAUGGUUUUUUCAACUCUUAUUUUGAUUGGAAGAUGUCAAGAAAAGAAAACAUAAAGAAAAAUUAAAAGGGAAAAAAGAAGAAAAAUAAAAAAAAAUAGAUUUAAAAGUUAAUAAAUUAUUUUUUAUAUUUAUUUUAAUUCAUUUCACUUAUUUUUCUUUUACUAUAUAAAAUUUAAAUAAUUUAAAUUUUAUAAUUAAUUUAAUUACAUUUCAUUUUCUUCUAUAUUUAAAUAUUGGAAAAAUAUUUUACUUAAUAUUUUUUUCUUUAAUUUCUUUGGCAUUUUGGGAACCAAACUUAGCCUUUAAAAUAAAAAACAAAAAAAAAAUGAAAAUAAGGAGGGAAAAGUGAGAAAAGAUAAAAACAAUAUGUAAAGGAUUUGAAAAGUAUUAGUUUGUAAUUACUAUUUGGAUUUCAAUAGUAUUUUAUUUGUCUUUCUAUAUUUCAUGUAAGAGAGAAUUUAAGAUAUUCCCCAAGGCAAAGCAUUAGUUACCUGCAAUCAGUGGUGAUAAGGCUCCAAGCCAAUUUUGGGCCCCAUAUCUUAAGACAGUACAAUUUCCAUUUCAACAUUUCUGAUUUCUCAGAUGUUUCACAUACCACAGAAGAACAUUGUUUGUGAAAAUAUGCAUUUAUGUUGGAUUUUGUAUGCUGUGGGGACUGGGGCAAGGAUCAUAUGGAAGAGUGGUUGACUUUUUCUGUACUUUAACGGUUGAAAUAGGAUAAGCACGGGCAUUUGUGAGGCUUAAUUGAUUUUGAAGCCUGAAAUUGCGUUUCUGUCAUUUUGUCAAAAAAAUGGCAGAUUCCAUACUCAUAUGUUUGGCCUGUGGCCAUGUACAGAUGCCAUUUAGUGACCAGUUUGUAACUGUCAAUCGUUGCGUUUUGACUCUGCCUCAACAACAUCUGCCAUUGACGGGUUUUCAUACUUGCAAAUCAAAUAGUCUUUCGUCCCAUCAGGAAUUUCGGUUUAAAUAUUAUUAAGCAUACGUUUGGCUGACAAUCAUUAUCCAGUUCAUGAUUUGGUUUCUUACCCUUAAUCAAUGGUUUCUAAGUGAAUAUAUGUAGAAGGAAAUCCGAAGUGUAGACAGUAGUAUCGAUAACUCUCAAUAUUCUCUAUAUAAUAGAAUAAACAGCGUCAUAGUGAUCGUCGCCUACAAGCAAGGUACAAAUACCAAAACGAGUGACUCACAUAGACAUCUCCCAACAAGAUGUAGUAGUGACUGACACAUGGACACAAUUAACUCGUAGAAAAGGAUAAGACCAUUGCACAGCAGCUCUUAUUUUACAUACUACUUAUGCUAACCAAAGUCAAUUAGUUGGGAUGGGUGGGAGAUGGAGGUUUGUGCGGUGGCUUGUGGGGCGGAGUUGAUGGCUUCUUUCCAGGAGCUUCUGGCUUUUUCAUCGGAGCUGAAGGAGGCUCAAUCUUAUGAGGCGGCUUGUAUGAGUCUUCUUUACUCUCGACAGGAGGGUGGCCAGGGUUGUGAUCAUAAUGUGGUGGCUUCUCUCCCUUAGGUGGCUUGCCAACUGGGGUUGGUGGCUUGUGUUCAGGAAGUGGUUUCUCUCCCAUGGGAGGUUUAGCAAUUGGGGUUGGUGGCUUGUGUUCUGGGAGUGGCUUCUCUCCCUUGGGAGGUUUAGUAGGUGACUUGUGUUCUGGAGGUGGCUUCUCCACCGGAGGCUUGUGCUCCGGUGGUGGCUUCUUGGUUGGAGGGGGCUUGGGGUAAUCAGCAAGAGAUGGGGUGGUGAGAACCACCAGUCCAAGGAACAACACUAGCAAGUAUGUGGGAGACAUUUUUGAGUUUGGGCUGAUCAGAUGAUGCAAAACUAAAGCAUUACGUGACCUUUUAUAGCAUGUAGCUCCCAAUACCCACUAAGUAUUGUGGGGUCCAUUUGUGCCCUACGGGGUUGAAAACUUAGACAAUUGGGCAAGGACCCACCUGACUAUGGAGGACUAGUGAGGUGUGAUCAUAGCUUUAGGAUUUUUCUUCCUCUGCAGCCGUCGUGCCGUUGGCAUGAUUUUCUUAAUCUUAAAUAAAGGCAUAGUUAUAGAGUUGUUUAAUCUCUAAAUGGGAUUUUAUAUAUAUCUUCAGAUAGCCAUUAAUAUAUUUGAUGAAGAAAGAAAGACAAGUGCAUACAACAUGUAUACGACUAGCUUUCAUGGAGUUCAUUUAUGAUCAGUUUUCCUGUACAUGUAAACCAGGAUCAUAUAUAUGUUUCUGUUCCACAACUAUUUUGGAAUCUUGUUUAUCAGUUUUUAUCAUUAUAAUGUCACAUAGGCUGCCAACUUGGGCGCUAAAAGAACCAGUUGGGCUAGUUCGUUUCAGAAUUUCAAUGUGGAUUCAGGAAUUGUUUUGUAAGAUAUGCGAAAUAGUAGAGGGAUGAAUAGUGUUUCAUUAAUAAAAGUGUCCUGUAAAUUAGAAGGUGUCAUAGAAACUAUAAUCAAUAAAUAACUUUUUUUCCCCACGGGUGGUGUUUCUUGUGGGGAUCAGUGACUGGUUUAGGUUCACCCAAAAUGAGUUCAGACUAAAAUUGGUUUGAGUCAAUGCCGUGUCUCUUUUUUCCAGAAAUCAACUAUUUUAUGCAUUGAAUAAAUCAUACAAAGAAAAUAUGAACGCCCGCAAAACCUAAACCCUGGUUGCUAACUUUCUAUGUUUCAGUUCUAUUCACGCAAGAAUAUUAGUUUAAGUUUGGGAAAAAUGGCAACUUACCUAGUGAUUACUUGGUUUUGGUUUGCGACUAUUUACGCAACCAACCAUGAGUUUGACUUUAACGUCAUGGGUUGAAGCCUCCUACAGGAAGGGAGAAAGCUCCACAGCUAGCUCCAAAAGAGAAUUAUCACAUUGAUAGCUCCAGAGAUUCCCAAGGGGACUGAAUCAAAGACAAGUUCCUCACUUUUUCUUCUUUUGAGGCCAAAUAUGAACCAAGGAUCACACAACCUCAUUCAACUUCAUAAGUUUGAUUUCAUGCAGUUGAACACUGGGUGAAGGCCAUGACAAGAAUUGAUUCAAAAAUUCUAUCACUCUUUUAAGUAAUGGAAGAUUAUUAUCUCUGAUUGGCAUCACAACAGCACAUGCUCCUAGAUCUUUCUAGACACUCCAUGCAAUGAAAGCACAAUGGAUCUUGUAACGAUAGAAACUAAGCCAUGCUACAGUACUAGAUGAUGAGGUAAAACUAGUAGACACGGGUGGCAGCCUAUAUGGGAGGGACACAAGUCUAAUUGAUUUGCAUUUCAGCAUUAUAGAUAGGUAUGUUUUGGAAGAUUUGUUCUGGAAAUACCGCACCAAGUAGGAUUCUUUUUCUCUUUAGUGGGUCCACUUGCAUGCCAAUUAACGAGUUGAAAAGUAUGAGCACCUACCUCGUGCUCGUGGAACCGAAGGUCAGUGAAGUGGGGCUCCUUUUGGCCUCGUGUAAACUUGAUUCAGAAGUGAAGUUAAUAGUCUUCCAUUCAGAUGGAUACAUGGGAAUUUUUCUCUUUUAUUUAUUUAUUUAUUUUUUUUUUGUGUGUGUAUGUCAAAGGAUAAUGAAUGAAGCGCGUUAGCUUGUUUUCUGACUGGAACCGCAGAUGUCCAAAUUGGAGUUCCUUCAUUUCUUACUUAGGAUUGUUACAUGUAUAAACAAGGUAUAAGAAAUAUGCCAACGUGUCUUGAGGAGUUAUUGAUUAGAAAUAACAAGUCACCCGACUGUAGAGUUCCAAGAUUUGAAUCUUCAGACCCUAUAGCAGCCUCUGGGGUACGUGGCAUCCUAUAGCAUAUUAAUGAAGGCUUUUUCGAUUUAGACUUCACAAUACCAAUUAAUAUGUAUGCACAAAAUGGAGAUGACCCCAAAAAAAACAGAAUCGCCAUAGUUUAUGAGGUUAAGGUGAUUCUCCACUUAAUAUCUACAUUAGCUAAUUAUGUAAAUCAAAUGAACUUCUAUUUUUCCUUUUUUUUUUUGGUUUAUGUCAAAUAGUAGCCCAUAAUUAACCCAACCAUUAGCCUGUUUGAAUUGAUUUCACAUGCACAAUGUUGUAGUAGUUCAUAUUUUGAAUUUUAUUUUUACAAAGGUAGUUAAGGAAAAUGAAGUAUAAUAAUUAUAAAAGCAGACUAUAUACACUACAAUAAUUGUUAGAAUGGUAUCUCAAAUUCUAAUUUAAAAUAUUAUUUUUUGUAAAAGAAAUAUUAUAUAGAAUAUUUCCUAAUUUUAUAAAUGAUUAUAAUUAGAUCUUUAUAAAAUAAGGAAAGUUGGUAAGAAUAUCUUUAUAAAUAUUUUAGGUCAUGAGAGAAAGAAAUGGGAUAAAAAUGUGAUGAAGAGGUGAAAUAAGAGAGUUGAUUAGGAUAUAGAUGUGAAGAAGAAAGGGAUUCAAUAUAUAUAUAUCUUUCAAUUACCACAUUAAAACCCUGUGAACCUUUUAUAUGGUUUACUUUAUUUUUAUAUUCCUCCUUUAAUAUAUUUACAUUAAUGCUUCCAUUGGCACAACAAUAACGAAUUACAAAUACAAGCAACAAGUCCCAUGUUUUAUUACCAAAAGCAGGUAAAAUCCACCUAAUAUAUUACAAUAUAUUCAUCCAAUAUUUUAGACCAAUUCUUCACCAUAAAUAUCAUAAUGUGGCUUUUGUUCUUUCUUAAAUUUAAAUUGAAUUGUCUUAUAUCAAUUUGUUUGUGAUUUUUUCAUUAACUUCACUUUCAUUUGGUUAUCUUUGGUUUUUGAAAAGUAUUAAGGAAUUAAUUAACAAAAUAAUGUUAAGAAAAAUAAUUUUCUCUCUUUUGAUUUUGAUUUUGUAGUAGAAAAAUAUAAUUAAAAUUAUUUAAAAAGUAUGUAAUUUUAAAUUAUUUAAUAUUUAGAUAAAAAAAAUAAGUCUAAUGAGUUUAAAAUAACAUAUAAAAAUAAUUUAUUUAUUUUAAAUUUAUUUUUUAUUUUCCAUUAUGUUCUCUUUCUCUUUUACUUUUUCAUAUUUUUUCUUACGAAGAAUCAAACACAACCUCAUAUUAUAUGUCAAGUGUUUGUCUAUAUUUGAGCAAUGUUAGAUACGGCCAUGGAUUCAUCAAACUAAACUGAUUUUAAUAGAUACUUCACAAAUUGAUUUAUACACUAAAUCAUUGGAUAGCAAUGAUGCAUUGGAAUUAAACGUAGGAUGAAGCUCGAAGAACACUGUUUGUGUAACAACAUAUUUAUGAAAUUAUGCAAAGGAUGAGCUUCGGGGUAGUAGUACAAGGUCAUUAAUGGAGAGCCGUGUUAAACCUUGAUUGUGAUUGGAUUCCGUUAUCAGCAACAGCAACCUUGUUUGUAACCUUGAAAGUCAUUCUGUCCACAUCGAAACUCCAAUUUGACGUUUGUAAUUACCAUUCCUGGAGUGUUCCUUGAUUGAAAUUUAAAUAAUAAUUGCGGCCCACAAGGAAUAUUUUCGAUUCUGUGGGAAUUUGACAAGGUUUGUUAGAGAAGACUGGUGACAUGUUGACUUCAAUGGUUCAAAUAGGAGACGUAUGUGGAUUUGGGGGGUUUAAUUGAAACUGAGUCCCUAUGGCUUUUUAAUAUUUGCAUUGAGCAGUCUCCAUGUGACUUCCUAAUUCCCACCAACCCUCCUGUCCAUGCUGUGAAACUAAAUUGUAAUUUAUCAGCCUUUGUCAAUGGUUUCUAAAUUAAAGAUAUAGACCAUGCAUGUACUUUAAUAAAAGCAAAUCUAAAGUGUAGAUAGCAGCAAUGGUGACACCCAAUAUUCUCCAUAAAAUAGAAUUAGAAUAAGCAGUGUUACAUUGUUCAUGAUCACCUACAAGCAUACAAGAACUUCCAUGAAUAACUCAUAGCAAUUGCCAACAGGGCGUCGUAGAGACUCAUACAUAGAACACUAUCCACCCAGAGGAAAGGACAAGACCAGUGCGCUGCAGCUCUUAUUUUUCACAUGUAUACCACCACUCGUAAUAACCAAAUUCACUCAGUUGGGAUAGGUGGGAGAUGGUGGUUUGUGGGGUGGCUUGUGGGGAGGAGUUGGAGGAGGCUUUAUUUUCUGAGGCGGCUUGUAUGAGUGUGCAGGAGGAUGCCCGGGAGUGUGACCAUAAUGUGGUGGCUUCUCUCCCGUAGGUGGUUUGCCAAAUGGGCUUGGUGGCUUCUCUCCCUUAGGAGGUUUACCAAUUGGGGUUGGUGGCUUGUGUUCUGGGAGUGGUUUCUCUCCCUUGGUAGGUUUGCCAAUUGGGGUUGGCGGCUUAUGUUCUGGGAGUGGCUUCUCUCCCUUGGGAGGUUUGCUAAUUGGGGUUGGCGGCUUAUGUUCUGGGGGCGGCUUCUCUCCCUUGGGAGGUUUGCCAAUUGGAGUUGGCGGCUUAUGUUCUGGGAGUGGCUUUUCUCCCUUGGGAGGCUUGCCAAUUGGGGUUGGCGGCUUAUGUUCUGGGGGUGGCUUCUCUCCUUUAGGAGGUUUGCCAAUUGGAGUCGGCGGCUUAUGUUCUGGAAGUGGCUUUUUUCCCUUGGGAGGUUUGCCAAUUGGGGUUGGCGGCUUAUGUUCUGGGGGUGGCUUCUCUCCCUUGGGAGGUUUGCCAAUUGGAGUCGGCGGCUUAUGUUCUGGGAGUGGCUUCUCUCCCUUGGGAGGUUUUGUUGGUGGCUUGUGUUCUGGAGAUGGCUUCUCCCCUGGAGGCUUGUGCUCCGGAGGUGGCUUCUGAAAUGGCGGGGGCUUGGGGUAAUGAGCAAGAGAUGGAGUACUG
rnacentral:lncRNA from 1 species